GUCGGAUAUCGCCGAUGCCAUCCUGAAGAACGAUUUCAUCCUGCGCCUCGACGUUCACCGUUCCUUGGUCCCCAAAUUGGAGAUGUGGGAAAGUCUCUUGGGAUCGAGAGAGCUCGUUCUCAAGCAUCUCAAGAAGACAAGACGGUUUUUCUUCUCCAGCGUUGAGAAGACAUUGCAUCCUAACCUAAAGUUCUUGAGGGAUGAGUGCGGCAUUCCUGAAGAAAGGGUCUCUGUCGUCUUGAGAAGUCACCCACAAUUAAUCUCACAGAAACCAGAGUCUCUCCAAGCUUUGGUGGCGAGAGCCGAUGAGCUGGGGAUGCCACGGCAAUCUCGGAUGUUCGUGCGGACACUUGAUGCUCUCCACAACGUAAGCCAAGAAAGGUUCGAGGCCAAGGUCGAGCUCAUGAGGAGCUUCGGGUGGUCGGAGUCGGAGUUUUCUUCUGCAGUCAGGAAAGCACCCACCUUCUUAUGCAUGUCCCUCGAUAUGUUGCGCAGAAAAGUGGAAUUUUUUAUCAAUGUAGUCGGGUACACCCGUUCCUUCAUCGCCGACAAAUCAUAUCUCUUGCUAUUUUGUCUGCAGAAGAGGGUAAUUCCUCGGUUUCGUGUCACAGAGAUGUUGAAAUCGAAAGGAUUGUUGACUGGACAAGCCAAGUUUCCAUACAUUCUCCAAUUAUCAGAUACCAAAUUCUUGGAGAAGUUUGUUCUCCCUCACGAAGAAAAUGUUCCUGAGCUGCUCGAUAUUUUGAGAGUUGAGGGCGUGUGUAAAGGAAAAUGAUACCUUUCAUUUGGUAUCGGAGGCUGGGAAAGGGCUUAGCUGAUGGUCUAAUUUGCCAACGACGAAGGUAGAUUAUUCCCUAAUUUGAGAUUUUGGAAAUAGAAUGCAAAGGGCUUAUCAAAAGGUGUACUGAGGUGUGGGAUUUUUCUUUAAUGGCAAGCUAGAUUAGCAUUGAUUAUAAAUCAAAUUUGUUCCGUCUUACUAAUUGUUAGCUUAACUUAUUUUCCGAUUGUCUUUGGCACAGUAUUGUUGGUUUGUAUGUAAACUGCAUGUUUUAAAAAUUCUACCUAACAGUCCAAUUGAGAUGACCUUCGGAUCUAUCGUAGGGACUUUUGGCUUUUGUCCAAAUUAAUUUCAAUUCCGGAUGGGAUUUUGGUUUGUUGGGUAAGUCUCAAAGAGUCCUAUUUUAGAUCAACUUAUGCAGUAAGUAUAUACAAAAUAUCACCGAAGAUCACAGGAAGUUGCUGAGUAGUAGUUGCUCUAACGAUUUAAGUGGCUGAAAAAAUCAUAGAACAGUAAAGAGUUGUUUCUGUAAUUUGUUUUGAAAUGAGUCGUCACCAGAUUUAUGGAUUUGGAUAUGUCUAAGAAGGCUUCUUUGCAUACUUAUUUAUUUGUGUGCUAAUUGGAAAUUGAAAUUUGAUUUAUGCAUUGUAAUAUUAGUAUGCAGUGGCUUCAAUGGAGUUUGAAAGAGCAGUUGCAUUGGGUUGAUCAGGAGUCACCAGCAUUAGUAUUAACUUUGCUUCAAGGUUGUAUGGACUUUUCUCUGAGCAUCAAAACAUGGGUGUCUUCAGCCUCAUUUGGAAUUGCAAAAGCUUUUCCUGCAUCAACAAAUUCUGACUUGCCUCCGGGGGCUUCAGCUCAUCCACCCUUUGUGAUUUGGUUAGCAGAUCUCUUCAUUCUUGGAGUCUGUGGUCUAUGUAUGUUUCCCUCGUCAUGAAUGGCUUGGCCCAAUGGAAAGUCAAUUUAGGCAGAAUUAUAAAUUCCCUAUUUUUCUGGUCUUCUAAUUAUGGAUCACAUUUUGGGAGAAAGGUAUGCACAAUGCACAUUCCAUUGUGCAUAUCUUUAUUAUCACAUUUCAAAUAGGAUCAUAAGAAUAUCAAUCAUCUUUAUUGAGAUGUGUUCUGAAUUUUGACAUCAGUUGUUCCAUCUCUACAGAGAAUCUGUGCAUGAGUUGUAGAAGUGAUAGAACUUCCAAGUUCAUCAAGAUUAUUGGGAAGAUAUGCAAAAAUUCUUUUUUCUUUAUUUCUUGAAUAAUAACGUCCCAAAUCUUUGAUGUGUGGAGAGUAACUACAAGGAGCAUCUCCAGAUAUAUACUCUUACAAACUCACAACUUCUUUGCAUACAAAUCUUCACUUGACAAACCACCCAUAAGAGAAUUCCCAAUAGAGACUAGAGUUAUAUCGGAGUCACAUUCAAUCAAUUUUGGAUUGGUAGUCACAUAUCUCACCUUGGAGUCAUUGCUCGGUUCCUUGGUUCUUUCCAACUUUGUAACUAGUUGUCUAACUUGGUUCUUGAGGAUUUUAACUGUCAUGUCAAUCAACAAAAAUAAAAAAUAAUGGCAGUGCUCAUCUCCAGCCACAAAUUCUAAAAUCCAUGCUAGUGAAUAAAGCAAAUGUAACUUCUGGCAACAUUACUUUCCCUUCUUUUCUCUCUCUUUAUCUUUCCCUGCCACUGCCUUCCCCUCACCAUCACCUUUGCAGCUAUCCGCCAAAAGCUCUAAACCUGGAUGCCUUUAAUGACAUGGAGCAAUUAGAAAUGUGGAAGAACGAGAAAAACAACAAUGUCUUCCAAAAACUAAAAGAAAACUGACAGUGAAUAAGGAGAAGUGCAAAGACUCAGUAUUGCUAGGUUGCUCUCAAACUGAGAAACCAUCAGUAUUGCUAUGUUGCGCAGAAAAGUGGAAUUUUUUAUCAAUGUGGUCGGUUACACCCCUUCCUUCAUCGCCAACAAAUCAUAUCUCUUGCUAUUUUGUCUGCAGAAGAGGGUAAUUCCUCGGUUUCGUGUCACAGAGAUGUUGAAAUCGAAAGGAUUGUUGACUGGACAAGCCAAGUUUACAUACAUUCUCCAAUUAUCAGAUACCAAAUUCUUGGAGAAGUUUGUUCUCCCUCACGAAGAAAAUGUUCCUGAGCUGCUCGAUAUUUUGAGAGUUGAGGGCGUGUGUAAAGGAAAAUGAUACCCUUCAUUUGGUAUCGGAGGCUGGGAAAGGGCUUAGCUGAUGGUCUAAUUUGCCAACGACGAAGGUAGAUUAUUCCCUAAUUUGAGAUUUUGGAAAUAGAAUGCAAAGGGCUUAUCAAAAGGUGUAUUGAGGUGUGGGAUUUUUCUUUAAUGGCAAGCUAGAUUAGCAUUGAUUAGAAAUCAAAUUUGUUCUGUCUUACUGAUUGUUAGCUUAAAUUAUUUUCUGAAUGUCUUUGGCAUAGUAUUGUUGGUUUGUCUGUAAACUGCAUGUUUUAGAAAUUCUACAUGACAGUCCAACUGAGAUGACCUUUGGAUCUAUCGCAGGGACUUUUGGAUUUUGUCCAAAUUAAUUCCAAUUCCGGAUUGGUUUUUGUUUGGGUAUGUCUUGAAGAGUCAUAUUUCAGAUCAAGUUAUGCAGGAUAUAGAAAUUAUCACCAAAGAUCACAAGAAAUUGUUGAGUGGUAGUUACUCUAAUGAUUUAAGUGGCGAAAAAAACUUAAAACACCAAAGAGUUGUUUCUGUAAUUUGUUUUUAAAUGAGUCAUCACCCAAUUUAUGGAUUUGGAUAUAUCUAAGAAGGUGUUAUCUCUUGUCAGUAGAGGCUUCUUUGCAAAUUUAUUUAUUUAUGUACUAAUUGGAAUAUUUAAAUUUGAUUUUUGCAUUGUAAUAUUAGUAUGCAGUGGCUUCAAUGGAAUUUGAAAGACCAGUUGCACUGGGUUGAUCAGGAGUCACCAGCUCUUCUGAAAUGUCUUCAACCUGCUUUGGAAUUGCUAAAGCUUUUCUCGCAUCAACAAACUCUUGCAUGCCUCCAUAGGCUUCUGCUCGUCCACUCUUUGUGAUUCCAGGUGCAGAUCUCUUCAUUCUUGGAUUUGGUGGAUGCAACUUCUCAUCAUCAUAGCUGAAGCUUCUGCUCCACUUGAAAGCCUUAAGAAGGCUGCACAACUAAAUUUCUCCAACAUCUUUAUUGAGCUAAUUCCCUUGGAGUUAGUCGAUUGGCUGGUUCCUUAAGAAUAUUUUGGAUGUCAUUUUAUUUCUUAUUUCAAGUCUUUAUGUUGCCGAUGUGGUCCAUGUUUCCCGCAUCAUGAACCACGUGGCCCAUUGGCUAGUCAAUCUCAGGAAGGGCUGUAAAUUCUCUUUUUUUUUUUUGGGUCAUAGAUCAGUCUAUCUCAGUAUCUAAUCCACUUUAAUCUUUAUUGAAAUGUAUCCUUUUACGGUAAAAAAAAAAAAAAAAACAUGCAAACUAACAUGUAAGAUCAGAAGGUUUAAAAGUGACGAUUAAAUGUGUAUUGCAAGAUCCUGUAAUUGGCUUUAGUUCUUGUUGUAGAGUUUAUGAUCAUUUACAUCACUAGUAUUUCAGAUUUAUGCACACUAUCUUGACCCGUAUCUCAACCAGUUUUUUUCAGGCUAUCCGUGCCUUUUUGCAUGUAUUCAGUAUCUCAUUUCUGAUAGGAUCAUUAGAUCAUCACUCAUCUCUAUCAAUGGGUGAAUUGUGUUUUGAAUUUUGAUAUCAGUUGUUCCAUCUUUAUUCUUUAUUCUUUAUGUCUUGGAUAAUAAUUUCUCAAAUCUUUAUGUCAUCACAAGUCUCAAUUUUGGUCACACAGACAUUAAUGAAAUGAAUAUAUGGAAGGAACUGAGAAAAGUAGAAUUCAUAAAUUUAAAUAAGACGAGGAAUCAAAGCAAAAUUAUGCAUUUAUUUAUCAUGUUAAUGAACCGAUGCAACGUGAACAUACAACGACAUACGCAUUUUCAAACAAGGAUAGGGUAUUUAUGGAUGAUCACGAAGUUGGAAUGUAUAGAUUGAUGUCUUCAGAUUGAAAUGUGGCUUGCUAUAAUUAACAAGUGUUAUUUUACAGAUAUAGUAUAUUGAUGUAUAGUCAAUUUUAAUUAAAUAUCAUAUUAUCCAUCAUCAACUUCAAUCAAGCUUUUUUUUUUCUUUUUUAAAUUUUUACGAGUAAUAAAUACUAUUUAAAGCAUAUUAAUUUAAACACAAGAAAUCAAGUUUUGAAUUAUCAUAAGAUUGUUUUUUUUUUUAAUUCUGGUGCAACAAUAAAUUAUUUUUGGAUCAAAUAAAUGAAUAAUUUUAUAUCUUUAUAAAGUUACAAAAUCAUAUAAAUAUUUUAUAGAUCAUUUUAUCCAUAAUUUUGAUAUAAAUAAUUUAUUACAAUAAUUUUUAUUCCUCAUGCAUAGCGAAUAACAACAGUUGAAAUUAUGAUGCCCUUGUGGAUGCUCUCCUUUAUCCUUAAUAAUCAUAACGUUUGGCUUCUCUUUUAAUCAAGAUAAUCUCUUAUCAUUAUUUAAAGUUUAUUCGAUGUCUCCUUUUUUUUUCUUUUUUUUUAUUUUAUCGUCAAUCGAUUAAGAUCAUGUUUAGAUCAAAUUUGUUAACAGAAAAAUGACGAUUGAGUUUUCUAACUGUAUGUGUUGUAUCGUAUCUGACCAUAUGAAUUGAGUUAUAUUGAAUCGUAUGAAUUCGAUUAUACUUAACCACAUUGACUGGGUUCACAUGAGUUAGGUUGUACUUGACUACAUAGGUUGGUUUGAUUAGUCAACUUACAUUGAAUCCUCAAUUUAACUCAUCUUAUUAAAUUAUAUUUUAAAUUUUUAAAAAUAUAUUAAAAUAAUAAUUAACCUUAAAUCCAUUCUAUUUCAUGAAUUAACUAAUUUAGAUUCAUAAUUUUAAAUUUAAAAGUAAUUAAAUUAUACAAAUACAUACAUAAUUUUUUAGACAUAAAUAUGUCUAAUUUAAAUAAAUUAGAGUCAUUAUUAAAUUAACUAAUUAUUUUAAAAUCAUAAUUCAAUAAUAAUUAUUUAUUAAUCAUAAUAUUUUAAAAUUAGAAGAUUAUUUUGCAUCGUAUAUAUANNNNNNNNNNNNNNNNNNNNNNNNNNNNNNNNNNNNNNNNNNNNNNNNNNNNNNNNNNNNNNNNNNNNNNNNNNNNNNNNNNNNNNNNNNNNNNNNNNNNNNNNNNNNNNNNNNNNNNNNNNNNNNNNNNNNNNNNNNNNNNNNNNNNNNNNNNNNNNNNNNNNNNNNNNNNNNNNNNNNNNNNNNNNNNNNNNNNNNNNNNNNNNNNNNNNNNNNNNNNNNNNNNNNNNNNNNNNNNNNNNNNNNNNNNNNNNNNNNNNNNNNNNNNNNNNNNNNNNNNNNNNNNNNNNNNNNNNNNNNNNNNNNNNNNNNNNNNNNNNNNNNNNNNNNNNNNNNNNNNNNNNNNNNNNNNNNNNNNNNNNNNNNNNNNNNNNNNNNNNNNNNNNNNNNNNNNNNNNNNNNNNNNNNNNNNNNNNNNNNNNNNNNNNNNNNNNNNNNNNNNNNNNNNNNNNNNNNNNNNNNNNNNNNNNNNNNNNNNNNNNNNNNNNNNNNNNNNNNNNNNNNNNNNNNNNNNNNNNNNNNNNNNNNNNNNNNNNNNNNNNNNNNNNNNNNNNNNNNNNNNNNNNNNNNNNNNNNNNNNNNNNNNNNNNNNNNNNNNNNNNNNNNNNNNNNNNNNNNNNNNNNNNNNNNNNNNNNNNNNNNNNNNNNNNNNNNNNNNNNNNNNNNNNNNNNNNNNNNNNNNNNNNNNNNNNNNNNNNNNNNNNNNNNNNNNNNUAUAUAUAUAUAUAUAUAUAUAUAUAUAUAUAUAUAUAUAUAUAUAUAUAUAUAUAUAUAUAUAUAUAUAUAGUUUUACGAUCUUAACUUAGAGUUAAAUCAUGACCACAUAAUAUAAAUCAUAUAAAUUGAGUCAUAUAUAAUCAAAUUAUACUUGAUCAUAUAAGUUAAAUUAUAUUUGAUUAUAUGAAUUAAGUCAUAUCUAACUUUAUAAGUUUGGUUAUAUUUAGUCACUUAUGUUAAGUCAUACCUAAUCACAUGAAUUUGAUCAUGUCUAAUCACACGGGCUAAAUCAUGCUUGAUCACAUGUAACGUAUUAUGCUUAGUCAUACUAGCUGAGUUAUACCUGAUCAUAUGUGCUAAGUCAUAACUAUUAAAUGAGUUAGACAAUGCUUGACCACAUUUGAUGAGUUAUGUUUAAACAUAUAAGUUAGAUCAUACCUAGUCAGAUAGAUUGAGUAAUGUUAUAUUAUAUUUGAUUAUAUGGAUUGUGUUAUGUUGAAUCACAUCAGUUCAAUCAUACUUGGCCAUGUAGAUCGAGUGAUACUUAGUCAUGCGAGUUAGAUUGUACUUCACUACAUAGGCUAGUUUGGUCAAUCAACUUAACUAAGAUUAAAUAUCAAAUUUGACUCAUACUUGUUAAAUUAGAUUUUAACAUUUUAAAAAAAUACUUUAAAAUAUUAUAAAAAUAAUAAGUAAUCAUAAAUCUAUUAUUUUUCAUGAAUUAACUAAUUUAGAUUUAUGUUCCAAAUUUAAAAGUAAUUAAAUCUAAAAAUUCAUACUUAAUUGUUUAAAACAUAAAUACACUUUCGAUGAUCAUUAUUUAUUAAUAAUAAAAUUUUAAAUUUAAAAUAAUAAUUUUUAAUAUAUAAAUUAAAAUAAUUCUAAUAUUAAAUAAUUUUAAAAUAUAAAUAAAAAUUAAUAAUAAAAAAAUAUACUCUCCUCGUGAUCAUUUCCUCUAAGAGAGCUAGGAAUUGAGGAACGAUGAGCUUGAGCUCUCCAUAAAAGAUAAAUAAUAAUUUUAAUAAUUUUCUUAAUCAUAUUAUAUAAAUAAAAAAACUAAUUUAAAUAAAGUAAUAUAUGAUUUAAAGUAAUUAAUCGAUGUUAGAAAAUUAUCGAUGAUUACAAAAGUCAUGACUUUAUUAGAUGAUCUGCAUGAUUAUUAAAUUAAUAAAUUAUCUGUAGUCAAUCAAGCUCACCUAAUAAUUACAAGAUCUUUUGAACGUUGAUAGUUACAAUUUGUUCACUAUGUAAUCAAACAGAGAAGACAAAAUCCAGAAUAAGCUACAAGUUCCUGAAGUUUCAGAACACCUAACAUCUAUAAAAGGGAAGAGUUGAGAUGAAGCAUUAUGAAAACGAUGUAAAAGUAUAACAUGAAAAUGCAUCAAGGAAAAAAAAUAAUAUAAUUCAUCAAGAAAAAUUCAGAUCAUAAAGGGCGUUCUUUCACAUGCGGCAAACAAAAAGGUUCAAUUGUGGUUUUAAAAACAUAAUUGCCAUGCAAAAAGAAAAAUUAAUGGUUCAAGUAAAACAUAUCUAAUUUAACUUUUAACCCACGAUAGCAAACCGAAUCACUACACAGUAGGUAGGAAUAAUUAGAAACCUAUAAUUUUUGAAAUGUGUUACUUAAAAAAUCAGAAUAACUCCAGUCACCUUUUUCCACAUAAACCAUCUUUUCCCCGUAAACAAAAAAUUUAUUUCCAAUAUAUCUUUUCGUGACUAAGAAUAACAUAAGUAAACUUCUGUCAUAUAUCGGUAACAAUGACAUACUUCCCAUCUGCAUGAGACCAAAGGUCAAGAACAAAAACCUAAGAAACCAAAUAAUUAUUUCUUUAAAAAAUCAAUUUAAUAAGUUCAUCAUAUUAGUUUGACGGAUGGAUCUAAUAUGUGGGUUAUAUUAUAGAUUGAGUCUGUACACAUUGAUUUCAAUUCAAAUCAUAAUUAUUUUUUUUAAUUUUAAAUUAUACUAUCAUUAAAUUAUAAUGAAAAUAUCUGAGUGUCUUAUUAAAACAUAAUAUUAACUUAAAAUAUUGAAUAUCUAUUUUAUAAAUUUUAUUCAUAAGAAAAAAGUUAAAUAAUUAAACUUAAACUGAAAGAUUUGAUUACAAAUGAAACGGUCAAAAUAGUAUCUUGUAGAUCACUUUAUCUAUUUUUUGAUAUAAAUAAUUUAUCCUUUAAUUUUGUAUUUCUUGUGCUUAGCGAAGGGUUAUACACACUGCAGAUAAAAGCGGGUUGUUUGUCUUAGGGUGCCGCUGCGACUGCUCUCUUUCGUCCCACAAUGGCGGCUGCGACGCUCCGCACGGUACUCCGCCGCAAUAGCCUUCUGCCCUUGUUCGAAACCUGCCGCCUUCGAGAUCUCUUCUUCUUCUCCUCCUCUGUCGACCUUGCCGCCGCUGUAGGCGUCACCACAUCUCCUGAUCCCCACUUCAUGGUGGAAUACCUCGUGAACUCCUGCGGGUUCUCCCCCUCCGAGGCAGCCAAGUUCUCUAAACCCCUUGCGCACCUCCGAUCCACCGAGAAACCCGACGCCGUCCUUAACUUCAUGAGAUCUCAGGGCUUCGACGGCGCCGGUAUCAGAAAGUUGAUAUCUUUGAAACCAAAUUACCUAUGCGCGAACGUGGAGAAGAAGUUGGCCCCGAAGUUUCAGUUCUUACGCGAUUUGGGCCUAUCGGAGUCGGACAUCGUCGAUGCCAUCCUGAAGAACCAUGGCAUCCUCCUCUUCAACGUUCAGCGUUCCAUCGUCCCCAAAUUGGAGAUGUGGGAAAGUCUCUUGGGAUCGAGAGAGCUUGUUCUCAACCAUCUCAAGAAGACAGGAUGGUUUUUCUCCUCCAGCGUUGAGAAGACGUUGCAUCCUAACCUAAAGUUCUUGAGGGAUGAGUGCGGCAUUCCUGAAGAAAGGGUCUCCGUCGUCUUGAGAAGUCACCCACAAUUAAUCUCACGGAAACCAGAGUCUCUCCGAGCUUUGGUGGCGAGAGCCGAUGAGCUGGGGAUGCCACGGCUAUCUCGGAUGUUCGUGCGGACACUUGAUGCUCUCCUCAUGGUAAGCAAAGAAAGGUUCGAGGCCAAGGUCGAGCUCAUGAGGAGCUUCGGGUGGUCGGAGUCGGAGUUUUCUUCUGCAGUCAGGAAAGCACCCACCUUCUUAUGCAUCUCCCUCGAUAUGAUGCGCAGAAAAAUGGAAUUUUUUAUCAAUGUAGUCGGGUACACCCCUUCCUUCAUCGCCUCCCAACCAACUAUCUUGCUAUAUAGUCUGCAGAAGAGGGUCAUUCCUCGGUUUCAUGUGACGGAGAUGUUGAAAUCGAAAGGAUUGUGGACUGGACAAUGCAAGUUUGUAUGUAUUCUCAUAAUGUCAGAUACCAAAUUCAUGGAGAAGUUUGUUCUCCCUCACAAAGAAAAUGUCCCUGAGCUGCUUGAUAUUAUGAGAGUUGCUGGCGCGUGUAAAAGAAAUGAUACCUUUCAUUUGGCAUCGGAGGAUGAGAAAGGGCUUAACUGAUUGUCUGAUUUGUGACGACGAAGGUAUAUUAUUCCCCUAAUUUGAGAUUUUGGAAAUUUUAUGCAAAGAACUUAUCUAAAGGUGUAUUGAGGUGUGGGAUAUUUCUUUUAUGACAAGCUAGAUUUGCAUUGAUUAUAAAUCAAAUUUGUUCUGUCUUACUGAUUAUUAGCUUAAAUUCUUUUCUGAUUGUCUUUGGCGUAGUAUUGUUGGUUUGUAUGUAAACUGCAUGUUUUAAAAAUUCUACAUAACAGUCCAACUGAGAUGACCUUUGGAUCUAUGGAAGGGACUUUUGGCUUUUGUCCAAAUUAAUUCCUAUUCCAGAUUGAAGAGUCAUAUUUCAGAUCAAGUUAUGCAGCAAGUAUAAACAAAAUAUCACCAAAGAUCACAGGAAGUUGCUGAGCAGUAGUUGCUCUAACGAUUGAAGUGGCUGAAAAACACUUAAACUUUUUUGCAAACUUAUUUAUUUAUGUACUAAUUGGAAUAUUCAAAUUUGAUUGAUGCAUUGUAAUAUUAGUAUGCAGUGGCUUCAAUGGAAUUUGAAAGACCAGUUGCACUGGGUUGAUCAGGAGUCACCAGCUCUUCUGAAAUGUCUUCAACCGCCUUUGGAAUUGCUAAAGCUUUUCUCGCAUCAACAAACUCUUGCAUGCCUCCAUAGGCUUCUGCUCGUCCACUCUUUGUGAUUCCAGGUGCAGAUCUCUUCAUUCUUGGAGUUCAUUCUUGGAUUUGGUGGAUGCAACUUGUCAUCAUCAUAGCUGAAGCUUCUGCUCCACUUGAAAGCCUUCAGAAGGCUGCACAACUAAAUUUCUCCAACAUCUGAAUCGAACUAAUUCACUUGAGUUAGUCGAUUCGCUGGUUCCUUCUUUUAUUUCUUUGUUCAAGUCUUUAUGUUGUCGAUGUGGUCCAUGUUUCCCGCAUCAUGAAAGGCGUGGUCCAUUGGCUAGUCAAUCUUGGAUAGACUGUAAAUUCUCUAUGUUUUUUUGGGUCUUGUAAUGAUAGAUCAGUCUAGCUCAGUAUCUAAUCCAGUUUAAUCUUUAAUGAAAUUUCUCCUUUUUCGGUUAAAAAAAAAAAAACUCUAACAUGCUAACUAACAUGUAAGCUCAGUAGGUUUAAAAGUGACAAUUAAAUGUGUAUUGCAAGAUUCUGUAAUUGGCUUUAGUUGUUGUUGUAGAGUUUAUGAUCAUUUACAUCACUAGUAUUUCAGAUUUAUGUACACUAUCUUGACCCGUUCUCAACCAGUAUUCUUCUGGCUAUCCAUGUCUUUGUGCAUGUAUUCGGUAUCUCAUUUCAGAUAGGGUCAUAAGAUCAUCACUCAUCUUUUUCAAUGCCCGAAAUGUGUUUUGGAUUUUGAUAUCAGUUGUUCUAUCUUUAUUAUCCGUCCCAAAUCUUUAUGUCAACUCAAGUCUCAAUUUUGGGUAGAAAGACAUCAAUGAAAUGAAUAUAUGGAAGGAACUGAGAAAAGUAGAAUUCAUAAAUUUAAAUAAGAUAAUUAGUCAAAGCAAAAUUAUGCACUUAUAUAUCAUGUUAAUGAACCAAUGCAACGUGAACAUACAACAACAUGCGCAUUUUCAAACAAGGAUAGAGUAUUUAAUAGAUGAUUAAUGGAUGAUCACGAAGUUGGCAUGUAUAGAUUAGAUUGAUGUCUUCAGAUUGAAAUGUGGCCUGCUAUAAUUAACAAGUGUCUUGUUACAGAUAUAGUAUAUUGUUGUACAGUCAAUUUUAAUUAAAUAUCAUAUAAUCCAUGAUAACUUCAAUCGAGCAAUUUUUUUUUAAAUUUUUACGAGUCAUAAGUACUAUUCAAGACAUAUUAAUUUAAACACAAGAAAUCAAGUUUUGAAGGAUCAUAAGAUUGUUUUUUUUUUUCAAAUCUGGUGUAGCAAUAAAUUAUUUUUGGAUCAAAUAAAUGAAUAAUUUUAUAUUUUUUAAAGAUAUAAAAUCAUAUAAAUAUUUUGUAGAUUACUUUAUCCAUAAUUUUGAUAUAAAUAAUUUAUUUCUAUAAUUUUAAUCUCUCCUGCAUAGCGAAUGAUAGUUGUUGAAAUUAUAAUGCUCUUGUGACUCUCCUUUAUUCUAAAAUGAUUAUUGUAAAGCUUGUUUUCAUCCUUAAUCAUGAUGACUUCCUAUCCCUAUUUGAAACCUAUGGCUUUCGAGGUUUUUUUUUUUUUACUUCAUCACUGAUUGCAUGUUCUAUCAAAUUAGCUGAAAAGAUAAGGACGAUUGAGGAUGAACUCAACGUUUAAUAAGAAGAAGUGAACUGCAUUAUGGAACUACGACUCAAAUGCGUCUCAUGUCCUGUUGUGUACAAGCAAAAGGAUGACCUCCACAAACUGAUGGGUGAAUCCAACAAACGAUCGAGAUGGAAGCACCUCUGCCGAGCACAUUCCACGCCUGGGAGCAUCCCCAUCAUCAUCAGACAAUAGUACAUAUGUUGACCUAUGUACGAGUAUACAACAUGAAAAGGGAAGCACUUAGUUAGCUUUCAACUCUUCUUCUUCCUCCUUUGAGAACUAACGGGGGAUGUCGAGUGAGCUAAUGGGGGAUGCAGGAGGCCACAUAAAGAAGAGCAGGUAAGGAGAUAGAGGAAAAAUGAUUCUGGAGGCCUUAGUAGUCAAGGACAUGGCACUAUCAUUGUCUCUAUCAUCCUCUCUUCCCCCACGUAUAAUUUAGCCCUGCUUUGGCUCAAUGCAUUAUGCAAUGACAAACCAACAAAGUGAGUUUUCAUAGGUACAUUUUGAUAUCGGCAUUUUGAUAUCCGUGAACAUGCAUUGGUACAUACAUUAAUAUCUAAAACCUUUAAUCAUAAAAUGUUUUGAUUUGAGUACUUGAAACUCAAAGAAUUUCAUGAAACAACAAUCUCAUAAAUUAAAUCACUAGAAAGAUUAAUUUAUACGACUACUAUGUAUCUGUUCUUCAUACUCUGCUACCAUACAACUUUAACGUAUGGAGAGUCACAAUAACGAACAUCUGCAUAUAUAGUUUUAUGAUCUUAACUUAGAGUUAAAUCAUAACCACAUAAAAUAGGUCAUAUAAAUCGAGUCAUAUAUAAUCAAUCAAAUAGAUUGAAUUAUACUUGAUUUAGAAAUUAAAUUAUAUUUGAUUAUAUGAGUUAAAUCAUAUCUAACUAUAUAUAGUUACAUUUGUUAAGUCAUACUUAAUCACAUUAAUUGAAUUAGAUGAUGUCUAAUUAUGGGCUAAAUUAUGUUUGAUCACAUAUAAUUGAUUAUGCUUGGUCAUACUAACUGAGUUAUACUUAAUCAUAUGUGCUAAGCCAUAACUGCCAAAUAAGUUAGACAAUCCUUGAUCACAUAGGAUGAGUUAUGUUUAACCAAAUAAGUUAGAUCAUACUUGAUCACAUAGAUUGAGUUAUGUCUAACUACAUAAAUUAUAUUAUAUUUGAUUACAUGGAUUGUGUUAUUUUGAACCACACAAAACGUACUUGCCUACAUAGAUUGAGUAAUACUUAAUCACGUCAAUUAGAUUAUACUUAACCACAUAGACUGGUUUGAUCAAUCAACUUAACUAAGGUUAAAUCUCGACUCAUACUUGUUAAAUUAGAUUUUAAUAUUUUUAAAAAUAUUUUAAAAUAUUAUAAAAUAAUAAUUAAUCAUAAAUCUAUUAAUUUUCAUAAAUUAACUAAUUUAGAUUUAUGUUCCAAAUUUAAAAGUAAUUAAAUCAUAAAAAUUCAUACUUAAUUAAUUAAAACAUAAAUAUACUUUCAAUAAUCAUUAUUUAUUAAUCAUAAAAUUUUAAAAUAAAAUUAUUAUUUUUAUAACAUAUAAAUUAAAAAUAAUUCUAAUAUUAAAUAUUUUAAAAAUAUAAAUGAAAAAAAUCUACUCUCCUCAUGAUCAUUUCCUCUGAGAACCUUUCCCCCUCGGAGCUAGGAACAACGAGGAAAGAUGAGCUUGAGCUCUCCAUAAACGAUAAAUAAUAAUUUUAAUAUUUUUUAAUCAUAUUAUAUAAAUAAAAUACUAAUUUAAAUAAAGUAAUACAUGAUUUAAAGUAAUUAAUUGAUGUUAGAAAAUUAUGGAUGAUUACAAAAGUCACGACUUUAUUGGAUGAUCUGCAUGAUUAUUAAACUAAUAAAUUAUCUGUAGUCAAUCAAGCUCACCUAACAAUUACAAGAUCUUUUGAAUGUUGAUUCUUGCAAUUUGUUAACUAUGUAAUCAAACAGAGAAGACGAAAUCCAGAAUAAGCUACAAGUUCCUGAAGUCUCAGAACACCUAACAUCCAUAAAAGGGAAGAGUUCAGCUGAAGCAUUGUGAAAACGAUGGAAAAAUAUAAUAUGAAAAUGCACCAAGGAAAAAGAAAACAUAAUCCAUCAAGACAAAUUUACGGCUUUCACAUGCAUGCAUGGCAAACAAAAAGGUCCAAUUAUGAUCUUAAAAACAUAAUUUUCAUGCAAAAAGAAAAAUUAAUGGUUCAAGUAAGACAUAUCUUAAUAAGAGUAAUUUAACUUUUAACCCACGAUACGAAGCCGAAUCACUACAUAGUAAUAAAAAACUCACAGUUAUUGGAAUGUGUUACUUAAAAACUGGGAGUAACUAUAGUAACAAUUUCCCCAUAAACCAAAAAUUUAUUUCUACUAUAUCUUUCCUUGACUAAGAAUAACAUCGAUCGGUAAUAAUGACAUAAUUCCCAUCUGCAGUAGAGCAAAGGCCAAGAACAAAAACCUGAGAAACCAAAUAAUUCUUUCUUAAAAAAAUUAAUUUCAUAAGUUCAUAUCAAGUUGUCAACCAAUAAAAUUAUCAAACGUAGUAUCAUUGUUGGAUCUGCGGGAUAUGGUAUAGCUUGUGGGUUGAGUCGGACAAACUAAUUGAUUACAAUUUAAAUUAUAAUUACUUUUUAAAUUUUAAAUUAUACUUUCAUGAAAUUAUAAUAAAAAUAUCUAACAAUUACCAUUGUGUUAUUAAAACAUAAUAUUAACUUAAAAUGUUGAAUAUCUAUUUUAUAAAUUUUAUUCAUAAGAAAAAUUUAUCCAUAUUUUUUAUAUAAAUAAUUUAUUCCUAUAAUUUUGUAUUUCUUGUGCUUAGCGACGGGUUAUACAGACUACAGAUAAAAGCGGGUUGUUUGUAUUAGGGUCCCGCUGCGGCUGCUCUCUUUCGUCCCACAAUGGCGACUGCGACGCUCCGCUCCGUGCUCCGCCGCAAUGGCCUCCUUCCCUUGUUCGAAACCCACCGCCUUCGAGAUCUCCUCUUCUUCUCCUCCUCUGUCGACCCUGCGGCCGCCGUAGGCGGCACCAUAUCUCCAGAUCCCCACUUCAUGGUGAAAUACCUCGUGAGCUCCUGCGGGUUCUCCCCCACCGAGGCAGCCAAGGUCUCUAAACCCCUUGCGCACCUCCGAGCCACUGAGAAACCCGACGCCGUCCUUAACUUCUUGAGAUCUCAGGGCUUCGACGGCGCCGGUAUCAGGAAGGUGAUAUCUGCGGAUCCCAGAUACUUAUGCUACAACGUGGAGAAGAACCUCGCCUCGAAGUUUCAGUUCUUACGCGAUUUGGGCCUAUCGGAGUCGGACAUCGUCGAUGUCAUCUGGAAUAACCAUGAGAUCCUCUGCCGCAACGUUCACCGUUCCCUUGUCCCCAAAUUGGAGAUGUGGGAAAGUCUCUUGGGAUCGAGAGAGCUUGUUCUCAAGCGUCUCAAGAAGACAGGAUGGUUUUUCUUCCCCAGCGUUGAGAAGACAUUGCAUCCUAACCUAAAGUUCUUGAGGGAUGAGUGCGGCAUUCCUGAAGAAAGGGUCUCUGUCGUCUUGAGAAGUCACCCAAAAUUAAUCUCACAGAAACCAGAGUCUCUCCGAGCUUUGGUGGCGAGAGCCGAUGAGCUGGGGAUGCCACGGCAAUCUCGGAUGUUCAUGUGGACACUUGAUGUUUUCCACAACGUAAGCAAAGAAAGGUUCGAGGCCAAGGUCGAGCUCAUGAGGAGCUUCGGGUGGUCCGAGUCGGAGUUUUCUUCUGCAGUCAUGAAAGCACCCACCUUCUUAUGCAUCUCCCUCGAUAUGUUGCGCAGAAAAGUGGAAUUUUUUAUCAAUGUAGUCGGUUUCACCCCUUCCUUCAUCGCCGACAAACCAAAUCUCUUGCUAUAUAGUCUGCAGAAGAGGGUAAUUCCUCGGUUUCGUGUCACAGAGAUGUUGAAAUCGAAGGGAUUGUGGACUGGACAAGGCAAGUUUACAUGCAUUCUCACAUUAUCAGAUACCAAAUUCACUGAGAAGUUUGUUCUCCCUCACAAAGAAAAUGUUCCUGAGCUGCUUGAUAUUUUGAGAGUUGCGGGCGUGUGUAAAGGAAAAUGAUACCUUUCAUUUGGUAUCGGAGGAUGAGAAAGGGCUUAGCCGAUGGUCUGAUUUGCCAACAACGAAGGUAGAUUAUUCCCCUAAUUUGAGAUUUUGGAAAUAGAAUGCAAAGGGCUUAUCAAAAGGUGUAUUGAGGUGUGGGAUUUUUCUUUAAUGGCAAGCUAGAUUAGCAUUGAUUAGAAACCAAAUUUGUUCUGUCUUACUGAUUGUUAGCUUAAAUUAUUUUCUGAUUGUCUUUGGCAUAGUAUUGUUGCUUUGUCUGUAAACUGCAUGUUUUAAAAAUUCUACUUAACAGUCCAACUGAGAUGACCUUCGGAUCUAUCGGAGGGGCUUUUGGCUUUUGUCCAAAUUAAUUCAAAUUCCGGAUGGGAUUUUGGUUGUUGGGUAAGUCUCAAAGAAUCAUAGUUUAGAUCAAGUUAUGCAGUAAUUAUAUACAAAAUAUCACCAAAGAUCACAGGAAGUUGCUGAGUGGUAGUUGGUCUAACUAUUUAAGUGACUGAAAAAAUCAUAGAACAGUAAAGAGUUGUUUCUGUAAUUUGUUUUGAAAUGAGUCAGUCACCCGAUUUAUGGAUUUGGAUAUGUCUAAGAAGGCUUCUUUGCAUACUUAUUUAUUUGUGUGCUAAUUGGAUAUUGAAAUUUGAUUUAUGCAUUGUAAUAUUAGUAUGCAGUGGCUUCAAUGGAGUUUGAAAGAGCAGUUGCAUUGGGUUGAUCAGGAGUCACCAGCUUUAGCACUAAUUUUGUUUCAAGGUUGUAUAGACUUUUCUCUGAGCAUCAAAACUUGAGUAUGCUAUUCUGAAAUGUCUUCUGCCUCAUUUGGAAUUGCUAAAGCUUUUCCUGCAUCAACAAAUUCUGACUUGCCUCCGGGGGCUUCAGCUCAUCCACCCUUUGUGAUUUGGUUAGCUGAUCUCUUCAUUCUUGGAGUCUGUGGUGUGGAGAGUAACUACAAGGAGCAUCCUCCAGAUACAUACUCUUACAAUCUCACAACUUCCUUGCAUAUAAAUCUUCACUUGACAAACCACCCAUAAGAGAAUUCCCAACAGAGACUAGAGUUAUAUCAGAGUCACAUUCAAUCAAUUUUGGAUUGGUAUUCACUUAUCUCACCUUGGAGUCAUUGCUCAGUUACUUGGUUCUUUCCGACAUUGUAACUAGUUGUCUAACUGGGUCAAAAAAAUAUUUGACCAUGUGCAUCAAACAUUUUUCUCAUCAGACCAUUUUUAUUGUAGAUUGACUUUUCACAAUGAGAACCCCCUUUGUACAUUGUUGUUACCUCAUUAGAUCAAGGGUUCAUCAUAAUCAACAAAAUUAUUUCCAUGGAAUGUCAAUCUUCACAUAUAUGCUGCAUCACAAUUAUCCUACGUGAAAUUUUAGGAAUAUAUACUUUGGAAGUCAUCUACAGAUUGUUCACAAUCAGAUAUAAAACUGCUGCCAUGCCACAAGACUUCAGUGAUCACUUUACCAAUUUGGAUAGUUGUUCUACCCCAUUUGGGUCUCACAGUAAUGCAACGAACACUCACCAUCCCACAACAUUUGCGAUCAAUGGUGUUGUCCUAAAACGUUCCAUCAAGAGAAGAUACAUAAUCACAAUGCUUAUGCUUACAGCAUUAUCCGUAGCUACAGUCUACAGUGAUUUCUCCAUCAUAACAACAAUAAGUUAAUGUGCUGAAUAAAUUGACAAUAACUACUACUCUUACUUCCACCAUGAUCGUUGCAAUGUAUUGAGGAUUUUAACUGUCAUGUCAAUCAACAAAAAAUACAAAUAAUGGCAGUGCAACAUACCAUCGCUAUAUCUAGUACUGCAUAUCUCAUUAGAGAGAAUCCCCAUCUCAAUCAACUCUUGUAUUCAGUCAUAUGCCAAUGUAGUGCUCAUCUCCAGCCACAAAUUCUAAAAAUCAUGCUAGUGAAUAAAGCAAAUGUAAGUUCUGGCAACAUUACAUUCCCUUCUCUUUCUCUUUUGUCUUUCCCUGCCACUACCUUCCCCUCACCAUGACCUUUGCAGCUAUCCGCCAAAAGCUCUAAACCUGGAUGCCUUUAAUGACAUGGAGCAAUUAGAAAUGUGGAAGAAAGAGAAAAACAACCAUGUCUUCCAUGCAGACUCAGUAUUACUAGGUUGCUCUCAAAUUGAGAAACCAUCAGGAUAUUGGAGAAUCUAAUGUCAACUUUCUCCUUAAAUUCCCUCUUUUCCUCAAAUAGGUUUCCAAAAUCAGAACUUUACUGUAGACAUCAUCAAUUGCAUACAAGUCCAUGCUACAAUUACUAGCAAAGAAAUAGUAUACUUUCUAUGUGCAGCUAAGAUCCAACACAAGUCUAUUCUUGUCAAUCAUAUUGACAAGAUGUUUAAGUCGCUCAGGAUUCAUUUUCCCAUCGCUGAAAAUAUACUGCAAGAGAGUAACAAGUAUUGGUGGUUUAGGCCCAACAAAUGGGAAUAAAUCAGUACACAAUUUUCAACAGACAAAGUGCCUGCAUAACUACAGCUGAAUUCUGAAGAUUUUGGACGAUCAGGAAAUUGAGGUUGUCCCCCAACUUUGCCACCUAUAUUUUCGGCUCCUAAUUAUUUUUAUAUAUUUAUAAAAGUGAGAAAGUAGCUCUUGGUAUCGGAAUUCAACAUAUAUAAGCAUUUAAUAGAACUAGUAAUCAAAAUAUGAUGUAAUCAACAAAAGACAUAAAAUCAAUAAGAAAUUUCUAUUGUAUAUUUUGUAUAUAAAUAAAGCAUUAUCUAAAAAUAAACUUUUCAGUUCUUUUUACUAUUUAUACUGUGUAUAUAUGCCAAGCGAAAGAAUAAAAGACAUUCUACACUAAGGAGGUAUGUUCAUGUCCAAAUGCACAAGGGGAUUCUUGACAAGAGCCGUAUCCCUUCUGGUAUGUUGAAUUGAUAGCUAUAAAUAAGUCAUUAAACUAUCAAUGUGUUACAUAAAAAAGGAUGAAUCAAUAGAGUUCUCUUAACAUUCUUUCUUUUUUCCUCGAUAAUCAUCUUUUGAUCUGGGAGUUGGUUUAGGCUUAUGAAUGUGAUUGGAUUGCGAACAUUCUACAUGCAAGUAAAUAAAUACAUACCGACGUAACAAUCACAUGACUUGCCCCUUCUUCAAGAUAAUUCAUGGCAUUAGAUCCCACCUCCAACUUGCAUACCACCUACAGUUACAAUUCAACAAAGCAAGAAAACAUUAAAGUAGAAACUUGAAUUCGAAAAAAAGAAGAACUACAAAGAGAAAGGAAAAGACAUGACUUGAAUGAUAAUGCGUCAAAUCUUUAUGUCGACCUACAUAAGUCUCCAAUUUGGUAAGAUGGACAUUGAUGAAAUGAACGUAGAAGGAACUGAGAAAAGCAAAAUUCAUAAAUUUGAAGAAGACAAGUUAUUAAAGUAAAAUUAUGCACUUAUACCAUGUUAAUGAACCGUGACAAUGUGAACAUACAACAAAAUGCACAUUUACACACGAAGGAUAAGAUACCUAUGGAUGAUCACGAAGUUACCAGGGUAAGCACGAAGGGCCUCGAAGGCCGCAGAUUGGCUUGCGGCGUCGGCGCCAAGCAUUAUGACAUGGCCACCCUUGAGCCCGUCCUUCUUGUACAGAUUCGCAAACUCUGCCGGCAACUUCUCCGACUCGAAGUUGGUCACCAUGUCCGACGCGCCGCCGUCUGUCGAAUCACGAAGCGUGGAUCCCACGAUUUGUUUCACUUUAUCCUACCACUUUGGAUCUCGUUCUACUCAGCGGUGCCAAGAGAACCCGAGGAGAAAGCAAGAGAAGAAUGCGCAGUACCUUGUGGAUGUCGAUGCAGGGGCGGAACCGGACGGUACAGCUGAUCGAGCGAGGCUUGCUGUGCUUCCUCCCCAUCCUCCAAUGGCUCGCGGGGUGGGAAGAAGACAACGGGUUGCGAAGAGGGAUCGGGGUCGAAGGAGACGACCGGAGACUAGGGAGCGUUCGAGUAGUCAGUGGCAUCCCUUCGGGUGGAGCUGCGAUGAGGAGAGAGGAGGUGGUGGCGGACGCGGGCGACGUAGCGGCGUAAGUGCGGGGGUUGGCGCGGCGAUACCAGCGAUUCCACGAACAAUGUGAUCAAGUGGAAGAGAUCAUAUGCACGGGGAUACACUUUUGAUCAAGACCGUUCAUUUCUAGAAUAACGGUCGGAUGCUCAUCCUCAACUCGGUCCCGCGUGGUGUUUACUGUGCAUGUAUGAUCCACUUCCGUGGCGCUUUGAGACGCGUGCACGGUAUAGAUUGAUGCCUCCAAUUUGUGUCCUGAAAUGUGUUGUGCUUCAAUUAACAAUAUAUUAAUGCACAGUCAAAUUUAACUAUAACAUAUGUUAAGCAUUAUCAACUUUAAUCAAGAAUUUUUACUACAUUUCUACAUGUCAUAAAUAUUAAUUAAGGUAUAUUAAUUCAGACAAAAAAAUCAACACAAAAUUUUUUUUUUCGCUUUGGCAAUUAAUAAUUUUAUAUUUUAAAGUGUGAGUGAUUAGGAUGAUUUAUAAAAAAAACCUAUAAUUUUAAGAUUUUUUUAAUAGCACUUCAUUUUUACCUUAUAACAUAGAAAAUUUUUAUAUAUAGGCUUGGCUCAAUUUUCAGGCAUAACUGGUACAUUCCAAAAUAACUAUGACUCUGACAUCUUUACCCUUGGCCAUGAACCUCCUUUGAAUUUUGGAUCGGCUUAACUCUUUUUAUUUUCUAAGUAUUUCGAUAUAAUUAUCAUUUCAUUAUAUAAUGAUAAUUAAUAUUAUAUUAAUGGAGUAACAAUGUAUCUCCACUUAUUUCAAACUAUUAUAUGUUAGUCCUGGCUUUUUUUUCUUAUCAAUGAUCAUAAUAUGUAAUGAUCCUUUUAUUUUAUUUUAUUUUAUGCGAGAGUCAAGAACCAAUAUUACUAGACAUAAGAUAGAGUAGGGCAAUUGAUGAGAUGAAGAUACCAAGAAGCAUAUAAGCAUAUAAAAAGUGAUAAUAAGUUGUGAUUGUUGAAUCUCGGAUUUUGAUGAUGAAACUAAUUGAUUGUAUUUAGAUGUUUAAUUGUAUUUUGAGUGAUGCAGGUCUACUCGAUCAGGAUUAGACAGUUAACACGGGAGGAAUUGACGUUGCGCCGGAGGAGAUCACGUUAGGAUAUUGGAUGGCAGAAGGCUUCGGACGUCGGGCAUCGGGCCAAGAGCGGAAUUGCGCCAAGGAUAUCGGGGUUGCAGAGGUCAACCGCCGAUUGGGCAACAAGCCGCAAGAGAGGACAAUGAGCUGAAGAAUCGGACGAAGCGCUAACCAAUGAUGUGUCGGGCAACAGAAUGUCAAUUCGCGUUGAAAUAAUUGUCUAGAUCAAAGUAGAGUUUUGGCUUGUGUGUGCAGGAUUAACUACGAUAACGACGAAGAUAUAAAGCGAAACAAAGUGUCGGAGUCAAGCGCGAAGGAUUUGUUGCGAGUUUGAGAGUUCGACGGAAGUCCGAAGGUUCGUCGGGAAUGUUGCCGGAACUAGCCGAGAAUGAGUAGGGAGCUUGCCGAAAGGUUUUUCGGAAGCUCGCCGGAAGGUUCGUUGGAAGUUCGCGGAGCUCACCGAGAAAGAUCGGAGCUUGCCGAAGAAGCUAGUUGGAACUCGCCAAGAUCAAAUUGUGAAGUCUAGGAGCUUGCCGGGAGUCCGCAGAAUGGUUUUCGAGAGUUCGUCGGAAGACCGCCGGAAGUUUGCCGGAAGCUCACCGGAAAAAGUCUUGAAUUGCAGACUUUGUAAUAGCUUAGGAAAUGUCUUUAAAUUCGUAGUUAGCACGUUAAUUAGGGUUAGGAUUAGGUGUUAAUCCUAUAAUCCAAGUAGGGGCCAAUUGAGCUUGAGUUCGGACUGGUUUGAGCCAAGUUUGGAGCCCAACCAGUGAGCUGAAAUAGUGUAGGCGGUGGCACCGCCCAGAACCCGAGAACUGAGCGAUGGCACCGCUAGCCUCGGGAACCCAAGAGAAUUCAAAAUUUGGAGCCUAAAUUUGAAUCCUCUUGGGGCCUAUAAAUACCCCUCAAUUCUCAACUGAGAAGACAACAUUUGAGAAAGCAAAUAUAUUGAGAUAAAAGUCUUAGAGAAGUCUUUAGCAAGUCUUGUUCUCAAUUUUUGAGUGUUCACCUCCUUCUUUCUCUUAAAAAAUUUGUAAGAGUGUGAACCAUUUGCAAAAGGUUGUAAGAGGGGUAUUUGUCCUUCCCCUUCAAAAAGAUUUGUUAGUGGAAGUUGGGAGCCUCAUUGAAGAAGGUUUCGCAAGUCAAUGUAGGUCAUUUGACCGAACCACUUUAAAUUGACGUGUUCUCUGGUUUGCAUUUACUUAUUGCUAUUUACCUUACUGCAAACCUUCGUACGUACUUUACUUUCUCGUUACUUUUGCUGCACACCUUUACGAAUACGCUUAAGUUAAGCACUUUCGAGUUCGAUUUUUAUCGUACGAAAUAUUUUUCAAAACCGACGUUUUAAUCUACUGCACUAAUUCACCCCCCACCCCUCUUAGUGCCGCUUCGAUCCUAACAGUGGUAAGAUAAUCAUUCUUAAAAUAAUAUUUAUAUAAAAUUUUAAAACUUAGAGCGUUGUAGGAGACAAACAUGUGUGAUUUUCUAAAAACAGAUAAAAUUAUAUAAAUAUUAUAUAGAUAAUUUUAUCCAUAUUUUUAUAUAUAAAUAAUUUAUUCCUGUAAUUUUGGUUACACAAGCUACAUAUAGGAAUUAGGGUUUCGCUACAGGUGCUAUCUUUUGUCCCACAAUGGCGGCUGUUACGAUCCGCUCCGUACUCCGCCGCAAUAGCCUUCUGCCCCUGUUCGAAACGUGCCGCCUUCGAGAUCUCUUCUUCUUCUCCUCCUCUGUCGACCCUGCCGCCGCUGUAGGCGUCACCAUAUCUCCAGAUCCCAACUUCAUGGUGGAAUACCUCGUGAACUCCUGUGGGUUCUCCCCCCUCCGAGGCAGCCAAGUUCUCUAAACCCCUUGCGCACCUCCGAUCCACCGAGAAACCAGACGCCGUCCUUAACUUCAUGAGAUCUCAGGGCUUCGACGGCGCCGGUAUCAGGAAGGUGAUAUCUGGGGAUCCCAGAUACUUAUGCUGCAACGUGGAGAAGAACCUCACCCCGAAGUUUCAGUUCUUACGCGAUUUGGGCCUAUCGGAGUCUGACAUCGUCGAUGUCAUCCGGAAUAACAAUGAGAUCCUCUGCCGCAACGUUCACCGUUCCUUCGUCCCCAGAUUGGAGUUGUGGGAAAGUAUCUUGGGAUCGAGAGAGCUUGUUCUCAAGCAUCUCAAGAAGACAGGAUGGUUUUUCUUUCCCAGCGUUGAGAAGACAUUGCAUCCUAACCUAAAAUUCUUGAGGGAUGAGUGCGGCAUUCCUGAAGAAAGGCUCUCUCUCGUCUUGAGAAGUCACCCACAAUUAAUCUCACAGAAACCAGACUCUCUCCGAGCUUUGGUGGCGAGAGCCGAUGAGCUGGGGAUGCCACGGCAAUCUCGGAUGUUCAUGUGGACACUUAAUAUUCUCCAGAGGGUAAGCAGAGAAAGGUUCGAGGCCAAGGUCGAGCUCAUGAGGUUUUUCGGGUGGUCGGUGUCGGAGUUUUCUUCUGCAGUCAGGAAAAAUCCCACUUUCUUAGGCAUUUCCCUCGAUAUGAUGUGGAGAAAAGUGGAUUUUUUUUAUCAAUGUGGUCGGUUGCACCCCUUCCUUCAUCGCCGACAAAUCAAAUCUCUUGCUAUUUAGUCUGCAGAAGAGGGUAAUUCCUCGGUUUCGUGUCACAGAGAUGUUGAAAUCGAAAGGAUUGUGGACUGGACAAGGCUAGUUUACAUGCAUUCUCACAUUAUCAGACACCAAGUUCAUUGAGAAGUUUGUUCUCCCUCACAAAGAAAGCUUGAUAUUUUGGGAGUUGUGGGCGUGUGUAAAGGAAAAUGAUACCUUUCAUUUGGUAUCGGAGGCUGAGAAAGGGCUUAGCUGAUGGUCUAAUUUGUCCACGACAAAAGGUAGAUUAUUCCCCUAAUUUGAGAUUUGGGAAUUUUCUGCAAAGGGCUUAUCUAAAGGUCCAUUUAGGUGUGGGAUUUUUCUUUUAUGACAAGCUAGCUAGGUUAACAUUGAUUAUAAAUCAAAUUUGUUCUGUCUUACUGAUUGCUAGCUUAAAUUAUUUUCUGAUUGUCUUUGGCAUAGUAUUGUUGCUUUGUACGUUAGCUGCAAGUUUUAAAAUUUCUACCUAACAGUCCAACUGAGAUGACCUUCGGAUCUAUCGUAGGGACAUUUGGCUUUUGUCCAAAUUAAUUCCAAUUCCGGAUGGGAUUUUGGUUGUUGGGUAAGUCUCAAAGAGUCCUAUUUUAGAUCAACUUAUGCAGUAAGUAUAUACAAAAUAUCACCAAAGAUCACAGGAAGUUGCUGAGUAGUAGUUGCUCUAACGAUUUAAGUGGCUGAAAAAAUCAUAGAACAGUAAAGAGUUGUUUCUGUAAUUUGUUUUGAAAUGAGUCGUCACCCGAUUUAUGGAUUUGGAUAUGUCUAAGAAGGCUUCUUUGCAUACUUAUUUAUUUGUGUGCUAAUUGGAUAUUUAAGUUUAAUUUAUGCAUUGUAGUAUUAGUGUGCAGUUGCUUCAAUGGAGUUUGAAAGAGCAGUUGCAUUGGGCUGAUCAGGAGUCACCAGCUUUAGUACUAACUUUGCUUCUGGGUUGUAUGGACUUUUCUCAGAGCAUCAAGACUUUGAGUAUGCUAUCCUAAAAUUUCUUCAGCCUCAUUUGGAAUUGCUAAAGCUUUUCCUGCAUCAAAAAGUCGAUUAUGAAAUCUUGAUAUGUGAGCCUCCUCCAAUAGUUGCAUCUUUAUUGAAUGAAAAUAUCUUUAUUGAAUGAUUUUCAAGAACACAAAAUCGUUUAUGAAAUAUAAUAAAAUCAUUCUUAGCUUAAAAUUUUUUUAGUUAAGAUCCCUAAGCUAUCAAAUUAGCUAUUAUCUGCAGAUGAAUAUUUUUCUUUUGAUUUUUUUUAUCCUUUCUACAAAAAAUAAUUGUACCAUUAGACAUAUUUAUUUGCCUCAAAUAAAAGUUCUAGCUUUAUAUUUACCAAAUUUGUCAUCAUAAUUUUUUUAAAAUAUUCAUAUAGGUUAUAAGAUUUAAAAAAAUUUUAUUCAAGACAUCAACAAUUAUAUUAGCCUUCCCAAGAUGAUCUUUAGGAAGUUUGAUGAUCUUCUCUAUCCCAUAUUUAAAUUAUUCUAAGUGAAAAUAUACUUGAAAUCUUAUUUAAGAUUUCAAAAGUAUAUCCAUAAAGAUAAUACCUUUAAAGUUUUAGUGCGAAAAUGUUAGAUAUUAGUUUAAGUUAUGAGUAAGAUAAGUUUAUUUCAUGAGGCUUUAAUUAUUUAUGUACAUAAGAAUUAUUUUUUAUUUUAUAUUAGAACAUAACUAAGUCUUUGAAGUGAGGUGUUACUAUACAUUACAAGACCUCAUAAAGAUCAGAAUAAUAGCUAAUUUCUCUUUCAAUUCUUCAAAACUUUAUUGACACAAUUUUACAUUCUUGUGUGUUAAUUUGGUUAAAGGUAUUGUUAUUUUUUAAAGAUCUUUUACAAAUCUUUUACAAUAUCCAAUCAUACCCAAUAAGACUUUAAACUUUGAAACAUUAAGAGGUUGUUUCCAAUUCAUCAUAGUUUCAAUUUUUUGGGGGCCAAUAGACAUAUCACACUAGAAAUUAUAUGACCAAGAAAUAUAACCUUAUUGAGAUACAAAUUGAAGUUAUUAAAUUUGACAUACAGUUUCUCUUGUCUUAAGACUUUUAAAAUUUGUCCUUAGAUAGUGUUUAUAUUUUGUUAUAUUUCCUAUUUUUGAAGUAGAUCAAAAUGUUAUCAUUGAAUAUAAUUAUAAAUUUAUCAAAAUAAGAGUGGAAUCACUUAGAUCCAUAAAAGCAACUAGUACAUUUGUGUAUUCGAAAGAUAUUACUAAAAAUUUAUAAUAAUCAUAUCUUAUUCUGAAAAUAAUUUGAUGUAUUUCUCAAUCCCUCUUAUCUUUAGUUGAUAAUACUCAAAUCUCAAAUCAAUUUUUGAGUAUACUUGAGUGCUUAAAGCUGAUUAAAUAGUUCAUCUAUCCGAGAAAAAAAAUAUUUAUUUUUUAUGAUCACUUGGUUGAGUUCUCUUUAAUCGAUGCGUAGGAUCCAUCAUUUUUCUUUAUAAACAGGUGAUGGAAACCCCAAGAUAAUAUAUUAGAUCGAAUAAAGCCAUUAUCUAAAAGUUCAUGAAUAUGCUUUUUUAACUCUAACUCAAUUGGUCUCAUUCUAUUAAGAAUUUUGGAAAUAGGUGUAGUGUCAAGUAGAAGGUCAAUUAUAAAUUCAAUUUACUUGUUCGGAUAAUCUAAGUAAAUCUUUAAGAAAAUCAUAUGAAAAAUCUUAUACAAAAGAGAUAUCUUUUAAUAUAAUAAAAAUAAAACUAAGUACUCUCAAUAUCCUUUCAAUAAUAGUUAGUAGCACUAAAAGUUGAAAUAAUAUGAUAGAGCUUUUCUUGAAGCCCAAUGAACUAAAUGAAUGUUUGAUAUUGGGGUGAGAAAAUAACAAUUUUUUGAAAAUAAUCAAUAUUAUGAAACUCUAGUAGAAUAAAGUCUACUAACAAAUCAUGACUUUCAAUAAUAACAACACAAUUUCUAAAUAAUUGAUUAGUUAUCAAAGAGUUUUUAAUUAGUGUUGCUAUUAACAAUGCAUUACUAGUUGUUUUAGGAUUCUUAUGUAGUCUCUUAAUAAAAUAAUAUGAUAUAAAAAAUAUAUGGAACCAGAAUCUAUAAGCAUAUAAUAGACAUACCAUGGAGUAUAAUUAUACCUUGAAUGAUAAAUCUUGAGGCUUCAACAUCUUAACAGGUGAGUACAUAGUUUCAAUUGAUCUCCCCUUUUAUGUUUUGACUAUUACUAUUCAUAUGUUUGCUUUGGAGUUUGACGUUGGCGUUGUUUCUAUAGGUUGUCAUUCAACAAGUGUCUUGGUUACUGACAAAAGGCAUAUAUGUUGUCCCAUGGGGCGUGAGGUGAAAAUAUGAUCAAUCUUUUCAUAUAUAUAACAACUUAGGACAACUUGAUUACUAAGAGCUCGUAUAUAGUAAUGUCAAGAUUAUCUGCUCUUGCCCUUCUUUGAUGGUCCAAAAUAUGAUCCCCUAUAUAUAGAUGGUACAACACUAAAAGGUAACUUUUGAGUCUUUAUCUAUUAUAAUUCAUUAUCCAAUUUUUUCACCACUAGAGUUAGAUUGAGUACUUCAGUAUAUAUUAGUAAAAUUAAUACAAUAACAGAUUUUUCAAUUGAUGGAUGAAAUCUACUCUCAAAAAGAUAAGUCUUUUAAUAUUUAUUAAAGAUAAUAUAUGAAGAGAACUCGACUAGCUCAAUGAAAUAAUAAUCAUAUUUCAUCAUAAUCCUACUUUCCUAAUGAAUGCUAACGAACUCAUAUUGCUUUUCGAAACGAACCAAAUUAGGAAAGAACUACUUUAUUUUUAAAUUUCUCCUUUCCUAAAUGAAAAAAAUAGAUGACAUCUUCUAGUUUUCUUUGUGUUCAAUAGUUUUAAAUAUUUUCUUCACUUGAAGGAUCUAACGUUCUACAAGAUUAGAUCUAGUUUGUUCUAGAAAAUAAUUAGUCUCAAUUUCUUAAGGUGAUCUAAAUUGUUAUUUUUAUCUCGCUAAGCUUCAUCUCACUUCUUUUGAUUCUCAAAAUAGCCUCUUAUAAUAUUAAGAAUUUCGUGUACAUCAUCUAGAGUAUUGGCAAGUGCUGAAAAAUGAGAUGCAUUUUAAGGUGUCCAGAAAGUUAGCACAUAAUCAGUCAUAGGUGUAUGUGAGGAUUAAGUUUGUUUCAAAGUGAUAGGUGUAUGUGAGGAUUAAGUUUGUUUCAAAAUACGUAAAACUUUCAAGUUAAUAUUUGCUAUACAUCUUUCGGAGUCAUAUGCCAAUAGCAUUAUGACCAUAAAUAUCUCGAGCAAUAUGAUUAUUAUUUACUUAAAUUGGAUUCAUAUCUCGUAUAAUAAGUUAAAAAAUAAUCAUUGAAUAUCUAUUAACCCUAAAUAAAGCAAUGAUAUCAUAAAAAAAGCACAUCCUAUAUACUUUUUUUGAAUGAUUACAACAUCUUUCUAUAUAUACAUCACUAGCCAAAUUAAAAAAAAUAUUUUAUUAAUAUAUAAAUUAUAAAUAUUUAUUAUAAUUUAUUUAUUCAUAAAAAUAAAAGUCAAAAGUUAGGUUUUAUAAAGAAAGAUAAAUCAAAAAGAAAAUCCAACUAGCUGUACCUAGCGAAAAAGAUAUUUUUGCUCUCUAUUAGAAUUCGAUUUAGUAUUAUUAUAAGAUUGUUUUGAAAAUUAAAAAUAAAAUAAUAAAAUUUUAAUAUGUUGAGUAGGAAACCUUAUAAGUUAAAUGUAACAUAAAUACAUAUCCAAAACAUGCUCAAAUAUGCACUCCCAUAACAACAAAUGGAAAAGUUUAUGUUUUCCUAAUAGUAAAUAGAUACAAAUACAUAUUGUGAUAUCAUUCACCUACUAAGGUAGAUAGAUAUUUUCAGUGUCACUAAUAUUAAAAAAAUAUCAAUUAAUUCUCAAUUGAUUUGAACCAUGACUCAACAUUUAACUCAAUUUAACUAGUACAUAACUAAAAUCGAUAUCUUAUUUUUAUUUAAUCGAUUUGAACCACCCCUUUAGAUUAGAUUUUAUUUAAUUUAGGUUAAAUAGAUUUAAAUAAGUUAAAUCGGUUUGAAAUUCUCCAGAUCAAAACUGAUUAAAUGUAAUUUGAUUCAGGAUAAUAAGAUAGAUUAUACAAUACUAAGUUAGAUUGAGCUAGCCUAAAUCAUAUACACUGCGUAUGUUUGUGCAUACAUCAUCAAAUUAUAGUCAAAAUAAUUAAUCAUUAAUAUUGAGUCAUUAAAAUAUAAUAAAUAAUAAUAGAUCCAAAAAGAUAAAAUUAUAUUAGGGAGAAAAUAACGUUUUUAUUCGACUAUUAUAUAAAUCUAAUAGAAAUCAAAUAUUACAAUUAGCAUGCAAGAAAAAAUUUAAUUUUAUAUAUAGUAUGAAUAAUUAAAAUAUAUUAUUAAUUAAAAAUAAUUUUUUAAAUACUUAACAGCAUGGAAGAAAAUUUUAUAAAUUGUAUAUAGCAUGAAUAAUUAUAAUAUAUUUUAAUAUAAAAAUAAAAUUUUAAGUACUUGAAUGAAUAUAAGAAAAUUUUAGAAACUGCACAUAAUAUAAAUAAUUGUAAUACAUCUCAAUUCAAAAAUAUUUUUUAAAAAAAAUUAAAUAUAUAAAGAAUAUUUAUUUUUUUUUAAAUACAAGAGAACCUAUUCUUAUGUAAAUUCUUGUUCCUCACACAAUAAAAAAUGGAGAAACUCCUCCCCGCCCUUCAAGGUAAUAAUUUUUAUUUUUAUUUAAUUUAUUGAUAAAAAAUAACAACAUUUAACCUAAAGUAUAAAAUAUUUAUUUUAUAAAUUUUAUUCCCUAGAAAUUAAAAAAAAAAUUAUACUGAAAGAUUUGAUUACAAAUGAAACGGUGAAAAUAGUAUCUUGUAGAUCACUUUAUCUAUUUGUUUGAUAUAAAUAAUUUAUCCUGUAAUUUUGUAUUUCUUGUGCAUAGCGAAGAAGGUUACACACGCUGCAUAUAGGAAUUAGGGUUUCGCUACGGGUGCUAUCAUUUGUCCCACAAUGGCGGCUGCGACGCUCCGCUCCGUACACCGCCACAAUAUCCUUCUGCCCUUCUUCAAAACCUGCCGCCUUCGAGAUCUCUUCUUCUUCUCCUCCUCUGUCGACCCUGCCCCCGCUGUAGGCGUCACCAUUUCUCCAGAUCCCAACUUCAUGGUGGAAUACCUCGUGAACUCCUGUGGGUUCUCCCCCUCCGAGGCAGCCAAGUUCUCUAAACCCCUUGCGCGCCUCCGAUCCACCGAGAAACCCGACGCCGUCGUUCACUUCAUGAGAUCUCAGGGCUUCGAUGGCGCCGGUAUCAGAAAGGUGAUAUCUCGAAAUCCCAGUCACCUAUGCGUGAACGUGGAGAAGAACUUGGCCCCGAAGUUUCAGUUCUUACGCGAUUUGGGCUUAUCGGAGUCGGAUAUCGCCGAUGCCAUCCUGAAGAACGAUUUCAUCCUGCGCCUCGACGUUCACCGUUCCUUGGUCCCCAGAUUGGAGAUGUGGGAAAGUAUCUUGGGAUCGAGAGAGCUCGUUCUCAAGCAUCUCAAGAAGACAAGAUGGUUUUUCUUCUCCAGCGUUGAGAAGACAUUGAAUCCUAACCUAAAGUUCUUGAGGGAUGAGUGCGGCAUUCCUGAAGAAAGGGUCUCUGUCGUCUUGAGAAGUCGCCCACAAUUAAUCUCACAGAAACCAGAGUCUCUCCGAGCUUUGGUGGCGAGAGCCGAUGAGCUGGGGAUGCCACGGCAAUCUCGGAUGUUCGUGCGGACACUUAAUGCUCUCCACUACGUAACCCAAGAAAGGUUCGAGGCCAAGUUCGAGCUCAUGAGGAGCUUCGGGUGGUCGGAGUCGGAGUUUUCUUCUGCUGUCAGGAAAGCACCCACCUUCAUAGGCAUGUCCCUCGAUAUGUUUCGCAGAAAAGUGGAUUUUUUUAUCAAUGUGGUCGGUUACACCCCUUCCUUCAUCGCCGACAAAUCAUCUCUCUUGCUAUUUAGUCUGCAGAAGAGGGUCAUUCCGCGGUUUCGUGUGACGGAAAUGUUGAAAUUGAAAGGGUUGUGGACUGGAAAAUACAAGUUUACAUCGAUUCUCUUAUUCACAGAUACCAAAUUCAUGGAGAAGUUUGUUCUCCCUCACAAAGAAAACGUUCCUGAGCUGCUUGAUAUUUUGAGAGUUGCUGGCACCUGGAAAGGAAAUUAUACCUUGCAUUUGGCAUCGGAGGAUGAGGAAGGGCUUAGCUGAUGGUCUAAUUUGUGACGACGAAGGUAGAUUAUUCCCCUAAUUUGAGAUUUUGGAAAUAGAAUGCAAAGGGCUUAUCAAAAGGUGAAUUGAGGUGUGGGAUUUUUCUUUUAUGACAAGCUAGAUUAGCAUUGAUUAGAAAUCAAAUUUGUUCUGUCUUACUGAUUGUUAGCUUAAAUUGUUUUCUGAAUGUCUUUGGCAUAGUAUUGUUGGUCUGUCUGUAAACUGCAUGUUUUAGAAAUUCUACAUGACAGUCCAACUGAGAUGACCUUUGGAUCUAUCGUAGGGACUUUUGGAUUUUGUUUGGGUAAGUCUUGAAGGGUCAUAUUUCAGAUCAAGUUAUGCAGGAUAUAGAAAUUAUCACCAAAGAUCUUAAUUCCAAUUCCGGAUUGGUUUUUGUUUGGGUAAGUCUUGAAGAGUCAUAUUUCAGAUCAAGUUAUGCAGGAUAUAGAAAUUAUCACCAAAGAUCACAAGAAAUUGUUGAGUGGUAGUUACUCUAAUGAUUUAAGUGGCGAAAAAAACUUAAAACACCAAAGAGUUGUUUCUUUAAUUUGUUUUUAAAUCAGUCAUCACCCAAUUUAUUGAUUUGGAUAUAUCUAAGAAGGUGUUAUCUCUUGUCAGUCGAGGCUUCUUUGCAAACUUAUUUAUUUAUGUACUAAUUGGAAUAUUUAAAUUUGAUUUUUGCAUUGUAAUAUUAGUAUGCAGUGGCUUCAAUGGAAUUUGAAAGACCAGUUGCACUGGGUUGAUCAGGAGUCACCAGCUCUUCUGAAAUGUCUUCAACCUCCUUUGGAAUUGCUAAAGCUUUUCACGCAUCAACAAACUCUUGCAUGCCUCCAUAGGCUUCUGCUCGUCCACUCUUUGUGAUUCCAGGUGCAGAUCUCUUCAUUCUUGGAGUUCAUUCUUGGAUUCGGUGGAUGCAACUUUUCAUCAUCAUAGCUGAAGCUUCUGCUCUACUCGAAAGCUUUCGGAAGGCUGUACAACUAAAUUUCUCCAACAUCUGAAUCGAACUAAUUCCCUUGAGUUAGUCGAUUCGCUGGUUCCUUCUUUUAUUUCUUUGUUCAAGUCUUUAUGUUGUCGAUGUGGUCCAUGUUUCCCGUGUCAUGAAAGGCGUGGUCCAUUGGCUAGUCAAUCUCAGAAGGACUGUAAAUUCUCUAUGUUUUGUGGGUCUUGUAAUGAUAGAUCAGUCUAGCUCAUUAUCUAAUCCACUUUAAUCUUUUAUGAAAUUUCUCCUUUUUUGGUAAAAAUAAACAAACUCUAACAUGCAAACUAACAUGUAAGCUCAGAAGGUUUAAAAGUGACAAUUAAAUGUGUAUUGCAAGAUUCGGUAAUUGGCUUUAUUUCUUGUUGUAGAGUUUAUGAUCAUUUACGUCACUAGUAUUUCUUAUUUAUGCACACUAUCUUGACCCGUUCUCAACGAGUAUUUUUCUGGCUAUCCGUGCCUUUUUGUAUGUAUUCAGUGUUUUGAAUUUUGAUAUCAGUUGAUCCCUCUUUAUUCUAUUCUUUGUCUUAGAUAAUAAUGUGUCUCUAUUUUGUUAAGACAGACAUUAGUGAAAUGAAUAUAUGGAAGGAACUGAGAAAAGCAGAAUUCAUAAUUUUAAAUAAGACAAGUCAUCAAAGCAAAAUUAUGCACUUAUAUCAUGUUAAUGAACCAAUGCAACGUGAGCAUACAACAUACGCAUUUUCAAACAAAGGAUACGAUAUUUAUUGAUGAUCACGAAAUUGGCAUAUAUAGAUUGAUGUCUCCAGAUUGAAAUGUGGCCUGCUGUAAUUAACAGGUGUUAUGCUACAGAUAUACUAUAUUGAUGUAUGGUUAAUUUAAUUAAAUAUCAUAUAAUCCAUGAUCAACUUCAAUCUUGAUUUUUUUUUGAAUUUUUACGAGUCAUAAAUACUAUUCAAGACAUAUUAAUUUAAACAAAAGAAAUCAAGUUUUAAAGGAUUAUAGGAUUGUUUUUUUUUCAAAUCUGGUGCAGCAAUAAAUUAUUUUUGGAUCAAAUAAAUGAAUAAUUUUAUAUUUUUUAAAUACAAAAUUAUAUAAAUAUUUUGUAGAUCACUUUAUCCAUAAUUUUGAUAUAAAUAAUUUAUUCCUGUAAUUUUAAUCUCUCGUAAUAGUGAAUGAUAGUUGUUGAAAUUAUGAUGCUCCUAUGGCUCUCCUUUAUUCUUAAAUAAUUGUCAUAAAGCUUGUCUUCCUCCUUAGUCAUGAUAACUUCUUAUCCCUAUUUGAAACCUAUCGCUUUCAAGGUCUUCUUUUUUUCAUAUCUUACUUCAUCACCGAUUGAUUGUGAUCAUGUUCUAUCAAAUUAGCUGAAAAGAUAAGGAUGAUUGAAGAUGAACUCAACGUUUAAUAAGAAGAAGUGAAUAACAUUAUGGAACUAUGACUCAAAUGCGUCUAAUGUCCUAUCGUGUACAAGCAAAAGGAUGACCUCCUCAAACUGAUGGGUGAAUCCAACAGACAAUUGAGAUGGAAGCACCUCUAUCGGACGCAUUCCAUGCCAGGAAGCAUCCCCAUCAUCAUCAUACAAUAGUACAUAUGUUGACCUAUGUACGAGUGUACAACAUGAAAAGGGAAGCUCUUAGCUAGUCUUCAACUCUUCUUCUUCCUCUCUUAAGAACUAACGGGGGAUACCGAGUGAGCUAACGGGGGAUGCAGGAGGCCACAUAAAGAAGAGUAGGUAAGGAGAUAGAGGAAGAAUGAUUCUGGAGAUCUUAGCAGUCAAGGACAUGACGCUAUUAUUGAACCUUUUAGCCAUGAGAGCAACAUAUAUCAUUGUCUCUAUCACACUUUCUUCCCCCAAAUAUAAUUUAGCCCUGCUUUGUCUCAAUGCAGUCUGCAAUAACAAACCAACGAAGUGAGUUUUCAUAAGUACAUUUUGAAAUCAGCAUUUGAUCAGAUCCGUGAACAUGCAUUAGUACAUACAUUAAUAUCUAAAACCUUUAAUCAUAUAAUGUUUUGAUUUGAGUACCUGAAACUAAGAAAAUUUUCAAGAAACAAUAAUCUCAUAAAUUAAAUCACUAGAAAGGUUAAUUUCAUACAACUAUUGUACAUCUGUUCUCCAUAUGCUAUCAUACAACUUUAAGGUAUGGAUAUAUAUAUAUAUAUAUAUAUAUAUAUAUAUAUAUAUAUAUAUAUAUAUAUAUAUAUAUAUAGUUUUACGAUCUUAACUUAGAGUUAAAUCAUGACCACAUAAUAUAAAUCAUAUAAAUCGAGUAUAAUCAAAUUAUACUUGAUCAUAUAAGUUAAAUUAUAUUUGAUUAUAUGAGUUAAGUCAUAUCUAACUAUAUAAGUUUGGUUAUAUUUAGUCACUUGUGUUAAGUCAUACCUAAUCACAAAAAUUUGAUCAUGUCUAAUCACACAAGCUAAAUCAUGCUUGAUCACAUGGAAUGGAUUAUGCUUAAUCAUACGAGUUAUACCUGAUCAUAUAUGCUAAGUCAUAACUAUUAAAUGAGUUAGACAAUGCUUGAUAACAUAGGAUGAGUUAUGUUUAACCACAUAAGUUAGAUCAUGUCUCAUCACAUAAAUCGAGUAAUAUAUAACUAUAUAUAUUAUAUUAUAAUUGACUAUAUGGAUUGUGUUAUGUUGAAUCACAAGAGUUGAAUCAUACUUGACCACGACCACGUAGAUUGAAUGAUACCUAAUCACGUGAGUUUGAUUGUACUUCACCAUAUAGAUUAAUUUGGUCAAUCAACUUAACUAAGAUUAAAUCUCAAAUUUGACUCAUACUUGUUAAAUUAGAUUUUAACAUUUUAAAAAUAUUUUAAAAUAUUAUAAAAAUAAUAAUUCAUCAUAAAUCUAUUAAUUUUCAUGAAUUAACUAAUUUAGAUUUAUGUUCAAAAUUUAAAAGUAAUUAAAUCUAAAAAUACAUACUUAAUUGUUUAAAACAUAAAUACACUUUCAAUGAUCAUUAUUUAUUAAUAAUAAAAUUUUAAAAUUAAAAAUAUCAUUUUUUAUGUAUAAAUUAAAAUAAUUUAAAUAUUAAAUAAUUUUAAAAAUAUAAAAAUAAAAUAUUAAUAAUAAAAAAAAUAUACUCUCCUCAUGAUCAUUUCCUCUAAGAGAGCUAGGAAUUGAGUAAAGAUGAGCUUGAGCUCUCCAUAAAAGAUAAAUAAUAAUUUUAAUAAUUUUCUUAAUCAUAUUAUAUAAAUAAAAAAUACUAAUUUAAAUAAAAUAAUAUAUGAUUUAAAGUAAUUAAUUGAUGUUAGAAAUUUAUGGAUGAUUACAAAAGUCACGACUUUAUUGGAUGAUCUGCAUGAUUAGUAAACUAAUAAAUUAUCUGUAGUCAAUCAAGCUAACCUAACAAUUACAAGAUCUUUUGAAUGUUGAUAGUUGCAAUUUGUUAACUAUGUAAUCAAACAAAGAAGACAAAAUUCAGAAUAUGCUAUAAGUUCCUGAAGUUUCAGAAUACCUAACAUCUAUAAAAAGGGAAGAGUUGAGAUGAAGCAUUAUGAAAACGAUGUAAAAGUAUAACAUGAAAAUGCACCAAGGAAUAUAUAUAUAUAUAUAUAUAUAUAUAUAUAUAUAUAUAUAUAUAUAUAUAAUUCAUCAAGAAAAAUUCAGAUCAUCAGAUAUGAGAGACAGCAAAAACAUAAAGGGCUUUCACAUGCAUGCAUGGCAAACGAAAAGGUUCAAUUGUGAUUUUAAAAACAUAAUUGUCAUGCAAAAAGAUAAAUUAAUGGUUCAAGUAAGACAUAUCUUAAUAAGAGUAAUUUAAUUUUUAACCCACGAGACCAAGCCGAAGCAUUACACAAUAGGAGUAAUAAAAAAUCCACAGUUAUUGAAAUUUGUUACUUAAAAACUCGGAGUAACUUAUAGUUACCAUUUCCCCAUAAACCAAAAAUUUAUUUCCACUAUAUUUUUCCUUGACUAAGAAUAACAUCAUUAAACUUCUACCAUCGAUCGAUGACAAUGACAAACUUGCCAUCUGUAGGAGAGCAAAGGUCAAGAACAAAAACAUGAGAAACCAUAAAAUUCUUUCUUAAAAAAAUUAAUUUAAUAAGUUCAUAUCAAGUGGUCAAUUAAGAAAAUUAUCAAAAGUAAUAUCAUGGUUACAUCUACUCCGCGGGCUAUGAUAUAGCUUAUGAGUUCAGCCUAACAUACUAAUUUAUUUCAAUUUAAAUCAUAAUUAAUUUUUAAAUUUUAAAUUAUACUAUCAUGAAAUUAUAACAAAAAUAAAUUAUAUACCGAUCAUUUUCAUGUCGAGAUAAAAUAAUAUAUUAAAAUAUUUUUAAUUUAUCUUUUAAAUAUUAUUUAAUAUAAAAUAAUAUCAAUUAGUCCUUAAUUAACUUGAAUCCUAGUUCAAUCGAUCUAAUUGAAUUGGAUUUAAUUAUAACCUAGUUUAAUCGAUCUCUAAUUCUUAUUUAAUUGAUCUAAAAUUAUCUUAAACUUAAUAUAUUUUAGAUUAUAUUAAGUUUAAUUUAUGUUAAAUAUAUUUAAAUAAAUUAAAUUACUUCAAAGUCACCUUCAAUCGAUUUAAAUUUAUCAAAUUAGAUUUCGCUCAAUCGAACACAAAUGAAAUAAAGUAAAGAUAGUAAUAUGAUAUGUUAAGUUAGUCGAUGUACUUAUUGUAUAUGACUAUGCAUAUAAAAUACCAAGCUAUGUCGAAUCAUAGCCCAUGAACUAAUCAUAUGCACUACACAUGAUUGUCCAUGUUGAGUCGGAUUGAAUGACUAACUAGGCUUAACCUGUUGGGUCGAAUCUACGGGUUGUAGUUUAGCCUGUGGGUAGAUCCUGAUUUGCUAAACGAAUUUCAACCUAAAUCAUAAUAAUUUUUUUAAUUUUAAAUUAUAACAUCAUGAAAUUAUAAUAAAAAUCUCAAACUAUUGCAAUUGAGUCAUUAAAACAUAAUAAAUAGUAAUCUAUUAAAAAUAUAAAAUUGCAUUAAGGGGGAAAUAAUAUUUUUAUUCAACUAUUAGAUAAAUCUAAUAAAAAUUGAAUAUUACAACUAGUAUAAUGCAUAAAAGAUAAAAAUUUUCAAAAUUAUUAUAGUAUGAAUAAUUAUAAUAUAUUAAAUCUAAAAAUAAAAUUUUAAAUAUUUGGAUGAAUAUAAUAAAAUUUUAGAAACUAUAUAUAUCAUGAAUAAUAAAAAAUAAAAAAAUAUUAAUUUUUUAAAAAAUAUAGAAACACCUAACUGUACGUAGUGAAAAACGAAGAAGAGGAAUCACCCCUAUUAAAUAAAAAAGUCCAACCUUCCAAGGUAAUAAAUAUUUUAAUUUAUUUAUUUAUUUAAUAAAAAAUUAUAUCACUUAACUUAAAAUAUUGAAUAUUUAUUUUAUAAAUUUUAUUCAUAAGAAAAGAAAGUAAAUAAUUGUACUUAAACUGAAAUAUUUAAGCACAGAUGAAACCUGUCAAAUUAGUAUUUUAAGAUCAUUUUAUCCAUAUUUUUUAUAUAAAUAAUUUAUUCCUAUAAUUUUGUUUUUCUUGUGCAUUGCGAAGGUUAUACACAAUACGUAUAAGGAGGGUGGUUGUAAUUAGGGCGCCGCUGCGGCUGCUCUCUUGUCCCACAACGGCUGCUGCUCCGCUCCGCUCCGUACUCCAACGCCGCAAUGGCCUUCUGCCCUUGUUCGAAACCUGCCGCCUUCGAGAUCUCCUCUUCUUCUCCUCCUCUGUCGACCCUGCCGCCGCCGUAGGCGGCACCAUAUCUCCAGAUCCCCACUUCAUGGUGGAAUACCUCGUGAACUCUUGCGGGUUCUCCCCCUCCGAGGUCCGAGGCAGCCAAGUUCUCUAAAUCUCUUGCGCACCUCCGAUCCACCGAGAAACCCGACGCCGUCCUUAACUUCAUGAGAUCUCAGGGCCUCGGUGGCGCCGCUAUCAGGAAGGUGAUAUCUUCGGAACCCAAUUACCUGUGCUACAACGUGGAGACGAACAUCGCCCCGAAGUUUCAGUUCUUACGUGAUUCGGGCCUAUCGGAGUCGGAUAUCGUCGAUGUCAUCCUGAAGAACGUUGUUAUUCUGCUCCUCGACGUUCACCGUUCCUUGGUCCCCAAAUUGGAGAUGUGGGAAAGUCUCUUGGGAUCGAGAGAGCUCGUUCUCAAGCAUCUCAAGAAGACCCGGUGGUUUUUCUUCUCCAGCGUUGAGAAGAAAUUGCAUCCUAACCUAAAGUUCUUGAGGGAUGAGUGCGGCAUUCCUGAAGAAAGGGUCUAUGUCGUCUUGAGAAGUCACCCACAAUUAAUCUCACAGAAACCAGAGUCUCUCCGAGCUUUGGUGGCGAGAGCCGAUGAACUGGGGAUGCCACGGCAAUCUCGGAUGUUCGUGCGGACACUUGAUGCUCUCCACAACGUAAGCCGAGAAAGGUUCGAGGCCAAGGUCGAGCUCAUGAGGAGCUUCGGGUGGUCGGAGUCGGAGUUUUCUUCUGCAGUCAGGAAAGCACCCACCUUCUUAUGCAUCUCCCUCGAUAUGUUGCGCAGAAAAGUGGAAUUUUUUAUCAAUGUAGUCGGGUACACUCCUUCCUUCAUCGCCUCCCAACCAUCUAUCUUGCUAUAUAGUCUGCAGAAGAGGGUAAUUCCUCGGUUUCGUGUUUUGGAGAUGUUGAAUACGAAAUGCUUGUGGACUCGACAAGGCACGUGUUUGUCCUAUGUGAAAUUAUCAAAUGCAAAAUUCCGGGAGAAGAUUGUUCUACCUUACAAAGAAAAGGUUCCUGAGCUUCUUGAUAUUUUGAGAGCUGGUGAGUGUGAAGGGAAAUGAGCCCUUUUAUUUGGUAUCAGAGGAGGAUGAGAAGGGCUUAGCUGCUGGUUUAACUCACAUUUGAAUUUCUCAUCCGGAGCUGAGCAGUGAUUCGGCACCUUUUUCCUUGACAACAAGCUGUCUUACAUCAACCACCAGCCUUGGCUACUGAGUUGCAGUCCAGUGAAUGAAUUAUUCCUUUGGUGUCAUAUGGUAGUAAUGUUGUAAUUGGAAGGUCUAUGCAGUGCCCAACACAAAAUGUCUUCCAGUUUUACUCACUAAGGUUCAUGGAAAAAGUCUGUUCUUUGUUGCAAAGCAGAAGUCCCUGGCCUGUUUGAAAUCUCUGAUAGAUGAAGGUAGAUUAUUCCCCUAGUUUGAGAUUCUGGAAAUAGAAUGCAAAUGGCUUCUCUAAAAGUCUAUUGAGGUGUGAGAUUCUUCUUAUGUGACAAGCUAGUUUAGCAUUGAUUAUAAACCAACUUUGUCUGUAUGUGAAAAUGCAAAUGGCACAGUAUUGUUGGUUUGUAUGUGAACUGCAGAUUUUAGAAAUUCUGCUUAGCAGUCCAACGGAGAUUAUUUUGGAUCUUAGGAACAUUUGGAUUCUGUUUAAGUUGAUUCUGAACGGGUAUUUGGAUUCUGACAAAUGUAAUUCCGGAUCGGUUAUUGGUUGUUGGGUGAGUGUGAAAGAGCCAUGUUUCAGAUUAAGUUAUGCAGUAUGUAUACACCACCAAAGAUGACGAGAAGUUAAAUGGAGUAGUACUUGCUCUGAUGAUUUUAGUAGCUGAAAAAAAUUUAAACCCCAAAGUGUUGUUUCUAUAAUUUAUUGUAGGUGAGUUUUCACGGAUUUAUGGAUUUGGUUGUCUUCAAGGAGUUGUUAUCUUGUCAGUUGAGUUUCUAUGCAAACUUGCUCGUGUGCUAAUUGGAAGAUUCCAUUUAUGUUUCUGUUAUGUAUUGUGAUAUUUGCAUGCAGGGGCCUCAAUGGAAUUUGGAAGACCAGUUUUUGUGUUGAUCAGGAGUACCAUUGGUUUGGUACUCACCCAUUUCUUUUGCAUGUAAGAAGGUGUCACUUUGCUUGCAGGUUGAAUGGACUUCAGAGAAUCAAAACUUGUGUAUGUUAUACUGAAAUGCCUUCAGCCUCAUUGGAAUUGUUGAGUAUGCUAUCCUGAAUUGUCUUCAGCCUCACUGGAAUUGUAGAGUUUGCUAUCCUGAAAUGUCUUCAGCCUCAUUGGAAUUGUUGCCCAGGCAUUUCCUGCAUCAACAAACUCUAACAUGCAAGCUAAUUUAUACGCCUAAACAUUUUAAAAUUGACACCAAAAUGUGUAUUUCAAAUCUCUGUAAUUGUCUUUAGGAUUUCUUUUAGAGUUAAUGAUCAUUACAUCAUAAGGUUUUAUGUCCCGCAUUUAGUGCAGAAAUGACUACUUAUGAUUGUGCAAACUAUCCUUACCCAUUCUCAGCUACUCUUGUUUCGGCCUCUCCAUGCAAUUGUGCAUAUUUUUAAUAUCACAAUUCAGAUAAGAUCAUAAGAAUAUUGAUCAUCUUUCUCAUAUGUAAAAUGUUUUCGGAAUCUUGAUAUCAGCUGUUCAUCUUUUGCAGCGAAUUUUGUGUAGCUGUGCAUGAAUUGUGGAACUGAUAGAACUAACAAGUGCAUCAAGAAUAUUGGAAGGUAUGCGAAAACUGCUUUUCUAAUUACAUUCUUGUUCCUGCCAUGCUUGUUUGUAGUGCUAUAGAGUAUGCUAUGAAUCUUGUCUCUUGCAAGCAAUCAUUGGAAUUGGUUCUUGGAUUCUUGUUCAUAGUUUUUGUUUUGUUUUUGAGUGUGUUAGUUUAUUUAAUCUGUUGCGAGUUUGGUAUAACAAGGUUUCAAAAUCAUUUGGUUAUUAUCUCAAUUCUCAAUGGGCAUAUUGAGACCCACAAUCGGCCUAAAUUGGGCUUUCCCAUUGUGUAGGCUUGCUCAAUAUUUUCUUACUUUUGUUCGUAAGGCCCAAUUUAACCCAUUACGUUCCCGUAUGCAGCCCGUUUCUCGUGCGUACACUCAACCCUGUAUCUUACUUUCUUUAAAUGUUUGUUAUAGAUUGCUCCUCAGGCAAUCAGGUAAGUGUGAUUUCUGUGAAUUCUUCAUCAAGUCUGCUGCUUUUUCUUCUUUCUUCCAAUUGUAAGUUAUGUAUCUGUUAUCAUUCCACAACUAUGUGUAAGCAUAAUAUAGAUUGGAAGUUAAAUAUAUCUUGCAAUGAUUGUAAGAAUUCUUUAAUGUCAUGGAGAGUAUUCAAGCUGAAGUUUUUGUGGAAUCGUUUAACUAUUGGUUGUUAUUAGCAAUAAGUAAGAAGGACAUUGCAAUAGCAUUCUUAGCUUAAGUUUUGAUCUGCUAAUUACCUUACUUUUCAUGAAAGCAUGAUUGUGCCCUGUGAGAUUUUUAAUCAAAAGCUAAAUUUUCCUCUGCCUUAGAUUGGUAAUUUUGAGGUGUUACUGUUAUGUGUAGCAAUAUUAUGCAAUGGAAGGUAAACUUGUGCAUUUUAAUAUUGUCACAUCUUUGCAAUGAUCAUAAACAUUUUUCAAGUUUCUGGUGGUGCUAGUUUCUCCACUGUUGUUUAUAGUUGAGUUCUUAACCUAUGUUCUUCCAAGCAAGUUUGCCUUGAGCUAAAUGUAGCACCUGUGGGAUUUACAAUUGAAAGGUACACAGUAAGAUGAAGGCAACAGAGAUUCUUAGUGACUUACUGGGAAUGGAUGCUAAUAUGUUACAUAAAUGUACUUAAAUCCUUUGGGUCUCAAUUGACAUUACAAAAGGCUUGUUGUAAGUGCAAUGCCUUUUGUGCCAUGGUGCAGGUGGGAGCUAAGCACAAUGAUAAUAUCUAUAUUAAGAUAAAGUGGAUGAGGCAAAUGUGAAUUUUGUUGGUGGAUAUUUCAUGGUGGUCUAAUCAUAAGUGACAGAAGAUUGGAUGAAAGAAACAGAUUAAGAUUUGAGCCUAUGAGUGAUAAAAGGUAUUAGUAAAUUAGUCCCUCUCAUGGAUCGCGUCAGAUAUCGAAUUUAUUUUAUGUCAAGUCCUCAUCAUUAUUCCGACAUUUUUUUUUGUCAUCAAUGAUGAUUGUGGUUAACUAUUUAACUCUAUAAGUGUAAAAGAAUAUACAUACAUAUAUAUAUAUAUAUAUAUAUAUAUAUAUAUAUAUAUAUAUAUAUAUAUAUAUUAGCAUUUAUCUCUAUAUCCCUUGCUCCAAGAUAAACUGGAUUGUUGGAUUAAUAAUAAUAAUAAUAGUCUAUAAUAAUAAUUAUAGAAGAUUGGAUUUUGGAAAUAAUUAUUACAUAAGUAAUUGGGAGGCAGUCAACCUCAUUCCUUUCAUGUUGUAGAACAGACCACUUCAAAACCAUUAAGAAGCUUCAUGUGUAAGAAUCUUCAUACAAAGUCAAACUAACAUGUAAGCUCAAAAGGUUUAGAUGUGAUAAUUAAAUGUGUAUUUCAAGAUUCGUUAAUUACCUUUAGCUCUUGUAGUAGAGUUUAUAAUCAUUUGCAUCACUAGUAUUUCAGAUUUAUGCACACUAUCUUCACUCAUUCUCAACUCGUUUUUUUUCUGCCUAGCCAUGCUUGAUAUGCGUUUUAUAUUUUGAUAUUAGUUGUUCCGUCUUUGCAGCGAUUCUGUGCAGGAGUCGUAGAACUGAUAGAACUUGCAAGUUCAUCAACAAUAUUGGGAAGAUACUCUUUUUUCUUGAUGAUUGAAUAAUAACGUCCCAAUUCUUUUUGUCGACACACGUAUGACUCAAUUUUGGGAAGACAGACAUUAAUGAAAUGAAUAUAUGGAAGGAAGUGAGAAAAGUAGAAUUCAUGAAUUUAAAUAAGACAAGUAAUCUAAGCAAAAUCGUGCACUUAUUUUAUGUUAAUGAACCAUUGCAAUGUGAACAUAAAACAUAAAAGGAUAGGAUACUUUCGGAUGCUCAGGAAGUUGGCAUGUAUAGAUUGAUUGUCUCCAGAUUGAAAUGUGGCUUGCUAUAAUUAACAGGUGUUGUCAUAUAUAUAUAUAAAGGAUACUUUCGGAUGCUCACGAAGUUGGCAUGUAUAGAUUGAUUGUCUCGGAUAAUCCGUUUUUUUUUUACAUGAGGAUCAUCGAUAAUAGUCGAUCGGCAAGGUUGCUACUGUUUGGAUUGUCAAACAAACGAUAAGAUAGUGGAGGAUAAUUGACGAGGUAAAAAUAUAAUGAAACGCAUAUAAAAGUAGAGUAAAAAGCGAUGAUCGAUAGAAGAAAACUGAAUAUUAAAAAAAUUAAUUUUUUUUAAUUUAGGCAGUAUCAUAAGAAAAUUUGAAUGUAGAAGUUUUUUUUUAAAAAGAAUUCGUCGGAUGAUCAAAUCACUUUUCUCAUGUAAAGCGUGUUUUCUUAUGGAGAGACAAAAUUAUAUAAAUAUUUUGUCGAUCACUUUAUCCAUAUUUGUGAUAUAAAUAAAUUAUUCCUGCAGUUUUGUAUUUCUUGUGCAUAGCGAAGCUUAUACACACUAUAUAUAGGAAUUAGGUUACCCAUUUCAGUUCUCUUUCUUCUCCCACGAUGGCGGCUGCGACGCUGCGCUCCGUACUCCGCCGCAAUCGCCUCCUUCCCUUGUUCGAAACCUGCCGCCUUCGAGAUCGCCUCUUCUUCUCCUCCUCUGUCGACGCUGCCGCCGUCACCGUAGGUGGCACCAUGUCUCCAGAUCCCCACUUCAUGGUGGAAUACCUCGUGAACUCCUGCGGGUUCUCCCCCUCCGAGGCAGCCAAGUUCUCUAAAUCCCUUGCGCACCUCCGAUCCACCGAGAAACCCGACGACGUCCUUAACUUCAUGAGAUCUCAGGGCUUCGACGGCGCCGGUAUCAGGAAGGUGAUAUCUGCGGAUCCCAGAUACUUAUGCUACAACGUGGAGAAGAACCUCGCCCCGAAGUUUCAGUUCUUACGCGAUUUGGGCCUAUCGGAGUCGGAUAUCGUCGAUGCCAUCCUGAAGAACAAUGGCAUCCUCCACUACAACGUUCACCGUUACUUGGUCCCCAAAUUGGAGAUGUGGGAAAGUCUCUUGGGAUCGAGAGAGCUCGUUCUCAAGCAUCUCAAGAAGUCAAGAUGGUUUUUCUUCUCCAGCGUUGAGAAGACUUUGCAGCCUAACCUAAAGUUCUUGAGGGAUGAGUGCGGCAUUCCUGAAGAAAGGGUCUCUGUCGUCUUGAGAAGUGACCCAAAAUUCAUCUCACAGAAACCAGAGUCUCUCCGAGCUUUGGUGGCGAGAGCCGAUGAGCUGGGGAUGCCACGGCAAUCUCGGAUGUUCGUGCGGACACUUGUUGCUCUCCACAACGUAAGCAAAGAAAGGUUCGAGGCCAAGGUCGAGCUCAUGAGGAGCUUCGGGUGGUCGGAGUCGGAGUUUUCUUCUGCAGUCAGGAAAUCACCCACCUUCUUAGGUAUCUCCCUCGAUAUGUUUCGCAGAAAAGUGGAAUUUUUUAUCAAUGUGGUCGGUUACACCCCUUCCUUCAUCGCCUCCCAACCAUCUAUCUUGCUAUUUAGUCUGCAGAAGAGGGUAAUUCUUCGGUUUCGUGUCACAGAGAUGUUGAAAUCGAAAGGAUUGUGGACUGGACAAGCCAAGUUUACUUCGAUUCUCUUUUUCUCAGAUACCAAAUUCAUGGAGAAGUUUGUUCUCCCACACAAAGAAAAUGUUCCUGAGCUGCUUGAUAUUUUGAGAUUUGCUGGCACCUGUAAAGGAAAUGAUACCUUGCAUUUGGCAUCGGAGGAUGAGGAAGGGCUUAGCUGAUGGUCUAAUUUGUGACGACGAAGGUAGAUUAUUUCCCUAAUUUGACAUUUGGGUAUUUUCUGCAAAGGGCUUAUCUAAAGGUCCAUUGUGGUGUGGGAAUUUUCUUUUAUGACAAGCUAGCUAGAUUAACAUUGAUUAUAAAUCAAAUUUGUUCUGUCUUACUGAUUGCUAGCUUAAAUUAUUUUCUGAUUGUCUUUGGCAUAGUAUUGUUGCUUUGUACGUUAGCUGCAUGUUUUAAAAAUUCUACAUAACAGUCCAACUGAGAUUACCUUUGGAUCUAUCGAAGGGACUUUUGGCUUUUGUCCAAAUUAAUCCAAUUCCAGAUUGGUUUUUGUUUGGGUUAGUCUUGAAGAGUCAUAUUUCAGAUCAAGUUAUGCUGUAAGUAUAUACAAAAUAUCACCAAAGAUCACAGGAAGUUGCUGCGUAGUAAUUGCUCUAACGAUUUAAGUGGCUGAAAAACACUUAAACUUCUUUGCAAACUUAUGUAUUUAUGUACUAAUUGGAUUAUUCAAAUUUGAUUGAUUCAUUGUAAUAUUAGUAUGCAGUGGCUUCAAUGGAAUUUGAAAGACCAGUUGCACUGGGUUGAUCAGGAGUCACCAGCUCUUCUGAAACGUCUUCAACCUCCUUUGGAAUUGCUAAAGCUUUUCUCGCAUCAACAAACUCUUGCAUGCCUCCAUAGGCUUCUGCUCGUCCACUCUUUGUGAUUCCAGGUGCAGAUCUCUUCAUUCUUGGAUUUGGUGGAUGCAAUUUCUCAUCAUCAUAGCUGAAGCUUUUGCUCCACUUGAAAGCCUUCAGAAGGCUGCACAACUAAAUUUCUCUAACAUCUUUAUCGAACUAAUUGCCUUGAGUUAGUCAAUUCGCUGGUUCCUUAAGAAUAUUUUGGAUGUCAUUUUAUUUCUUAUUUCAAGUCUUCAUGUUGUCGAUGUGGUCCAUGUUUCCCGCAUCAUGAACCGCGUGGCCCAUUGUCUAGUCAAUCUUGGAAGGGCUGUAAAUUCUCUGUUUUUUUGGGUCUUGUAAUGAUAGAUCAGUCUAUCUCAGUAUCUAAUCCGCUUUAAUCUUUAUUGAAAUUUCUCCUUUUUUGGUGAAAAAAAACUCUAGCAUGCAAACUAACAUGUAAGCUCAGAAGGUUUAAAAGUGACAAUUAAAUGUUUAUUGCAAGAUUCUGUAAUUGGCUUUAGUUCUUGUUGUAGAGUUUAUGAUCAUUUACAUCACUAGUAUUUCUGAUUUUUAUGCACGCUAUCUUGACCCGUUCUCAACCAGUAUUUUUUUGGCUAUCGAUGUCUUUGUGCAUGUAUUCAGUAUCUCAUUUCAGAUUGGGUCAUAAGAUCAUCAUCAUCUUUAUCAAUGCGUGAAAUGUGUUUUGGAUUUUGAUAUCAUUUGUUCCAUCUUUAUUCUUUAUUCUUUGUCUUGGAUAAUAAUGUCUCAAAUCCAUAAUUUUGAUAUAAAUAAUUUAUCCAUAAUUUUGAUAUAAAUAAUUUAUUACAGUAAUUUUUAUUCCUAUGCAUAGUGAAGGACAACUGUUUGAAUUAUGAUACCCGGAUGCUCUCCUUUAUCUAGUCACAAUGCUCGGCUCCUCUCUUUUUCUUUUAUUUUAUCGUCGAUUGAUUAAAAUUAUGUUAGGUGUUGUAUUGUAUCUGACCAUAUAAAUUGAAUUAUGUUGAAUCAUGAGUUGAAUUAUACUUAACUAUAUGAAUUACGUAAUACUUAGUCACAUUAGUUAGGUUGUGAUUGACUACAUAGAUUGAUUUGAUAAAUCAACUUAUAUUAAAUCAAUAAUUUAACUCAUAUUAUUAAAUUAUAUCAUAAUAUUUUUUAAAAAUACUUUAAAAUAAUAACUAACCUUAAAUCUAUUCUUUUUCAAGAAUUAACUAAUUUAGAUUGAUAAUUUUAAAUUUAAAACUAAUUAAAUUGUACAAAUUCAUACAAAAUUUUUUUAAACAUAAAUAUGUCUAAUUAAAUAAAUUAAAAUUAUUAUUAAAUUAACUAAUUAUUUUAACAUCAUAAUUUCAUAAUCAUUAUUUAUUAAUCAUAAUAUUUUAAAAUUAAAACAUUAUUUUGCAUCAUAUUAAUUAAAAAAAUUCUACUAUUAAAUAUUUUAAAAUAUAAAUAAAAAUGAUAAUAAAGAAAAUAAAGAAUCCUACUCGUCCUUGCAAUCCUAUCAUCAAAAUUUUUUUUUUCUUAAUCCUUCGUCCAACUUCUAAGAGAGGGGAAUUAACGAGGAAUAGUAGAAGACGAGAGGGGAAUUAACGAGGAAUAGUAGAAGACGAACUCUUCUCGAUAGAUAAAUAAUAUUUUUUAUUUUACUUUCAUACAAAAAUGGAUUGUAAUAUUAAUUUUACAUUGUCCACACACAAAAAUAAAAUUUAAAAUAUUUGCUUUUUAAGAAUCAUAUCAGAAAAUAAAUCAAUUAAUAAUUUAAUAAAUCAAUAAAAUUCUUAAUUUGUUCAAAUAAUAAAAAAUAAUUUUAAUUAGUUUAAAGUAUAUUAAAUAAAUAAAUUAAAAUAAUAAUAUAUGAUUUAUAAUAAUUAAUUGAUGUUAAGAAAAAAAAAUCUAUGAUUACAAAAAUCUUGAAGUUUCAGAACACCUAACAUCUAUAAAAGGGAAGAGUUGAGCUGAACCAUUACGAGAAAAAAAAAAAAGUUCAAAAGUGGUGCAGAAACAAACAUAAUAGCCACGCAAAAAUGGUUACUGGUUCAAGUAAAAGACAUGUGAUUAAGUAAUUUAACUUUUAAUCCACAACGCCAAGCUGAAUCACUACAUAAUAAGAGUCGCCAGAAAUCCACAGUUGUUAAAAUAAGUUGCUAUAAAAAAUAAAAAUCAGACACGAAGUAACUUCAGCUUAUCAAAAAGAAAAAUGAAAAUGAGAAGCAGAGAGGUCAUCUUUUCCCCCUCGACAUCAACUCCAUACGUUGCAGGGAACUCCAAGAUAUCAUUGUCUAAAUAUCAUCGAUAAAUAUCACACAUAUAUAUAUAUAUAUAUAUAUAUAUAUAUAUAUAUAUAUAUAUAUAUAUAUAUAUAUAUAUAUAUAAUUUAUUUAUACAUCAAAAUAAAAGUUAAAAAUAAUCAUAGGUUUUAUUCAUAAACAUAAUAAUAUAAAUUCAAAAAUAAACAUUCAACUUCAAGUCUAAGGUUAGCUUUCAAAAAAAUAAUAACCGAAAAAAUUUUCAGAGUCCCCUUCAAUCUAUUUAAAUUUAUUAGAUUAGAUUUCGCUCAAUCAAACACAAAUGAGAUAAAUUAAAGAUAAUAAGUUAGAUUGCAUAGUAAUAUAAUAGGUUAAGUUAGUCAAUAUGCUAAUCAUUUGCAUUGUACAUGAUCAUGCAUAUAACAUACUAAGCUACGUAGUAUAUGAACUAAUCAUGUAUACUACAUAUGAUUAUCCAUGUUGAGCCGGAUUAAGUGAUUAACCAAGCUUAGCAUGUUCGUUGGGUCUAGUCUACGGGUUGUAGUUUAGCUUAUGAGUAGAGCCUGACUUACUAAAUAGAUUUUAACUUAAAUCAUAAUUAUUUUUUUAAUUUUAAAUUAUAGCAUCAUCAAAUUAUAAUCAAAACACCAAACUAUUAUAAUUGAGUAAUUAAAAUAUAAUAAAUAUUAAUAGAUUAAAAAUAUAAAUUUACAUUAAAGGGAAAAUAAUAUUUUUACUCAACUAUUGUACAAAUCUAAUAGAAAUUGAAUAUUACAACUAGUAUGUUGCAAGAUAAAAAUUUUAAAAAUGAUUGUAGUAUGAAUAAUUAUAAUAUAUUAAAUCCAAAAAAAUUUAAAUAUUUGGAUGAAUAUAAUAAAAUUUUAGAAACUAUAUAUAGCAUGAAUAAAAAAAUAAUAAUAAUAAUAAUAUUUUUUAAAAAAAUAUACAAGCGCCUACCUCUCUUAUUCUGAUUUGAAGUAGUGAAAAACUAAGAAAAGGAAAUCGCACCUAUUAAAUAAAAAGAGUCGAGCCUUCCAAGGUAAUAAAUAUUUUAAUUGUUAUAUUUAUUUAAUUAAUAAAAAUAAUAUCACUUAACUUAAAAUAUUGAAUAUUUAUUUUAUAAUUUUUAUUCAUAAGAAAAGAAAGUAAGUAAUUGUACUUAAACUGAAUGAUUUAAGGACAGAUGAAACCUGUCAAAUUAGUAUUUUAAGAUCAUUUUAUCCAUAUUUUUUAUAUAAAUAAUUUAUUCCUAUAAUUUUAUAUUUCUUGUGCAUACCGAAGGUUAUACGCUCUUCGUAUAAGGAGCGUGGUUGUAAUUAGGGUGCCGCUGCGGCUGCUCUCUUGUCCCACAAUGGCUGCUGCUCCGCUCCGCUCCGUACUCCGCCGCAAUGGCCUUCUGCCCUUGUUCGAAACCUGCCGCCUUCGAGAUCUCCUCUUCUUCUCCUCCUCUGUCGACCCUGCCGCCGCCGUAGGCGGCACCAUAUCUCCAGAUCCCCACUUCAUGGUGGAAUACCUCGUGAACUCCUGCGGGUUCUCCCCCUCCGAGGCAGCCAUGUUCUCUGAACCCCUUGCGCACCUCCGAUCCACCGAGAAACCCGACGCCGUCCUUAACUUCAUGAGAUCUCAGGGCUUCGAUGGCGCCGGUAUCAGGAAGGUGAUAUCUGGGGAUCCCAGAUACUUAUGCUGCAACGUGGAGAAGAACCUCACCCCGAAGUUUCAGUUCUUACGCGAUUUGGGCCUAUCGGAGUCGGACAUCGUCGAUGUCAUCCGGAAUAACGAUGACAUCCUCUGCCGCAACGUUCACCGUUCCUUCGGCCCCAAAUUGGAGAUAUGGGAAAGUCUCUUGGGAUCGAGAGAACUCGUUCUCAAGCAUCUCAAGAAGUCAGGAUGGUUUUUCUUCUCCAGCGUCGAGAAGACAUUGCAUCCUAACCUAAAGUUCUUGAGGGAUGAGUGCGGCAUUCCUGAAGAAAGGUUCUCUCUCGUCUUGAGAAGUCACCCACAAUUAAUCUCACAGAAACCAAAGUCACUCCGAGCUUUGGUGGCGAGAGCCGAUGAGCUGGGGAUGCCACGGCAAUCUCGGAUGUUCAUGUGGACACUUGUUGUUUUCCACAACGUAAGCCAAGAAAGGUUCGAGGCCAAGGUCGAGCUCAUGAGGAGCUUCGGGUGGUCGGAGUCGGAGUUUUCUUCUGCAGUCAGGAAAGCACCCACCUUCUUACGCGUGUCCGUCGACAUGAUGCGCAGAAAAAUGGAAUUUUUUAUCAAUAUAGUCGGGUACACCCCUUCCUUCAUCGCCUCCCAACCAACUAUCUUGCUAUAUGGUCUGCAGAAGAGGGUAAUUCCUCGGUUUCGUGUUUUGGAGAUGUUGAUUACGAAAGGCUUGGGGACUCGACUAGGCAAGUUUUCGUACUAUGUGAAAUUAUCAAAUACAAAAUUCCGGGAGAAGAUUGUUCUACCUUACAAAGAAAAGGUUCCUGAGCUUCUUGAUAUUUUGAGAGCAGGUGAGUGUGAAGGGAAAUGAGCCCUUUUAUUUGGUAUCAGAGGAGGAUGAGAAGGGCUUAGCUGAUGGUCUAACUCACAUUUGAAUUUCUCAACAGGAGCUGAGCAGUGAUUCGGCACCUUUUCCCUUGACAACAAGCUGUCUUACAUCGACCACCAGCCUUGGCUACUGAGGUGCAGUCCAGUGAAAGAAUUAUUCCUUUGGUGCCAUAUGGUGGUAAUGUUGUAAUUGGAAGGUCUACGCAUUGCCCAACACAAAAUGUCUUCCAGUUUUACUCAUUAAGGUUCAUGGAAAAGUCUGUUCUUUGUUGCAAAGCAGAAGUCCCUGGCCUGUUUGAAAUCUCUGAUCGAUGAAGGUAGAUUAUUCCCCUAGUUUGAGAUUUUGGAAAUAGAAUGCAAAUGGCUUCUCUAAAAGUCUAUUGAGGUGUGAGAUUCUUCUCAUGUGACAAGCUAGUUUAGCAUUGAUUAUAAACCAACUUUGUUUUGUCUUACUAAAUGUCUGCUCGAAUCAUCUUCUGAUUGUGUUUGGCACACUAUUGUUGGUUUGUAUGUGAACUGCAGGUUAUUGGUUGUUGGGGGAGUGUGAAAGAGCCAUGUUUCAGAUCAAAUUAUGCAGUAUGUAUACAUCACCAAAGAUGACGAGAAGUUACAUGGAGUAGUGGUUGCUCUGAUGAUUUUAGUAGCUGAAAAAAAUUUAAACCCCAAAGUGUUGUUUCUAUAAUUUGUUUUAAGCGAGUUUUCACGGAAUUAUGGAUUUGGAUGUCUUCAAGGAUGUGUUAUCUUGUCAGUUGAGCUUCUAUGCAAACUUGUUCGUGUGCUAAUUGGAAGAUUCCAUUUAUGUUUCUGUUAUGUAUUGUGAUAUUUGCAUGCAGGGAGGGGCCUCAAUGGAAUUUGUAAGACCGGUUGCUGUGUUGAUCAGGAUUACCAUUGGUUUGGCGCUCAUCCAUUUCGUUUGCAUGUAAGAAUGUGUCACUUUGCUUGCAGGUUGAAUGGUCUUCAGAGAAUCAAAACUUGAGUAUGCUAUCCUGAAAAGUCUUCAGCCUCAUUCGAAUUGUUGCUCAGGCAUUUCCUGCAUCAACGAACUCUAACAUGCAAACUAAUUUAUAUACCUAAACAUUUUAAAAUUGACAACAAAAUGUGUAUUUCAAAUUUCUGUAAUUGUCUUUGGGAUUUGUUUUAGAGUUAAUCGACGAUUACAAAAUUCACGACUUUAUUGGAUGAUCUGCAUGAUUAUUAAACCAAUAAAUUAUUUGUAGUCAUUCAAACUCACCUAACAAGUACAAGAUUCUUUGAAUGUUGAUAGUUGUAAUUUGUUCACUAUGUAAACAAACAGAGAAAGACGAAUUCCGUAUAAGCUACAAGUUCCUAAAGUUUUAGAACACCUAACAUCUAUAAAAGGGAAGAGUUCGGCUGAAGAAUUGUGAAAACGAUGUAGAAGUAUAAUAUGAAAAUGCACCAAGGAAAAAGAAAACAUAAUCCAUCAAGACAAAUUUACGAUCAUCAUAGGAAAGAGGCUCAAAUGGUAAAAUCAAAUAAGAGAGACCAAUGUUUACGAUAUCAUGGUUGGACCUAUCGGAGUCGGAUAUUGUCAAUGUCAUCCUGAAGAACAAUGCCAUCCUCCGUCUCAAUGUUUACAGUUCCUUCGUCCCCAAAUUGGAGAUGUCGGAAAGUCUUUUGGGAUCGAGAGAGCUUGUUCUCAAGCAUCUCAAAAAGACAAGACGAUUUUUCCUUUGAUCACAUGGAAUGAAUUAGAGCUGAAUUAUACCUGAUCUUAUAAGCUAAGUCAAAACUAUUAACUGAGUUAAACAAUGCUUGACCACAUACGAUGAGUUAUGUUUAACCACAUAAGUUAGAUCAUACUUGGUCAUAUGGAUGCAGUAAUUUUGUAACUAUAUAUAUUAUAUUAUAUUUGACUAUGUGGAUUAUGUUAUGUUGAAUCAUACUUGACAAUAUAGUCCAAGUAAUACUUAGAUUGUAUCACCACAGGCUAGUUUGGUCAAUCAACUUAAUUAAGGUGAAAUCUCAAAUUUGACUCGUACUUGUUAAAUUAGAUUUUAAUAUUUUAAAAAUAUUUUAAAAUAUUAUAAAAUAAUAAUUAAUCAUAAAUCUAUUAUUUUUCAUGAAUUAACUAAUUUAGAUUUAUGUCUCAAAUUUAAAAGUAAUUAAAUCAUAAAAAAUCAUACUUAAUUGUUUAAAACAUAAAUAUACUUUCGAUGAUCAUUAUUUAUUAAUCAUAAAAUUAUUAGAUUAAAAUAUUAAUUUUAUAACAUAUAAAUUAAAAUAAUUAUAAUAUUAAAUAAUUUUAAAAAUAUAAAAAAAUAAUAAUAAUAACAAAUCUACUCUCCUCAUGAACAUUUCUUGUAAGAGAGCUAGUAAUUGAGGAAAGAUGAGCUUGAGCUCUCCAUAAAAGAUAAAUAAUAAUUUUAAUAAUAUUCUUAAUCAUAUUAUAUAAAUGAAAAAAAAAUACUAAUUUAAAUAAAGUAAUACAUGUUUUAAAGUAAUUAAUUGAUGUUAGAGAAUUAUCGAUGGUUACAAAAGUCACGACUUUAUUGAAUGAUCUACAUGAUUAUUAAACUAAUAAAUUAUUUGUAGUCAAUCAAGCUCACCUAGCAAUUACAAGAUCUUUUGAAUGUUGAUAGUUACAAUUUGUUCACUAUGUAAUCAAACAGAGAAGACAACAUCCAGAAUAAGCUACAAGUUCCUGAAGUUUCAGAACACCUAACAUCAAUAAAAAGGGAAGAGUUGAGAUGAAGCAUUAUGAAAACGAUGUAAAAGUAUAACAUGAAAAUGCACCAAGGAAUAUAUAUAUAUAUAUAUAUAUAUAUAAUUCAUCAAGAAAAAUUCAGAUCAUAAAGGGAUUUCACAUGCAUGCAUGGCAAACAAAAAGGUUCGAUUGUGGUUUUAAAAACAUAAUUGCCAUGCAAAAAGAAAAAUUAAUGGUUGAAGUAAGACGUAUCCUAAUAAAAGUAAUUUAAUUUUUAACCCACGAUACCAAGCCGAAUCACUACACAACAGGAGUAAUAAAAAAUCCACAGUUAUUGAAAUGUGUUACUUAAAAACUCGGAGUAACUUAUAGUAACCAUUUCCCCAUAAACCAAAAAUUUAUUUCCACUAUAUUUUUCCUUGACUAAGAAUAACAUCAUUAAACUUCUACCAUCGAUCGAUAACAAUGACAAACUUGCCAUCCGUAGGAGAGCAAAGGUCAAGAACAAAAACAUGAGAAACCAUAAAAUUCUUUCUUAAAAAAAUUAAUUUAAUAAGUUCAUAUCAGGCCGUCAAUUAAGAAAAGUAUCAAAAGUAAUAUCUAGUCCGCGAGCUAUGAUAUAGCUUAUGGGUUGAGCCUAACAUACUCAUUUAUUUCAAUUUAAAUCAUAAUUAAUUUUUAAAUUUUAAAUUAUACUAUCAUGAAAUUAUAAUAAAAAUAAAUUAUAUAUCGAUCAUUUUCAUAUCGAGAUAAAAUAAUAUAUUAAAAUAUUUUUAAUUUAUCUUUUAAAUAUUAUUAAUAUAAAAUAAUAUCAAUUAGUCCUUAAUUAACUUGAAUCCUAAUUCAAUCGAUCUAAUUGAAUUGGAUUUAAUUAUAACCUAGUCGAAUCGAUCAUUAAUUCUUAUUUAAUUGAUCUAAAACUAUCUUAGACUUAAUAUAUUUUAGAUUAUAUUAAGUUUAAUUUAUGUUAAAUAGAUUUAAAUUAAUUAAAUUAAUUUAGAGUCACCUUCAAUCGAUUUAAAUUUAUCAAAUUAGAUUUUGCUCAAUUCGAACACAAAUAAAAUAAAGUAAAGAUAAUAAGUUAGAUUGUAUAGUAAUAUGAUAUGUUAAUUUAGUCGAUGUACUUAUUGUAUAUGACUAUGCAUAUAUCAUACCUAACUCAUAGCCCAAGAACUAAUCAUUUGCACUACACAUCAAUGUUGAGUCGGAUUGAAUGACUAACUAGGCUUAGCCAGUUGAGUCAAAUCUAUGGGUUGUAGUUUAGCAUGUGGGUAGAGCCUGAUUUACUAAACGAAUUUCAACCAAAAUCAUAAUAUUUUUUUUAAUUUUAAAUUAUAACAUCAUUAAAUUAUAAUAAAAAUCUCAAACUAUUGCAAUUGAGUCAUUAAAACAUAAUAAAUAGUAAUAUAUUAAAAAUAUAUAAUUGCAUUAAAGGGAAAAUAAUAUUUUUACUCAACUAUUAGAUAAAUCUAAUAAAAAUUGAAUAUUACAACUAGUAUAAUGCAUGCAAGAUAAAAAUUUUCAAAAUUAUUAUAGUAAGAAUAAUUAUAAUAUAUUAAAUCUAAAAAUAAAAUUUUAAAUAUUUGGAUGAAUAUAAUAAAAUUUUAGAAACUAUAUAUAGCAUGAAUAAUAAAAAAAAUAAAAAAUAUUAAUUUUUAAAAAAAUAUAGAAACGCCUAACUCUAGUGAAAAACGCACCCCUAUUAAAUAAAAAGAGUCGAGCCUUCCAAGGUAAUUAAUAUUUUAAAUUUAUUUAAUUAUUUAAUAAAAAUAAUAUCACUUAACUUAAAAUAUUGAAUAUUUAUUUUAUAAAUUUUAUUCAUAAGAAAAGAAAGUAAAUAAUUGUACUUAAACUGAAAUAUUUAAGCACAGAUGAAACCUGUCAAAUUAGUAUUUUAAGAUCAUUUUAUCCAUAUUUUUUAUAUAAAUAAUUUAUUCGUAUAAUUUUGUUUUUCUUGUGCAUAGGGAAGGUUAUACACACUACGUAUAAGGAGAGUGGUUGUAAUUAGGGCGCCGCUGCGGCUGCACUCUUGUCCCACAAUGGCUGCUGCUCCGCUCCGCUCCGUACUCCAACGCCGCAAUGGCCUUCUGCCCUUAUUCGAAACCUGCCGCCUUCGAGAUCUCCUGUUCUUCUCCUCCUCUGUCGACCCUGCCGCCGCCGUAGGCGGCACCAUAUCUCCAGAUCCCCACUUCAUGGUGGAAUACCUCAUGAACUCUUGCGGGUUCUCCCCCUCCGAGGCAGCCAAGUUCUCUAAACCUCUUGCGCACCUCCGAUCCACCGAGAAACCCGACGCCGUCCUUAACUUCAUGAGAUCUCAGGGCCUCGGUGGCGCCGCUAUCAGGAAGGUGAUAUCUUCGGAACCCAAUUACCUGUGCCACAACGUGGAGACGAACAUCGCCCCGAAGUUUCAGUUCUUACGUGAUUCGGGCCUAUCGGAGUCGGAUAUCGUCGAUGUCAUCCUGAAGAACGUUGUUAUUCUGCACCUCCACGUUCACCGUUCCUUGGUCCCCAAAUUGGAGAUGUGGGAAAGUCUCUUGGGAUCGAGAGAGCUCGUUCUCAAGCAUCUCAAGAAGACCCGAUGGUUUUUCUUCUCCAGCGUUGAGAAGAAAUUGCAUCCUAACCUAAAGUUCUUGAGGGAUGAGUGCGGCAUUCCUGAAGAAAGGGUCUCUGUCGUCUUGAGAAGUCACCCACAAUUAAUCUCACAGAAACCAGAGUCACUCCGAGCUUUGGUUGCGAGAGCCGAUGAGCUGGGGAUGCCACGGCAAUCUCGGAUGUUCAUGUGGACACUUGUUGUUUUCCACAACGUAAGCCAAGAAAGGUUCGAGGCCAAGGUCGAGCUCAUGAGGAGCUUCGGGUGGUCGGAGUCGGAGUUUUCUUCUGCUGUCAGGAAAGCACCCACCUUCAUAGGCAUGUCCCUCGAUAUGUUGCGCAGAAAAGUGGAAUUUUUUAUCAGUGUGGUCGGUUACACCCCUUCCUUCAUCGCCUCCCAACCAACUAUCUUGCUAUAUGGUCUGCAGAAGAGGGUAAUUCCUCGGUUUCGUGUUUUGGAGAUGUUGAAUACGAAAGGCUUGGGGACUCGACGAGGCAAGUUUUUGUACUAUGUGAAAUUAUCAAAUACAAAAUUCCGGGAGAAGAUUGUUCUACCUUACAAAGAAAAUGUUCCUGAGCUUCUUGAUAUUUUGAGAGCAGGUGAGUGUGAAGGGAAAUGAGCCCUUUUAUUUGGUAUCAGAAGAGGAUGAGAAGGGCUUAGCUGAUGGUCUAACUCACAUUUGAAUUUCUCAACAGGAGCUGAGCAGUGAUUCGGCACCUUUUUCCUUGACAACAAGCUGUCUUACAUCAACCACUAGCCUUGGCUACUGAGUUGCAGUCCAGUGAAAGAAUUAUUCCUUUGGUGUCAUAUGGUAGUAAUGUUGUAAUUGGAAGGUCUAUGCAGUGCCCAACACAAAAUGUCUUCCAGUUUUACUCACUAAGGUUCAUGAAAAAGUCUGUUCUUUGUUGCAAAGCAGAAGUCCCUGGCCUGUUUGAAAUCUCUGAUAGAUGAAGGUAGAUUAUUCCCCUAGUUUGAGAUUCUGGAAAUAGAAUGCAAAUGGCUUCUCUAAAAGUCUAUUGAGGUGUGAGAUUCUUCUUAUGUGACAAGCUAGUUUAGCAUUGAUUAUAAACCAACUUUGUUUGUAUGUGACAAUGCAAAUGGCACAGUAUUGUUGGUUUGUAUGUGAACUGCAGGUUUUAGAAAUUCUGCUUAGCAGUCCAACGGAGAUUAUUUUGGAUCUUAGGAACAUUUGGAUUCUGUUUAAGUUGAUUCUGAACGGGUAUUUGGAUUCUGACAAAUGUAAUUCCGGAUCGGUUAUUGGUUGUUGGGUGAGUGUGAAAGAGCCAUGUUUCAGAUUAAGUUAUGCAGUAUGUAUACACCACCAAAGAUGACGAGAAGUUAAAUGGAGUAGUACUUGCUCUGAUGAUUUUAGUAGCUGAAAAAAAUUUAAACCCCAAAGUGUUGUUUCUAUAAUUUGUUGUAGGUGAGUUUUCAUCUUGUCAGUUGAGUUUCUAUGCAAACUUGCUCGUGUGCUAAUUGGAAGAUUUCAUUUAUGUUUCUGUUAUGUAUUGUGAUAUUUGCAUGCAGGGGCCUCAAUGGAAUUUGGAAGACCAGUUUUUGUGUUGAUCAGGAUUACCAUUGGCUUGGUACUCACCCAUUUCUUUUGCAUGUAAGAAGGUGUCACUUUGCUUGCAGGUUGAAUGGACUUCAGAGAAUCAAAACUUGUGUAUGUUAUACUGAAAUGCCUUCAUCCUCAUUGGAAUUGUUGAGUAUGCUAUCCUGAAAUGUCUUCAGUCUCACUGGAAUUGUAGAGUUUGCUAUCCUGAAAUGUCUUCAGCCUCAUUGGAAUUGUUGCCCAGGCAUUUCCUGCAUCACAACAAACUCUAACAUGCAAACUAAUUUAUACGCCUAAACAUUUUAAAAUUGACAACAAAAUGUGAAUUUCAAAUCUCUGUAAUUGUCUUUAGGAUUUCUUUUAGAGUUAAUGAUCAUUGCAUCAUAAGGUUUUAUGUCCCGCAUUUAGUGCAGAAAUGACUACUUAUGAUUGUGCAAACUAUCCUUACCCAUUCUCAGCUACUCUUGUUUCGGCCUCUCCAUGCAAUUGUGCAUAUUUUUAAUAUCACAAUUCAGAUAAGAUCAUAAGAAUAUUGAUCAUCUUUCUCAUAUGUAAAAUGUUUUCGGAAUCUUGAUAUCAGCUGUUCAUCUUUUGCAGCGAAUUUUGUGUAGCUGUGCAUGAAUUGUGGAACUGAUAGAACAAACAAGUGCAUCAAGAAUAUUGGAAGGUAUGCGAAAACUGCUUUUCUAAUUACAUUCUUGUUCCUGCCAUGCUUGUUUGUAGUGCUAUAGAGUAUGCUAUGAAUCUUGUCUCUUGCAAGCAAUCAUUGGAAUUGGUUCUUGGAUUCUUGUUCAUAGUUUUUGUUUAAUUUUUGAGUGUGUUAGUUUAUUUAAUCUGUUGCGAGUUUGGUAUAACAAGGUUUCAAAAUCAUUUGGUUAUUAUCUCAAUUCUCAAUGGGCAUAUCGAGACCCAUAAUCGGCCUAAAUUGGGCUUUCCCAUUGUGUAGACUUGCUCAAUAUUUUCUUACUUUUGUUCGUAAGGCCCAAUUGAACCCAUUACGGACCGUAUGCAGCCCGUUUCUCGUGCGUACACUCAACUGUGUAUCUUACUUUCUUUAAAUGUUUGUUAUAGAUUGCUCCUCAUGCAAUCAGGUAAGUGUGAUUUCUGUGAAUUCUUCAUCAAGUCUGCUGGUUUUUCUUCUUUCUUCCAAUUGUAAGUUAUGUAUCUGUUUUCAUUACACAACUAUGUGUAAGCAUAAUAUAGAUUGGAAGUUAAAUAUCUCUUGCAAUGGAUGCUAAUAUGUUACAUAAAUGUAGUUAAAUCCUUUGGGUCUCAAUGACAUUACAAAAGGCUUGUUGUAAGUGCAAUGCCUUUUGUGCCAUGGUGCAGGUGGGAGCUAAGCACAAUGAUAAUAUCUAUAUUAAGAUAAAGUGGAUGAGACAAAUGUGAAUUUUGUUGCUGGAUAUUUCAUGGUGGUCUAAUCAUAAGUGACAGAAGAUUGGAUGAAAGAAACAGAUUAAGAUUUGAGCCUAUGAGUGAUAAAAGGAAUUAGUAAAUGAUCUCUCUCAUGGAUUGCGUCAGAUAUCGAAUUUAUUUUGUGUCUAAGUCCUCAUCAUUAUUCCGACAUUUUUUUUUGUAAUCAAUGAUGAUUGUGGUUAACUAUUUAACUCUAUAUGUGUAAAAGAAUAUAUAUAUAUAUAUAUUAGCAUUUAUCUCUAUAUCCCUUGCUCCAAGAUCCUAGCUCCAAAAUAAAUUGGAUUGUUGGAUUGAUAAUAAUAAUAAUAGUCUAAAAUAAUAAUUAUAGAAGAUUGGAUUUUGGAAAUAAUUAUUACAUAAGUAAUUGGGAGGCAGUCAACCUCAUUCCUUUCAUGUUGUAGAACAGACCACUUCAAAACCAUUAAGAAGCUUCAUGUGUAAGAAUCUUCAUAUAAAGUCUAACGUGCAAACUAACAUGUAAGAUCAAAACGUUUAGAAGUGACAAUUAAAUGUGUAUUUCAAGAUUCGUUAAUUACCUUUUGCUCUUGUAGUAUAGUUUAUGAUCAUUUGCAUCACUAGUAUUUCAGAUUUAUGCACACUAUCUUCACUCAUUCCCAACUCGAUUUUUUUCUGCCUAGCCAUGUCUGAUAUGCGUUUUAUAUUUUGAUAUCAGUUGUUCCGUCUUUGCUGUGCAGGAGUUGUAGAACUGAUAGAACUUGCAAGUUCAUCAACAAUAUUGGGAAGAUACUCUUUUUUCUUUAUGACUGAACAAUAACGUCCCAAUUCUUUUUGUCAACACACGUAUGUCUCAAUUUUGGGAAGACUGACAUUAUUGAAAUGAAUAUAUGGAAGGAAGUGAGAAAAGUAGAAUUCAUGAAUUUAAAUAAGACAAGUAAUCUAAGCAAAAUCGUGCACUUAUUUCAUGUUAAUGAACCAAUGCAAUGUGAACAUAAAGCAUAAAAGGAUAGGAUACUUUCGGAUGCUCAGGAAGUUGGCAUGUAUAGAUUGAUUGUCUCCAGAUUGAAAAUGUGGCCUGCUAUAAUUAACAGGUGUUGUGAUAUAUAUAUAUAUAUAUAUAUAUCUUUGCAUCGAUUCUUGGAUAAUCUGUUCUUUUUUUACAUGAGGAUCAUCGAUAAUAGUCGAUCGGCGAGGAUUGCUAAUGUUUGGAUUGUCAAACAAACGAUAAGAUAGUGGAGGAUAAUUGAUGAGGUAAAAAUAUAAUGAAACGCAUAUAAAAGUACAGUAAAAAGCGAUGAUCGAUAGAAGAAAAUUGAAUAUUAAAAAAAUUAUUUUUUUUAAUUUAGGCAGUAUCAUAAGAAAAUUUGAAUGUAGAAGUUUUUUUUAAAAAAGAAUUCGUCGGAUGAUCAAAUCACUUUUCUCAUGUAAAGCGUGUUUUCUUAUGGAGAGACAAAAUUAUAUAAAUAUUUUGUCGAUCACUUUAUCCAUAUUUGUGAUAUAAAUACAUUAUUCCUGCAGUUUUGUAUUUCUUGUGCAUAGCGAAGCUUAUACACACUAUAUAUAGGAAUUAGGGUACCCCUUUCAGGUCAUUUUCCUCUCCCACGAUGGCGGCUGCGACGCUGCGCUCCGUACUCCGCCGCAAUCGCCUCCUUCCCUUGUUCGAAACCUGCCGCCUUCGAGAUCGCCUCUUCUUCUCCUCCUCUGUCGACGCUGCCGCCGUCACCGUAGGCGGCACCAUGUCUCCAGAUCCCCACUUCAUGGUGGAAUACCUCGUGAACUCCUGCGGGUUCUCCUCCUCCGAGGCAGCCAAGUUCUCUAAAUCCCUUGCGCACCUCCGAUCCACCGAGAAACCCGACGACGUCCUUAACUUCAUGAGAUCUCAGGGCUUCGACGGCGCCGGUAUCAGGAAGGUGAUAUCUGCGGAUCCCAGAUACUUAUGCUACAACGUGGAGAAGAACCUCGCCCCGAAGUUUCAGUUCUUACGCGAUUUGGGCCUAUCAGAGUCGGAUAUCGUCGAUGCCAUCCUGAAGAACAAUGGCAUCCUCCACUACAACGUUCACCGUUACUUGGUCCCCAAAUUGGAGAUGUGGGAAAGUCUCUUGGGAUCGAGAGAGCUCGUUCUCAAGCAUCUCAAGAAGACCCGAUGGUUUUUCUCCUCCAGCGUUGAGAAGACGUUGCAUCCUAACCUAAAGUUCUUGAGGGAUGAGUGCGGCAUUCCUGAAGAAAGGCUCUCUCUCGUCUUGAGAAGUCACCCAAAAUUAAUCUCACAGAAACCAGAGUCUCUCCGAGCUUUGGUUGCGAGAGCCGAUGAGCUGGGGAUGCCACGGCAAUCUCGGAUGUUCGUGCGGACACUUGUUGCUCUCCACAACGUAAGCCAAGAAAGGUUCGAGGCCAAGGUCGAGCUCAUGAGGAGCUUCGGGUGGUCGGAGUCGGAGUUUUCUUCUGCAGUCAGGAAAGCACCCACCUUCUUAGGCAUCUCCCUCGAUAUGUUUCGCAGAAAAGUGGAAUUUUUUAUCAAUGUGGUCGGUUACACCCCUUCCUUCAUCGCCUCCCAACCAUCUAUCUUGCUAUUUAGUCUGCAGAAGAGGGUAAUUCUUCGGUUUCGUGUCACAGAGAUGUUGAAAUCGAAAGGAUUGUGGACUGGACAAGCCAAGUUUCCAUACAUUCUCGCAUUAUCAGAUACCAAAUUCUUGGAGAAGUUUGUUCUCCCUCACGAAGAAAAUGUUCCUGAGCUGCUCGAUAUUUUGAGAGUUGAUGGCGUGUGUAAAGGAAAAUGAUACCUUUCAUUUGGUAUCGGAGGCUGAGAAAGGGCUUAGCUGAUGGUCUAAUUUGCCAACAAAGGUAGAUUAUUCCCCUAAUUUGAUAUUUGGGAAUUUUCUGAAAAGGGCUUAUCUAAAGGUCCAUUUAGGUGUGGGAUUUUUCUUUUAUGACAAGCUAGGUAGAUUAACAUUGAUUAUAAAUCAAAUUUUUUCUGUCUUGCUGAUUGCCUUUGGCAUAGUAUUGUUGGUUUGUCUGUAAACUGAAUGUUUUAGAAAUUCUACAUGACUGUCCAACUGAGAUGACCUUUGGAUCUAUUGUGGGGACUUUUGGAUUUUGUCCAAAUUAAUUUCAAUUCUGGAUUGGUUUUUGUUUGGGUAAGUCCUGAUGAGUCAUGUUUCAGAUCAAGUUAUGCAGUAUAUAGAAAAUAUCACCAAAGAUCACAAGAAAUUGUUGAGUGGUAAUUACUCUAAUGAUUUAACUGGCUGAAAAAAACUUAAACACCAAAGAGUUGUUUCUGUAAUUUGAUUUUAAAUGAGUCAUCACCCAAUUUAUGGAUUUGGAUAUAUCUAAGGUGUUAUCUCUUGUCAGUGGAGGCUUCUUUGCAAACUUAUUUAUUUAUGAACUAAUUGGAAUAUUCAAAUUUGAUUUAUGCAUUGUAAUAUUAGUAUGCAGUGGCUUCAAUGGGAUUUGAAAGACCAGUUGCACUGGGUUGAUAAGGAGUCACCAGCUUUAGUGCUAACUAUGCUCUCAUCAUCAUAGCUGAUGCUUCUGCUGUCCACCCUUUGUGAUUCCAGGUGCAGAUCUCUUCAUUCUUGGAGUUCAUUCUUGGAUUUGGUGGAUGCAACUUCUCAUCAUCAUAGCUGAAGCUUCUGGUCUACUUGAAAGCCUUCAGAAGGCUGCACAACUAAAUUUCUCCAACAUCUGAAUCGAACUAAUUCCCUUGAGUUAGUCGAUUCGCUGGUUCCUUCUUUUAUUUCUUUGUUCAAGUCUUUAUGUUGUCGAUGUGGUCCAUGUUUCCCGCAUCAUGAAAGGCGUGGGCCAUUGGCUAGUCAAUCUUGGAAGGACUGUAAAUUCUGUCUUUUUGGUUCUUGUAAUAAUAGAUCAAUCUAGCUCGGUAUCUAAUCCACUUUAAUCUUUAAUGAAAUUUCUCUUUUUUCGGUAAAAAAAGAAAAAAAACAAACUCUAACAUGCAAACUAACAUGUAAGCUCAGAAGGCUUAAAAGUGACAAUUAAAUGUGUAUUGCAAGAUUCUGUAAUUGGCUUUAGUUGUUGUUGUAGAGUUUAUGAUCAUUUACAUCACUAGUAUUUCUGAUUUUUAUGCACACUAUCUUGACCCGUUCUCAACCAGUAUUUUUCUGGCUAUCGAUGCCUUUUGUGCAUGUAUUCAGUAUCUCAUUUCAGAUAGGGUCAUAAGAUCAUCACUCAUCUUUAUCAAUGCGUGGAUUGUGUUAUUGAUUUUGAUAUCAGUUGUUCCAUCUUUAUUCUUUGUCUUGGAUAAUAACGUCCCAAAUCGUUAUGUCAACUCAAGUCUCAAUUUUGGUCAGACAGACAUUAAUGAAAUGAUUAUAUGGAAGGAACUUAGAAAAGUAGAAUUCAUAAAUUUAAAUAAGACGAGGAAUCAAAGCAAAAUUAUGCACUUAUAUAUCAUGUUAAUAAACCGAUACAACGUGAACAUACAACAACAUAUGCAUUUUCAAACAAGGAUUGGGUAUUUAUGGAUGAUCACGAAGUUGGAAUGUAUAGAUUGAUGUCUUCAUAUUGAAAUGUGGCCUGCUAUAAUUAACAAGUGUUAUUUUACAGAUAUAGUAUAUUGUUGUACAAUCAAUUUUAAUUAAAUAUCAUAUUAUCCAUCAUCAACUUCAAUCGAGCUUUUUUUUUUUGAAUUUUUACGAGUCAUAAAUACUAUUCAAAGCAUAUUAAUUUAAACACAAGAAAUCAUGUUUUGAACGAUCAUAAGAUUGUUUUUUUUUUAAUUCUGGUGCAACAAUAAAUUAUUUUUGGAUCAAAUAAAUGAAUAAUUUUAUAUCUUUAUAAAGAUACAAAAUCAUAUAAAUAUUUUGUAGAUCACUUUAUCCAUAAUUUUGAUAUAAAUAAUUUAUUACAGUAAUUUUUAUUCCUAUGCAUAUCGAAGGACAACUGUUUGAAUUAUGAUACCCGGAUGCUCUCCUUUAUCUAGUCACAAUGCUCGGCUCCUCCUUUCACCGUGAUAACCUUUUGUCAUUAUUCAAAUCCUAUCGUUCGAGGUCUCAUUUUCUUUUAUUUUAUCGUCGAUUGAUUAAGAUUAUGUUUAGAUCAAAUAAGUUAACAAGAAAAUGACGAUUGAGUUUUGCCUAACCGUAGGUGUUGUAUCGUAUACCAUAUGAAUUGAGUUAUAUUGAAUCAUAUGAGUUGAAUUAUACUUAACUAUAUGAAUUAUGUUAUACUUAGUCACAUGAGUUAGGUUAUGCUUGACUGCAUAGAUUGAUUUGAUCAAUCAACUUACAUUAAAUCAUUAUUUUAACUCAUAUUAUUAAAUUAUAUCAUGAUAUUUUUAAAAAAUAUUUUAAAAUAAUAAUUAACAUUAAAUCUAUUCUUUUUCAAGAAUUAACUAAUUUAGAUUCAUAAUUUUAAAUUUAAAACUAAUUAAAUUGUACAAAUUCAUACAUAAUUUUUUAAAACAUAAAUAUGUCUAAUUAAAUAAAUUAUUAUUAUUAUUAAAUUAACUAAUUAUUUUAACAUCAUAAUUUCAUAAUCAUUAUUUACUAAUCAUAAUAUUUUUAAAAUUAAAAUAUUAUUUUGCAUCAUAUUAAUUAAAACAAUUCUACUAUUAAAUAUUUUAAAAUAUAAAUAAAAAUGAUAAUAAAGAAAAUAAAGAAUCCUACGCGUCCUUGCAAUCAUGUCAUCAAAAUUUUUUUUUUUCUUAAUCCUUCGUCCAACUUCUAAGAGGGGAGAAUUACCGAGGAAUAGUAGAAGAUGAACUCUUCUCGAUAGAUAAAUAAUAUUUUUAUUUUACUUCGUACAAAAAUGGAUUGUAAUAUUAAUUUUACAUUGUCCACACACAAAAAUAAAAUUUAAAAUAUUUGCUUUUUAAGAAUCAUAUCAGAAAAUAAAUCAAUUAAUAAUUUAAUAAAUCGAUGAAAUUCUUAAUACCUCAUGAUGGAAUACCUCAUGAACUCUAAACCCCUUCGAGGCAGCCAAGGUCUGUAAACCCCUUGCGCACCUCCGAGCCAUCGAGAAACCCGACAUCGUCCCUAACUUCAUGAGAUCUCAGGGCUUCGACAACGCUGGUAUCAGGAAGGUGCUAUCUUCAAGACCCAAUUACUUUUGCUGCAACGUGGAGAAGAUCCUCGUCCCGAAGUUUUAAUUCUUACGCGAUUUAGGCCUAUCGGAGUCUGACAUCAUCGAUGUCAUCCGGAAUAACGAUGACUUCCUCUACCUCUAACCAUUACCAUUGUGUUAUUAAAACAUGAUAUUAACUUAAAAUGUUGAAUAUCUAUUUUAUAAAUUUUAUUCAUAAGAAAAAUUUAUCCAUAUUUUUGAUAUAAAUAAUUUAUUCCUAUAAUUUUGUAUUUCUUGUGCUUAGCGAAGGGUUAUACGGACUACAGAUGAAAGCGGGUUGUUUGUAUUAGGGUGCCGUUGCGUCAGCUCUCUUUCGUCCCACAAUGGCGGCUGCGACGCUCCGCUCCGUGCUCCGCCGCAAUAGCCUCCUGCCCUUGUUCGAAACUCACCGCCUUCGAGAUCUCUUCUACUUCUCCUCCUCUGUCGACCCUGCCGCCGCCGUAGGCGGCACCAUAUCUCCAGAUCCCCACUUCAUGGUGACAUACCUCGUGAACUCCUGCGGGUUCUCCCCCUCCGAGGUAGCCAAGUUCUCUUAACCUCUUGCGCACCUCCGAUCCACCGAGAAACCCGACGCCGUCCUUAACUUCAUGAGAUCUCAGGGCUUCGAUGGCGCCGGUAUCAGGAAGGUGAUAUCUGCGGAUCCCAGCUACUUACGCUGCAACGUGGAGAAAAACUUGGCCCCGAAGUUUCAGUUCUUACGCGAUUUGGGCCUAUCGGAGUCGGAUAUCGUCGAUGCCAUCCUGAAGAACCAGGCCAUCCUCCUUCACAACGUUCACCGUUCCUUCGUCCCCAAAUUGGAGAUGUGGGAAAGUCUCUUGUGAUCGAGAGAGCUCGUUCUCAAGCAUCUCAAGAAGACAACACGGUUUUUCUUCUACAGCGUUGAGAAGACAUUGCAUCCUAACCUAAAGUUCUUGCGGGAUGAGUGCGGCAUUCCUGAAGAAAGGGUCUCUGUCGUCUUGAUAAGUCACCCACAAUUAAUCACAAAUAAACCAAAGUCACUCCGAGCUUUGGUGGCGAGAGCCGAUGAGCUGGGGAUGCCACGGCAAUCUCGGAUGUUCGUGUGGACACUUGAUGUUCUCCAAAUGGUAAGCAAAAAAAGGUUCGAGGCCAAGUUCGAGCUCAUGAGGAGCUUCGGGUGGUCGGAGUCGGAGUUUUCUUCUGCAGUCAGGAAAGCACCCACCUUCUUACGCAUGUCCCUCGACAUGUUGCGCAGAAAAGUGGAAUUUUUUAUCAAUGUGGUCGGUUACACCCCUUCCUUCAUCGCCGACAAAUCAUAUCUCUUGCUAUAUGGUCUGCAGAAGAGGGUAAUUCCUCGGUUUCGUGUGACGGAAAUGUUGAAAUCGAAAGGAUUGUGGACUGGACAAUGCAAGUUUACAUCGAUUCUCGUUUUCUCAGAUACCAAAUUCAUGGAGAAGUUUGUUCUCCCACACAAAGAAAAUGUUCCUGAGCUGCUUGAUAUUUUGAGAGUUUCUGGCACCUGUAAAGGAAAUGAUACCUUGCAUUUGGCAUCGGAGGAUGAGGAAGGGCUUAGCUGAUGGUCUAAUUUGUGACGACGAAGGUAGAUUAUUUCCCUAAUUUGACAUUUGGGAAUUUUCUGCAAAGGGCUUAUCUAAAGGUCCAUUGUGGUGUGGGAAUUUUCUUUUAUGACAAGCUAGCUAGAUUAACAUUGAUUAUAAAUCAAAUUUGUUCUGUCUUACUGAUUGCUAGCUUAAAUUAUUUUCUGAUUGUCUUUGGCAUAGUAUUGUUGCUUUGUACGUUAGCUGCAUGUUUUAAAAAUUCUACAUAACAGUCCAACUGAGAUUACCUUUGGAUCUAUCGAAGGGACUUUUGGCUUUUGUCCAAAUUAAUUCCAAUUCCAGAUUGGUUUUUGUUUGGGUAAGUCUUGGAGAGUCAUAUUUCAGAUCAAGUUAUGCAGCAAGUAUAUACAAAAUAUCACCAAAGAUCACAGGAAGUUGCUGAGUAGUAGUUGCUCUAACGAUUUAAGUGGCUGAAAAACACUUAAACUUCUUUGCAAACUUAUGUAUUUAUGUACUAAUUGGAUUAUUCAAAUUUGAUUGAUGCAUUGUAAUAUUAGUAUGCAGUGGCUUCAAUGGAAUUUGAAAGACCAGUUGCACUGGGUUGAUCAGGAGUCACCAGCUCUUCUGAAAUGUCUUCAACCUCCUUUGGAAUUGCUAAAGCUUUUCUCGCAUCAACAAACUCUUGCAUGCCUCCAUAGGCUUCUGCUCGUCCACCCUUUGUGAUUCCAGCAGCAGAUCUCUUCAUUCUUGGAGUUCAUCCUUGGAUUUGGUGGAUGCAACUUCUCAUCAUCAUAGUUGAAGCUUCUGCUCUACUCGAAAGCUUUCGGAAGGCUGCACAACUAAAUUUCUCCAACAUCUGAAUCGAACUAAUUGCCUUGAGUAGUCGAUUCGCUGGUUCCUUAAGAAUAUUUUGGAUAUCAUUUUAUUUCUUAUUUCAAGUCUUUAUGUCGUCGAUGUGGUCCAUGUUUCCCGCAUCAUGGACCGCGUGGCCCAUUGGCUAGUCAAUUUCAGAAGGACUGUAAAUUCUCUUUGUUUUUUUGGGUCUUGUAAUUAUAGAUCAGUCUAGCUCAGUAUCUAAUCCACUUUAAUCUUUAAUGAAAUUUCUCUAUUUUCGGUAAAAAAAACAGAAACUCUAACAUGCAAACUAACAUGUAAGAUCAGAAGGUUUAAAAGUGACAAUUAAAUGUGUAUUGCAAGAUUCUGUAAUUGGCUUUAGUUCUUGUUGUAGAGUUUAUGAUCAUUUAAAUAAGACAAGUAGUCAAAGCAAAAUUAUGCACUUAUAUCAUGUUAGUGAACAUACAACAACAUGCGUAUUUUCAAACAAAGUAUAGGGUAUUUAUGGAUGAUCACGUAGUUGGGAUGUAUAUAUUGAUGUCUUCAGAUUGAAAUGUGGCCUGCUAUAAUUAACAAGUGUCUUGUUACAGAUAUAGUAUAUUGUUGUACAAUUAAUUUUAAUUAAAUAUCAUAUAAUCCAUGAUCAACUUCAAUCGAGCAAUUUUUUUUUAAAUAUUUACGAGUCAUAAAUACUAUUCAAGGCAUAUUAAUUUAAACACAAGAAAUCAAGUUUUGAAGGAUCAUAAGAUUGUUUUUUUUUCAAAUCUGGUGUAGCAAUAGAUUAUUUUUGGAUCAAAUAAAUGAAUAAUUUUAUGUUUUUUAAAGAUACAAAAUCAUAUAAAUAUUUUGUAGAUUACUUUAUCCAUAAUUUUGAUAUAAAUAAUUUAUUCCUAUAAUUUUAAUCUUUCGUGCAUAGCGAAUGAUAGUUGUUGAAAUUAUGAUGCUCUUGUGACUCUCCUUUAUUUAAAAUGAUUGUUGUAGACUUCCUAUCCCUUUUUGAAACCUAUGGCUUUUGAGGUCUUUUUUUUUUUACUUCAUCACCGAUUGAUUAUGAUCAUGUUCUAUCAAAUUAGCUGAAAAUAUAAGGAUGAUUGAGGAUGAACUCAACGUUUAAGAAGAAGAUGAUGAAUUGCAUCAUGGAACUACGACUCAAAUGCGUCUCUUGUCCUUUCGUGUACAAGCAAAGGGAUCACAUCCUAAAACUGGUAGGUGAAUCCAUCAUACGAUCGAGAUGGAAGCACCUCUGCCGGGCCCAUUCCACGCCUGGGAGCAUCCCCAUCAUCAUCAGACAAUAGUACAUCUGUUGACCUAUGUAUGAAUAUACAACAUAAAAAGGGAAGCAUUUAGUUAGCCUUCAACUCUUCUUCUUCCUCCCUUGAGAACUAACGGGGGAUGCCGAGUGAGCUAACGGGGGAUGUAGAAGGCCACAUAAAGAAGAGCAGGUAAGGAGAUAGAGGAAAAAUGAUUCUGGAGGUUUUAGUAGUCAAGGACAUGGCACUAUCAUUGAACCUUUCAACCAUGAGAGCAACAUAUACCAUUGUCUCUAUCACUCUCUUCCUGCACGUAUAAUUUAGCCCUGCUUUGGCUCAAUACAUUCUGCAAUGAUAAACCAACAAAGUGAGUUUUCAUAAGUACAUUUUGAUAUCCGUGAACAUGCAUUGGUACAUACAUUAAUAUCUAAAACCUUUAAUCAUAAAAUGAUUUGAUUUGAGUACUUGAAACUCAAAGAAUUUCAUGAAACAAUAAUCUCAUAAAUUAAAUCACUAGAAAGGUUAAUUUAUACGACUAUUAUGUAUUUGUUCUUUAUACUAUGCUACCAUACAACUUUGAAGUAUGGAGAGUAACAACAACGAGCAUCUGCAUAUAUAGUUUUAUGAUCUUAACUUACAGUUAAAUCAUGGCCACAUAACAUAGGUCAUAUAAAUUGAGUGAUGUAUAAUCACAUAGAUUGAAUUAUAUUUGAUUUAGAAGUUAAAUUAUAUUUGAUUAUAUGAGUUAAGUCAUAUCUAACUAUAUAAGUUUGAUUAUAUUUAGUUACAUUUGUUAAGUCAUACUUAAUCAUAUGAAUUGAAUUGGAUGAUAUCUAAUUAUGGGCUAACUUAUGUUUGAUUAUGCUUGAUCAUACUAGCUGAGUUAUAGUUAAUCAUAUGUGCUAAGUCAUAAUUGUCAAAUAAGUUAGACAAUCCUUGAUCACAUAUGAUGAGUUAUGUUUAACCACAUAAGUUAUAUCAUACUUGAUCACAUAGAUUUAGUUAUGUUUAACUACAUAUAUUAUAUUAUAUUUGAACUAUACGAAUGACCAGAUUGAGUAAUACUUAAUCACGUCAAUUAGAUUAUACUUAAUCACAUAGAUUGGUUUGAUCAAUCAACUUAACUAAGGUUAAAUCUUCAAUUUGACUCAUACUUAUUAAAUUAGAUUUUAAUAGUUUAAAAAAUAUUUUUAAAAUAUUAUAAAAUAAUAAUUAAUUAUAAAUAUAUUAAUUUUCAUAAAUUAACUAAUUUAGAUUUAUGUUCCAAAUUUAAAAGUAAUUAAAUCAUAAAAAUUUAAACUUAAUUAUUUAAAACAUAAAUAUACUUUCAAUAAUCAUUAUUUAUUAAUCAUAAAAUUAUAAAAUAAAAAUAUUAUUUCUAUAACAUAUAAAUUAAAAUAAUUCAAAUAUUAAAUAUUUUAAAAAUAUAAAUAAAAAAAUCUACUCUCCUCGUGAUCAUUUCCUCUAAGAACCCUUUCCCCUCAAGCUAGGAACAACGAGGAAAGAUGAGCUUGAGCUCUCCAUAAAAGAUAAAUAAUAAUUUAAAUAUUUUUUAAUAAUAUUAUUUAAAUAAAAUAUUAAUUUAAAUAAAGUAAUACAUGAUUUAAAGUAAUUAAUUGAUGUUAGAAAAUUAUGGAUGAUUAUAAAAGUCACGACUUUAUUGGAUGAUAUGCAUGAUUAUUAAACUAAUAAAUUAUCUGCAGUCAAUCAAGCUCACCUAACAAUUACAAGAUCUUUUGAAUGUUGAUUCUUGCAAUUUGUUCACUAUGUAAUCAAACAGAGUAGACGAAAUCCAGAAUAAGCUACAUGUUCCUGAAGUUUAAGAACACCUAACAUCUAUAAAAAGGGAUGAAUUGAGAUGAAACAUUAUGAAAAUGAUGUUAAAGUAUAACAUGAAAAUGCACCAAGGAAAAAAAAUAUAUAUAUAAUUCAUCAAGAAAAAUUCAGAUCAUAAAGGGCUUUCACAUGCAUGCAUGGCAAACGAAAAUGUUCAAUUGUGGUUUAAAAAAAAAAACAUAAUUACCAUGCAAAAAGAGAAAAUAAUGAUUCAAGUAAAACAUAUAUUAAUAAGAGUAAUUUAACUUUUAACCCACAAUACCAAGCCGAAUCACUACAGAGUAAUAAAAACCUCACAGUUAUUUUUACUAUAUCUUUCCUUGAUUAAGAAUAAUAUCAUUAAAUUUCUACCAUCGAUCGAUAACAAUGACAUACUUCCCAUUUGCAGGAGAGCAAAGGUCAAGAAUACAAACCUGAAAAAUCAAAUAAUUCUUUCUUAAAAAAAUUAAUUUAAUAAGUUCUAUCAACCAAUAAAAUUAUCAAAUGUAAUAUCAUGGUUGGAUAUGCGGGAUAUGGUAUAGCUUGUGGGUUGAGUCGGACAAACUAAUUGAUUUCAAUUCAAAUCAUAAUUAAUUUUUAAUUUUUAAAUUAUACUAUCAUGAAAUUAUAAUAAAAAUAUCUAACCAUUACCAUUGUGUUAUUAAAACAUAAUAUUAACUUAAAACGUUGAAUAUCUAUUUUAUAAAUUUUAUUCAUAAGAAAAUUUUAUCCAUAUUUUUUAUAUAAAUAAUUUAUUCCUAUAAUUUUGUAUUUCUCGUGCUUAGCGACGGGUUAUACGGACUGCAGAUAAAAGCGGGUUGUUUGUAUUAGGGUGCCGCUGCGGCUGCUCUCUUUCGUCCCACAAUGGCGGCUGCGACGCUCCGCUCCGCUCCGUGCUCCGCCGCAAUAGCCUCCUGCCCUUGUUCGACACCCACCGCCUUCGAGAUCUCCUCUUCUUCUCCUCCUCUGUCGACCCUACGGCCGCCGUACGGGGCACCAUAUCUCCAGAUCCCCACUUCAUGGUGAAAUACCUCGUGAACUCCUGCGGGUUCUCCCCCUCCGAGGCAGCCAAGUUCUCUAAACCUCUUGCGCACCUCCGAUCCACCGAGAAACCCGACGCCGUCCUUAACUUCAUGAGAUCUCAGGGCCUCGGUGGCGCCGUUAUCAGGAAGGUGAUAUCUGCGGAUCCCAGAUACUUACGCUACAACGUGGAGAAAAACUUGGCCCCGAAGUUUCAGUUCUUACGCGAUUUGGGCCUAUCGGAGUCGGAUAUCGUCGAUGCCAUCCUGAAGAACCAUGGCAUCCUCCUCUUCAACGUUCAGCGUUCCAUCGUCCCCAAAUUGGAGAUGUGGGAAGGUCUCUUGGGAUCGAGAGAGCUCGUUCUCAAGCAUCUCAAGAAGACAACGCGGUUUUUCCACUCCAGCGUUGAGAAGACAUUGCAUCCUAACCUAAAGUUCUUGAGGGAUGAGUGCGGCAUUCCUGAAGAAAGGGUCUCUGUCGUCUUGAGAAGUCACCCAAAAUUAAUCUCACAGAAACCAGAGUCUCUCCGAGCUUUGGUGGCGAGAGCCGAUGAGCUGGGGAUGCCACGGCAAUCUCGGAUGUUCAUGUGGACAGUUAAUAUUAUCCAGAGGGUAAGCAAAGAGAGGUUCGAGGCCAAGGUCGAGUUCAUGAGGAGGUUCGGGUGGUCGGAAUCGGAGUUUUCUUCUGCUGUCAGGAAAGUACCCACCUUCAUAGGCAUGUCCCUCGAUAUGUUGCGCAGAAAAGUGGAAUUUUUUAUCAAUGUGGUCGGUUACACCCCUUCCUUCAUCGCCGACAAAUCAUAUCUCUUGCUAUUUAGUCUGCAGAAGAGGGUAAUUCCUCGGUUUCGUGUCACAGAGAUGUUGAAAUCGAAAGGAUUGUGGACUGGACAAGGCAAGUUUUCAUGCAUUCUCACAUUAUCAGAUACCAAAUUCAUUGAGAAGUUUGUUCUCCCUCACAAAGAAAAUGUUCCUGAGCUGCUUGAUAUUUUGAGAGUUGCGGGCGUGUGUAAAGGAAAAUGAUACCUUUCAUUUGGUAUCGGAUGAUGAGAAAGGGCUUAGCUGAUGGUCUAAUUUGCCAACGACAAAGGUAGAUUAUUCCCCUAAUUUGAGAUUUUGGAAAUAGAAUGCAAAGGGCUUAUCAAAAGGUGUAUUGAGGUGUGGGAUUUUUCUUUAAUGGCAAGCUAGAUUAGCAUUGAUUAUAAAUCAAAUUUGUUCUGUCUUACUAAUUGUUAGCUUAACUUAUUUUCUGAUUGUCUUUGGCACAGUAUUGUUGCUUUGUACGUUAGCUGCAUGUUUUAAAAAUUCUACCUAACAGUCCAACUGAGAUGACCUUCGGAUCUAUCGUAGGGACUUUUGGCUUUUGUCCAAAUUAAUACCACUUCCGGAUUGGUUUUUGUUUGGGUAUGUCUUGAAGAGUCAUAUUUCAGAUCAAGUUUUGCAGUAUAUAGAAAUUUUCACCAAAGAUCACAAGAAAUUGUUGAGUGGUAGUUACUCUAAUGAUUUAAGUGGCGAAAAAACUUAAAACACCAAAGAGUUGUUUCUGUAAUUUGUUUUUAAAUUAGUCAUCACCCAAUUUAUGGAUUUGGAUAUAUCUAAGAAGGUGUUAUCUCUUGUCAGUGGAGGCUUCUUUGCAAACAAAGUUAUUUAUUUAUGUACUAAUUGGAAUAUUCAAAUUUGAUUUAUGCAUUGUAAUAUUAGUAUGCAGUGGCUUCAAUGGAAUUUGAAAGACCAGUUGCACUGGGUUGAUCAGGAGUCACCAACUUUAUUAUCAACUUUGCUUGCAGGUUGUAUGGACUUUUCUCUGAUCAUCAAAACUUGAGUAUGCUCUCCUGAAAUGUCUUCAGCCUCAUUUGGAAUUGCUAAAGCUUUUCCUGCAUAAACAAACUCUUACCUGCCUCCUUAGGCUUCUGCUCAUCCGCCCUUUGUGAUUCGAGCAGCAGAUCUCUUCAUUCUUGGAGUUCAUUCUUGGAUUCGGUGGAUGCAACUUCUCAUCAUCAUAGCUGAAGCUUCUGCUCUACUUGAAAGCCUUCUGAAGGCUGCACAACUACAUUUCUCCAACAUCUGAAUCGAACUAAUUCCCUUGAGUUAGUCAAUUUGCUGGUUCCUUAAGAAUAUUUUGGAUGUCAUUUUAUUUCUUUGUUCAAGUAUUUAUGUCGUCGAUGCGGUCCAUGUUUCCCGCAUCAUGAACGACGUAAAUUCUCUACGUGUUUUUGGGUCUUGUAAUGAUAGAUCAGUCUAGCGCAGUAUCUAGUCCUCUUUAAUCUUUAAUGAAAUUUCUCUUUUUUCGGUAAAAAAAAAAAGCAAACUCUAACAUGCAAACUAACAUGUAAGCUCAGAAGGUUUAAAAGUGACAAUUAAAUAUGUAUUGCAAGAUUCUGUAAUUGGCUUUGGUUCUUGUUGUAGAGUUUAUGAUCAUUUACAUCACUAGUAUUUCAGAUUUUUAUGCACACUAUCUUGACCCGUUCUCAACCAGUAUUUUUUGGGCUCUCGAUGCCUUUGUGCAUGUAAUGCAUUGUGAAGAUACCACAGAAUCCGCGUUUACAAACAAAGGAUAUGAUAGAUGAUCACGAUGUUGGCAUUUAUGGAUUGAUGUCUCCAGAUUGAAAUGUGGCCUGCUAUAAUUGAUGUGGCCUGCUAUUAACAGAUGUUGUGACUCAGAUAUAUAGCUUGGAUGUACAGUCAAAAUUUAAUUAAAAUAUUAUAUAAUUCAUGAUCUCGAUCGGUAGACAAUCUUUCCUUUCUUGUUUGAGGAUCUCGAUCGGUAGCAAAAUUAUGUCAUUUUAUACGGAUUAUUUUUUAUAUCGAGAUAAAAAUAAUAUAUUAAAAUAUAUUAAUUUUUUUUAAAAAUAUCAUUAAUAUCAAAUAAUAUCAAUUAAUCGAUCUAAUUGAAUUAGAUUUAAUUAUAAUCUAAUUAAAUUGAUUUCUAAUUCUCAUUUAAUCGAUCUAAACUAUCUUAGACUAAUAUAAUUUAGAUUAAAUUAAGUUUAAUUUAUAUUAAAUAUAUUUAAAUAAAUCAAGUUGGUUCAUAAUUACCUUCAAUCGAUUUAAAUUUAUCAAAUUAGAUUUACCUCAAUCGAACAUAAAUGAAAUAAAAUAAAGGUAAUAAGUUAAACUAUAUAGCAAUAUGAUAGGUUAAGCUAGGCAAUGUAGCAUUACAAAUAAUUAUACAUGCACCGUACGAAAAUUAUGUUAGCUUAUGGUACCAAAGUAAUAUGAUGUGUAUGACACAUGAUUGUCAAUCGAAUUGAACGACUAGUUGGCUUAAUCAGUUGGUUGAGUCUAAUAUACUGGUUGUGGUUUAACCUAUGGAUAGAACUUGAUUUGUUAAGCAGAUUUUAACCUAAAUAUUAAUUAUUUUUUUUAAUUUUAAAUUAUAGCAUCACAAAAUUAUAAUCAAAACACCUAACUAUUAUUAUUGGGUCAUUAAACAUAAUAAAUUAAAAAAUAAAAAAUUACAUUGAAGGGAAAAUAAUAUUUUUCCUCAACUAUUAUACAAAUCUAAUAGAAAUUGAAUAUUACAACUAGUAUGAUGGAUGGAAGAAAAAAACUUUAAAAAUUAUUAUAGUAUGAAUAAUUAUAAUAUAUUAUAAUCCAAAAGUAAAUAUUUAAAUAUUUGGAGGAAUAUAAAAAAAUUUAGAAAUUAUAUAUAGCAUGAAUAAUUAUAAAAAUAUUUUAAUCAAAAAAUAAAAAUUUAAGAACUUGAAUGAAUAGAAGAAAAUAUUAGAAACUAUAUAUAGUAUAAAUAAUUAUAAUAUAUUUUAAUCAAAAAAUAAAAUUUUAAACACUUAAAGAUAUUAAAAAUAUUUAUUUAAAAAAAAUAUACUUGCGUCUACCCCUCUUAUUCAGAUUUGACCUAAUGAAAAAUGAAAGAAAUGAAUCACCCUAAGAAGAGGUAAGCCUUCCAAGGUAAUAAUUUUUUUAAUAUUUAUAUUUAUUUAAUUAAUUGAUAAAAAUAAUAUCACUUAAUUUAAAAAUAUUGAAUAUUUAUUUUAUAAAUUUUAUUCAUAAGAAAAGAAAGUAAAUAAUUAUACUUCAACUUAAAGAUGUAAGUACAGAUGAAACGGUCAAAUUAGUAUCUUAAGGUCAUUUUAUCCAUAUUUUUUAUAUAGAUAAUUUAUUCCUAUAAUUUUUGUGUUUCUUGUGCAUAGCGAAGCUUAUACACACUACCUAUAAGGACGGUUGUAGUGAUUAGGGUGCCGCUGCGGCCGCUCUCUUUUGUCCCAUAAUGGCGGCUGCGAGGCUCCGCACCGGGCUCCGCCGCAAGAGCCUUCUGCCCUUGUUCGAAACCUGCCGCCUUCGAGAUAUCCUCUUCUUCUCCUCCUCUGUCAACGCUGCCGCCGCCGUAGGCGGCACCAUAUCACCAGAUCCCCACUUCAUGGUGGAAUACCUCGUCAACUCCUGCGGGUUCUCCUCCUCCGAGGCAGCCAAGUUCUCUAAACCCCUUGUGCACCUCCGAUCCACCAAGAACCCCGACGCCGUCCUUAACUUCAUGAGAUCUCAGGGCUUCGAUGGCGCCGGUAUCAGGAAGCUGAUAUCUGGGGAUCCCAGAUACUUAUGCUACAACGUGGAGAAGAACCUCGCCCCGAAGUUUCAGUUCUUACGCGAUUUGGGCCUAUCGGAGUCGGACGUCGUCGAUGUCAUCCGGAAUAACGAGGAAAUCCUCUGCCGCAACGUUCACCGUUUCCUCGUCCCCAAAUUGGAGAUAUGGGAAAGUCUCAUGGGAUCGAGAGAGCUCGUUCUCAAGCAUCUCAAGAAGUCACGCAGGUUUUUCUUCUCCAGCGCUGAGAAGACAUUGUAUCCUAACCUAAAGUUCUUGAGGGAUGAGUGCGGCAUUCCUGAAGAAAGGGUCUCUGUCGUCUUGAGAAGUUGCCCACAAUUAAUCUCACUGAAACCAGAGUCUCUCCGAGCUUUGGUGGUGAGAGCCGAUGAGCUGGGGAUGCCACGGCAAUCUCGGAUGUUCAUGUGGACCCUUUAUGUUUUCCACAACGUAAGCAAAGAAAGGUUCGAGGCCAAGGUUGAGCUCAUGAGGAGCUUCGGGUGGUCGGAGUCGGAGUUUUCUUCUGCAGUCAGGAAAAAUCCCAACUUCUUAUCCAUGUCCCUCGAUAUGUUGCGCAGAAAAGUGGUAUUUUUUAUCAAUAUAGUCGGGUACACCCCUUCCUUCAUCGCCUCCCAACCAACUAUCUUGCUAUAUAGUCUGCAGAAGAGGGUCAUUCCUCGGUUUCAUGUGACGGAGAUGUUGAAAUCGAAAGGAUUGUGGACUGGACAAUGCAAGUUUACAUCGAUUAUCGUAUUCUCAGAUACCAAAUUCAUGGAGACGUUUGUUCUCCCUCACAAAGAAAAUGUUCCUGAGCUGCUUGAUAUUUUGAGAGCUGCUGGCACCUGUAAAGGUAAUGAUACCUUUCAUUUGGCAUCGGAGGAUGAGAAAGGGCUUAGCUGAUGGUCUGAUUUGCCAACGACGAAGGUAGAUUAUUCCCCUAAUUUGAGAUUUUGGAAAUUUUAUGCAAAGAGCUUAUCUAAAGGUGUAUUGAGGUGUGGGAUAUUUCUUUUAUGACAAGCUAGAUUAGCAUUGAUUAGAAAUCAAAUUUGUUCUGUCUUACUGAUUGUUAGCUUAAACUAUUUUCUGAUUGUCUUUGGCAUAGGAUUCUUUGUUUGUACGUAAACUGCAUGUUUUAAAAAUUCAGCUUAACAGUCCAACUGAGAUGACCUUCGGAUCUAAUGUAGGGACUUUUGGAUUUUGUCCAAAUUAAUUCCAAUUCCCGAAGUGUUUUUGGCUGUUGGGUAAGUCUCAAAGAUUCAUUCAUAUUUCAGAUCAAGUUAUGCAGUAAGUAUAUACAAAAUAUCACCGAAGAUCACAAGAAGUUGCUGAGUAGUAGUUGCUCUAACGAUUUAAGUGGCUGAAAAACACUUAAACUUCUUUGCAAACUUAUUUAUUUAUGUACUAAUUGGAUUAUUCAAAUUUGAUUGAUGCAUUGUAAUAUUAGUAUGCAGUGGCUUCAAUGGAAUUUGAAAGACCAGUUGCACUGGGUUGAUCAGGAGUCACCAGCUCUUCUGAAAUGUCUUCAACCUCCUUUGGAAUUGCUAAAGCUUUUCUCGCAUCAACAAACUCUUGCAUGCCUCCAUAGGCUUCUGCUCGUCCACCCUUUGUGAUUCCAGCAACAGAUCUCUUCAUUCUUGGAGUUCAUUCUUGGAUUCGGUGGAUGCAACUUCUCAUCAUCAUAGCUGAAGCUUCUGCUCUACUUGAAAGCCUUCUGAAGGCUGCACAACUACAUUUCUCCAACAUCUGAAUCGAACUAAUUCCCUUGAGUUAGUCGAUUUGCUGGUUCCUUAAGAAUAUUUUGGAUGCCAUUUUAUUUGUUUGUUCAAGUAUUUAUGUUGUCGAUGUGGUCCAUGUUUCCCGCAUCAUGAACGGCGUGGCCCAUUGGCUAGUCAAUCUCGGAAGGACUGUAAAUUCUCUAUAUUUUUUUGGGUCUUGUAAUGAUAGAUCAGUCUAGCUCAGUAUCUAAUCCACUUUAAUCUUUAAUGAAAUCUCUCCCUUUUUGGUAUAAAAAAAAAACUCUAACAUGCAAACUAACAUGUAAGAUCAGAAGGUUUAAAAGUGACAAUUAAAUGUGUAUUGCAUGAUCCUGUAAUUGGCUUUAGUUCUUUUUGUAGAGUUUAUGAUCAUUUACAUCUCUAGUAUUUCAGAUUUAUUCCCACCAUCUUGACCCGUUCUCAACCAGUUUUUUUUUGCCUAUCCGUGCCUUUUUGCAUGUAUUCAGUAUCUCAUUUCAGAUAGGAUCAUUAGAUCAUCGCUCAUCUUUAUCAAUGCGUGAAAUGUGUUUUGGAUUUUGAUAUCAGUUGUUCCAUCUUUAUUCUUUAUUCUUUAUGUCUUGGAUAAUAACGUCCCAAAUCUUUAUGUCAACACAAAUCUCAAUUUUGGGAAGAGAGACAUCAAUGAAAUGAAUAUAUGGAAGGAACUGAGAAAAAUAGAAUUCAUAAAUUUAAAUAAGACAAGUAAUCAAAGCAAAAUUAUGCACUUAUAUAUCAUGUUAAUGAACCGAUGCAACGUGAACAUACAUCAACAUAUGCAUUUUCAAACAAGGAUAGGGUAUUUAUGGAUGGAUGAUCACGAAGUUGGCGUGUAUAGAUUGAUGUCUCCAGAUUGAAAUGUGGCCUAUAUUGAUGUACGGUCAAUUUAAUUAAAUAUCAUAUAAUCCAUGAUCAAAUUCAAUCUUGAUUUUUUUUGAAUUUUUACGAGUCAUAAAUACUAUUCAAGGCAUAUUAAUUCAAACAAAAGAAAUCAAGUUUUAAAGGAUUAUAGGAUUGUUUUUUUUUCAAAUCUGGUGCAGCAAUAAAUUAUUUUUGGAUCAAAUAAAUGAAUAGUUUUAUUUUAAAAAAAAAUACAAAAUUAUAUAAAUAUUUUGUAGAUCAUUUUAUCCAUAAUUUUGAUAUAAAUAAUUUAUUCCUAUAAUUUUAAUCUCUCAUAUAUAGUGAAUGAUAGUUGUUGAAAUUAUGAUACUCCUAUGGUUCUCCUUUAUUCUUAAAUGAUUGUCGCAAAGCUUGUCUUCCUCCUUAGUCAUUAUAACUUCCUAUCCCUAUUUGAAACCUAUCGCUUUUGAGGUCUUUUUUUUUUUUUUCUUACUUCAUCACCGAUUGAUUGUGAUCAUGUUCUAUCAAAUUAGUUGAAAAGAUAAGGAUGAUUGAAGAUGAACUCAAUGUUUAAUAAGAAGAAGUGAACUGCAUUAUGGAACUACGACUCAAUUGCGUCUCAUGUCCUGUUGUGUACAAGCAAAAGGAUGACCUCCUCAAACUGAUGGGUGAAUCCAACAGACGAUCGAGAUGGAAGCACCUCUAUCGGGCGCAUUCCACGCCAGGAAGCAUCCCCAUCAUCAUCAUACAAUAGUACAUAUGUUGACCUAUUUACGAGUGUACAACAUGAAAAGGGAAGCUCUUCUCUUCUUCUUCCUCUCUUAAGAACUAACGGGGGAUGCCGAGUGAGCUAACGGGGGAUGCAGAAGGCCACAUAAAGAAGAGCAGCUAAGGAGAUAGAGGAAGAAUGAUUCUGGAGGUCUUAACAGUCAAGGACAUGGCGCUAUAAUUGAACCUUUUAGUCAUGAGAGCAACAUAUAUCAUUGUCUUUAUCACACUUUCUUCCCCCACAUAUAAUUUAGCCCUGCUUUGUCUCAAUGCAGUCUGCAAUAACAAACCAACGAAGUGAGUUUUCAUAGGUACAUUUUGACAUCAGCAUUUGAUCAGAUCCGUGAACAUGCAUUAGUACGUACAUUAAUAUCUAAAACAUUUAAUCAUAUAAUGUAUUGAUUUGAGUACCUGAAACUCAAAAAAAUUUCAUGAAAUAAUAAUCUCAUAAAUUAAAUAACUAGAAAGGUUAAUUUCAUACAACUACUGUACAUCUGUUCUUCAUAUGCUAUCAUACAACUUUAAUGUAUAUAUAUAUAUAUAUAUAUAUAUAUAUAUAUAUAUANNNNNNNNNNNNNNNNNNNNGUAUAUAUAUAUAUAUAUAUAUAUAUAUAUAUAUAUAUAGUUUUACGAUCUUAACUUAGAGUUAAAUCUUGACCACAUAAUAUAAAUCAUAUAAAUCGAAUCAUAUAUAAUCAAAUUAUACUUGAUCAUAUAAGUUAAAUUAUAUUUGAUUAUAUGAGUUAAGUCAUAUCGAACUAUAUAAAUUUGGUUAUAUUUAGUCACUUGUGUUAAGUCAUACAUAAUAACAUAAAUAACGGGCUAAAUCAUGCUUGAUCACAUGGAAUGGAUUCUGCUUAAUCAUACGAGUUAUACCUGAUCAUAUGUGCUAAGUCAUAACUAUUAAAUGAGUUAGAUAAUGUUUGAUCACAUACGAUAAGUUAUGUUUAACCACAUAAGUUAGAUCAUGCCUCGUUACAUAAAUCAAGUAAUGUCUAACUAUAUAUAUUAUAUUAUAAUUGACUAUAUGGAUUGUGUUACGUUGAAUAACAUGAACUGAAUCAUACUUGACCACGUAGACCGAGUGAUAACUAAUCACAUGAGUUAGAUUGUACUUCACCAUAUAAACUAGUUUGGUCAAUCAACUUAACUCAGGUUAAAUCUCAAAUUUGACUUAUACUUGUUAAAUUAGAUUUUAAUAUUUUAAAAAAUAUUUUAAAAUAUUAUAAAAAUAAUAAUUCGUCAUAAAUCUAUUAUCUUUCAUGAAUUAACUAAUUUAGAUUUAUGUUCCAAAUUUAAAAGUAAUUAAAUCUAAAAAUACAUACUUAAUUGUUUAAAACAUAAAUACACUUUCAAUGAUCAUUAUUUAUUAAUAAUAAAAUUUUAAAAUUAAAAAUAUCAUUUUUUAUGUAUAAAUUAAAAUAAUUUUAAAAAUAUAAAAUAAAAUAUUAAUAAUAAAAAAAUAUACUCUCCUCAUGAUCAUUUCCUCUAAGAGAGCUAGGAAUUGAGUAAAGAUGAGCUUGAGCUCUCCAUAAAAGAUAAAUAAUAAUUUUAAUAAUUUUCUUAAUCAUAUUAUAUAAAUAAAAAUACUAAUUUAAAUAAAAUAACAUAUGAUUUAAAGUAAUUAAUUGAUGUUAGAAAUUUAUGGAUGAUUACAAAAGUCCAUAUUGACUCCAAGUGUGCCUUCAUUUGUGUUGCUUUGGGUCGCUCCCCCACUUGAUCUCGCAAUGCAUCCACUAAUACAUUCUCUCAAGCGAGAUCAUGCGACGACUUCUCGUCGCUUGCUCGGUCCAUUGAGCUUCAUAGAGUUGUUGUUUGUUGAGGUACUCCUCCUCAACAUGUGCGAUCUGUUGCACAUGAUUCUCCCUCUGGAAAGCCAGGACUUAUCCCUCCUGAAUAUCUAUCCCGUUGGAGCAACAUAUCUCUUCAUUUCGGAGACCAUCAUCCCCUUGGACUACUCCGAUCUGCUGAACAAACUGUGCGUUGUUCCACCUCCUACAAACGCACUUGCUAGAUUACGACUCUACGUUAAUACAGCCCCUGCUGCACCACUCAAGGCCUAGUAACAUGCUGAACUCGUUGCACACUUCAACCUCCUACGGACGUAUCCUUCACAUGCUGAAGAGAAAGUUUCAAUGCUCCAUGGCGCCAAGUUUCGGUCGCCUUGGGAUGGCCACCAACAUUCCAUCGUCCGCAUACAAGCUCAUGCAUGAGUACCAAAUUCUUCGAGCUAGCAAUUCCCCUCACCUCUGCGAGCUUUGCAUAACUCUUUCGAUCGUUGAGCAACUCAUUCCACAUUGCAUGGUCUCAUUCUUUACCAAGCGCCUCGCUUGCCUUGAGCACCAUUGAGUAUAGUUAUCAACGUUGAGCCGUAGCUCAAACUCAGCCAUCCCAACCUUUGUGCGCUUCGUAUUCUUCCAAGCUUGCCUGUUCUCGUGAUGCCUCUUGCACGAAGGGUUGGCCAUUCCUCUGAAUGCCAAUGUCAGAUGUCCGCUCCUCCGAGCUACUCUUUUUCCUACAUCUCCAUGCCCGUUUUCCCCCAAACGAUUGCGCGUGUGCUGACUGCCCUCAAUGCAGCCCCGCUAGGUCCCCCACGUUUGCAUGAUAAGUGUUUCUAUGAGUGCUUGUCUCGCUCUGAUACCAUCUGUCACGGACUUAGUUGGUUUUGCCUAAGUCGUGCGGCACCCUUACGUGUUCGUCCGCAAAAGUCAACCUCCUCGAAGCCUCCCAUUGUCCCUUAGCACCAACAAAAGAGAGAACGGGUUAGAGAGAACACCUAACUCGGGAUCCACAAGCAAAGAUCUCUGAAAACACUUCAUAGACAAUGCAAAUUACAAAUAGACUUUACAAGCUCUGAACAAUUGCACAACAAAGGGUAAAAUGGUCCACUACAGACCGAAAAUCUCUCACACGUGUCCACAUGAAACAACCUUUAUUUACAAGCCUAAAGCGAUCACCAACCUAACUAAAAUGGGACUAUUAAGCCUUCGAUCGUCCCUCUACAUGUUGUACAAAGUAUGAACAUACCAAAAGGCACGGACAUACAUAAGCAUUACAUCAAACAUCUUGUUUCAAAAUUUGUCCAUGAUAGUAUGCAACCCGUUUCACGUACUCAACCCUGUAUCUUACUUUCUUUAAAUGUUUGUUAUGGAUUGCUCCUCAGGCAAUCAGGUAAGUGUUAUUUCUGUGAAUUCUUCAUCAAGUCUGCUGCUUUUUCUUCUUCCAAUUGUAAGUUAUGGAUCUGUUUUCAUUACACAACUAUGUGUAAGCAUAAUAUAGAUUGGAAGUUAAAUAUAUCUUGCAAUGAUUGUAAGAAUUCUUUAAUGUCAUGGAGAGUAUUCAAGCUGAAGUUUUGUGGAAUCGUUUAACUAUUGAUUGUUAUUAGCAAUAAGUAAGAAGGACAUUGCAAUAGCAUUCUUAGCUUAAGUUUUGAUCUGCUAAUUACCUUACUUUUCAUGAAAGCAUGAUUGUGCCCCGUGAGAUUUUUAAUGAAAAGCUAAAUGUUCCUCUCCCUUAGAUUGGUAAUUUUGAUGUGUUACUGUUAUGUGUAGCAAUAUUAUGCAAUGGAAGGUAAACUUGUGCAUUUUAAUAUUGUCACAUCUUUGCAAUGAUCAUAAACAUUUUUCAAGGUUCUGGUGGUGCUAGUUUCUCCACUGUUGUUUAUAGUUGAGUUCUUAGCCUAUGUUCUUCCAAGCAUGUUUGCCUUGAGCUAAAUGUAGUACCUGUGGGAUUUACAAUUGAAAGGUAUACAGUAAGAUGAAGGCAACAGAGGUUCUUAGUGACUUACUGGGAAUGGAUGUUAAGAUGUUACAUAAAUGUACAUAAAUCCUUUGGGUCUCAAUUGACAUUACAUAAAUCCUUUGGGUCUAAAUGUACAUAAAUCCUUUGGGUCUCAAUUGACAUUUUUCAAGACAUUUUUUUUGUCAUCAAUGAUGAUUGUGGUUAACUAUUUAACUCUAUAUGUGUAAAAGAAUAUAUAUAUAUAUAUAUUACCAUUUAUCUCUAUAUCCCUUGCUCCAAGAUCCUAGCUCCAAGAUAAACUGGAUUGUUGGAUUAAUAAUAAUAAUAAUAAUAAUAAUAAUAGUCUAUAAUAAUAAUUAUAGAAGAUUGGAUUUUGAAAAUAAUUAUUGCAUAAGGAAUUGGGAGGCAGUCAACCUCAUUCCUUUCAUGUUGAAGAACAGACCACUUCAAAAUCAUCAAGAAGCUUCUUGUGUAAGAAUCUUCAUACAAAGUCGAAUGUGCAAACUAACAUGUAAGCUCAAAAAGGUUUAGAUGUGACAAUUAAAUGUGUAUUUCAAGAUUCGUUAAUUACCUUUAGCUCUUGUAGUAGAGUUUAUGAUCAUUUGCAUCACUAGUAUUUCAGAUUUAUGCACACUAUCUUCACUCAUUCUCAACUAGUUUUUUUUCUGCCUAGCCAUACCUUCGUGCAUAUCUUUAGUAUUAUUUCAGAUAGGAUCAUAAGAUUAUCAAUCAUCUUUAUCAAUGCGUGAUAUGCGUUUUAUAUUUUGAUAUCAGUUUUUUCGUCUUUGUAGAGAUUCUGUGCAGGAGUUGUAGAACUGAUAAAACUUGCAAGUUCAUCAAAAAUAUUGGGAAGAUACUCUUUUUUCUUUAUGACUGAAUAAUAAUGUCCCAAAUCUUUUUGUCAGCACACGUAUGUCUCAAUUUUGGGAAGACUGACAUUAAUGAAAUGAAUAUAUGGAAGGAAGUGAGAAAAGUAGAAUUCAUGAAUUUAAAUAAGACAAGUAAUCUAGCAAAAUCGUGCACUUAUUUAUGUUAAUGAACCAAUGCAAUGUGAACGUAAAACAAAGGAGAGAGACUUUCAAUGGUCACGAAAUUAGCAUGUAUAGAUUGAUUGUCUCCUGAUUGAAAUGUGGCUUGAUUAACAAGUGUUGUGAUAUAUAUAUAUAUNNNNNNNNNNNNNNNNNNNNNNNNNNNNNNNNNNNNNNNNNNNNNNNNNNNNNNNNNNNNNNNNNNNNNNNNNNNNNNNNNNNNNNNNNNNNNNNNNNNNNNNNNNNNNNNNNNNNNNNNNNNNNNNNNNNNNNNNNNNNNNNNNNNNNNNNNNNNNNNNNNNNNNNNNNNNNNNNNNNNNNNNNNNNNNNNNNNNNNNNNNNNNNNNNNNNNNNNNNNNNNNNNNNNNNNNNNNNNNNNNNNNNNNNNNNNNNNNNNNNNNNNNNNNNNNNNNNNNNNNNNNNNNNNNNNNNNNNNNNNNNNNNNNNNNNNNNNNNNNNNNNNNNNNNNNNNNNNNNNNNNNNNNNNNNNNNNNNNNNNNNNNNNNNNNNNNNNNNNNNNNNNNNNNNNNNNNNNNNNNNNNNNNNNNNNNNNNNNNNNNNNNNNNNNNNNNNNNNNNNNNNNNNNNNNNNNNNNNNNNNAUAUAUAUAUAUAUAUAUAUACAUCUUUGCAUCGAUUCUCUGGAUAAUCUUUCCUUUUUUUGCAUGUGGAUCAUCGAUAAUAGUCGAUGGGCGAGGUUGCUAAUGUUUGGAUUGUAAAAAGCGAUGAUCGAUAGAAGAAAACUGAAUAUUAAAAAAAUAUUUUUUUUAAUUUAGGCAAUUUCAUAAGAAAAUUUGAAUGUAGAAGUUUUUUUUUUAAAGAAUUCGUCGGAUGUUCAAAUCACUUUUCUCAAGAAAAGCGUGUUUUCUUAUGGAGAGACAAAAUUAUAUAAAUAUUUUGUCGAUCACUUUAUCCAUAUUUGUGAUAUAAAUAAUUUAUUGCUGCAGUUUUGUAUUUCUUGUGCAUAGCGAAGCUUAUACACACUAUAUAUAGGAAUUAGGGUGCCCCUCUCACAUCUCAUUCUUCUCCCACAAUGGCGGCUGCGACGCUCCGCUCUGUACUCCGCCGCAAUCGCCUCCUGACCUUGUUCGAAACCUGCCACCUUCGAGAUCGCCUCUUCUUCUCCUCCUCUGUCAACGCUGCCGCCGUCACCGUAGGCGGCACCAUAUCUCCAGAUCCCCACUUCAUGGUGGAAUACCUCGUGAAUUCCUGCGGGUUCUCCCCCUCCGAGGCAGCCAAGUUCUCUAAACCCCUUGCGCACCUCCGAUCCACCGAGAAACCCGACGCCGUUCUUAACUUCAUGAGAUCUCAGGGCUUCGAUGGUGCCGGUAUCAGGAAGGUGAUAUCUUGGAAACCCAAUUACCUAUGCUACAACGUGGAGAAGAACCUCGCCCCGAAGUUUCAGUUCUUACGCGAUUUGGGCCUAUCGGAGUCGGAUAUCGUCGAUGCCAUCCUGAAGAACCAUGGCAUCCUCCUCUUCAACGCUCAGCGUUCCAUCGUCCCCAGAUUGGAGAUGUGGGAAAGUCUCUUGGGAUCGAGAGAGCUCGUUCUCAAGCAUCUCAAGAAGACAAUGCGGUUUUUCCACUCCAGCGUUGAGAAGACAUUGCAUCCUAACCAAAAGUUCUUGAGGGAUGAGUGCGGCAUUCCUGAAGAAAGGCUCUCUGUCGUCUUGAGAAGUCACCCACAAUUAAUCUCACAUAAACCAGAGUCUCUCCGAGCUUUGGUGGCGAGAGCCGAUGAGCUGGGGAUGCCACGGCAAUCUCGGAUGUUCAUUUGGACACUUAAUAUUCUCCAGAGGGUAAGCAAAGAAAGGUUCGAGGCCAAGGGCGAGUUCAUGAGGAGGUUCGGGUGGUCGGAGUCGGAGUUUUCUUCUGCUGUCAGGAAAGCACCCAACUUCAUAGGCAUGUCCCUCGAUAUGUUGCGCAGAAAAGUGGAAUUUUUUAUCAAUGUGGUCGGUUGCACCCCUUCCUUCAUCGCCGACAAAUCAUAUCUCUUGCUAUUUAGUCUGCAGAAGAGGGUAAUUCCUCGGUUUCGUGUCACAGAGAUGUUGAAAUCGAAAGGAUUGUUGACUGGACAAGCCAAGUUUCCAUACAUUCUCGCAUUAUCAGAUACCAAAUUCUUGGAGAAGUUUGUUCUCCCUCACAAAGAAAAUGUUCCUGAGCUGCUCGAUAUUUUGAGAGUUGAGGGCGUGUGUAAAGGAAAAUGAUACCUUUCAUUUGGUAUCGGAGGCUGAGAAAGGCCUUAGCUGAUGGUUUAAUUUGCCAACGACGAAGGUAGAUUGUCCCCUAAUUUGAGAUUUUGGAAAUAGAAUGCAAAGGGCUUAUCAAAAGGUGUACUGAGGUGUGGGAUUUUUCUUUAAUGGCAAGCUAGAUUAGCAUUGAUUAUAAAUCAAAUUUGUUCUGUCUUACUAAUUGUUAGCUUAACUUAUUUUCUGAUUGUCUUUGGCACGAUAUUGUUGGUUUGUAUGUAAACUGCAUGUUUUAAAAUUCUACCUAACAGUCCAACUGAGAUGACCUUCGGAUCUAUCAUAGGGACUUUUGGCUUUUGUCCAAAUUAAUUCAAAAUCCGGAUGGGAUUUUGGUUGUUGGGUAAGUCUCAAAGAGUCAUAGUUUAGAUCAAGUUAUGCAGCAUCUACAAAAUAUCACCAAAGAUCACAGGAAGUUGCUGAGUAGUAGUUGCUCUAACUAUUUAAGUGGCUGAAAAAAUCAUAGAACAGUAAAGAGUUGUUUCUGUAAUUUGUUUUUAAAUGAGUCGUCACCCGAUUUAUGGAUUUGGAUAUGUCUAAGAAGGCUUCUUUGCAUACUUAUUUAUUUGUGUGCUAAUUGGAUAUUGAAAUUUGAUUUAUGCAUUGUAAUAUUAGUAUGCAGUGGCUUCGAUGGAGUUUGAAAGAGCAGUUGCAUUGGGUUGAUCAGGAGUCACCAGCAUUAGUACUAUCUUUGCUUCAAGGUUGUAUGGACUUAAGCAUCAGAACUUGGGUAUGCUAUCAUGAAAUGUCUUCAGCCUCAUUUGGAAUUGCAAAAGCUUUUCCUGCAUCAACAAAUUCUGACUUGCCUCCGGUGGCUUCAGCUCAUCCACCCUUUGUGAUUUGGUUAGCAGAUCUCUUCAUUCUUGGAGUCUGUGGUCUAUGUUUCCCUCGUCAUGAAUGGCUUGGCCCAAUGGAAAGUCAAUUUAGGCAGAAUUAUAAAUUCCCUAUUUUUUUGGUCUUCUAAUUAUGGAUCACAUUUUGGGAGAAAGGUAUGCACAAUGCACAUUCCAUUGCUUAUAUCUUUACUCUCACAUUUUGGGAGAAAGAUAUGCACAAUGCACAUUCCAUUAUGCAUAUCUUUACUCUCACAUUUCAAAUAGGGAUCAUAAGAAUAUCAAUCAUCUUUAUCAAUGCGGGAAAUGUGUUCUGAAUUUUGACAUCAGUUGUUCCAUCUCUACAGAGGUGUGGAGAGUAAGUACAAGGAGCAUCUCCAGAUAUAUACUCUUACAAUCUCACAACUUCCUUGCAUACAAAUCUUCACUUGACAAACCACCCAUAAGAGAAUUCCCAAACGGAGACUAGAGUUAUAUCAGAGUCACAUUCAAUCAAUUUUGGAUUGGUAUUCACAUAUCUCACCUCGGAGUCAUUGCUCAGUUCCUUGGUUCUUUCCAACAUUGUAACUAGUUGUCUAACUUGGUUCUUGAGGAUUUUAACUGUCAUGUUAAUCAACAAAAAUCACAAAUAAUUGCAGUGCAACAUACCAUCACUAUAUAUACUACUGUGGAUCUCAUUAGAGAGAAUCCUCAUCUCAAUCAACUCUUGUAUUCAGUCAUAUGCCAAUGUAGUGCUCAUCUCCAGCCACAAAUUCUAAAAUCCAUGCUAGUGAAUAAAGCAAAUGUAAGUUCUGGCAACAUUACUUUCCCUUCUUUUCUCUCUCUUUCAUCUUUCCCUGCCACUACCUUCCCCUCACCAUGACCUUUGGAGCUAUCCGCCAAAAGCUCUAAACCUGGAUGCCUUUAAUGACAUGGAGCAAUUAGAAAUGAGGAAGAAAGAGAAAAACAACCAUGUCUUCCAUGCAAAGACUCAGUAUUACUGGGUUGCUCUCAAACUGAGAAACCGAAACCAUCAGGAUAUUGGAAAAUCUAUUGUCGACUUUCUCUUGAAUUCCUUCUUUUCCCCAAAUAGGUUUCUCAAAUCAACAUUCACAAUAUUCCCAUCAUUAUAAAUUUUUUAUGACGAUAAGAAUGCAUUGUACUGCAAACAGGCUGCUAAUAGCACAAUAUUUCCACACCAAAAGCACAACCAAUAAAAAAAAAACUUGCAUCCAUGGUAGCGAGUCUUGACUCUAACUCAAUACUGCUUCAAUAUUUCCUUCAUGAUAUUCUUCCCCUUCAAUUCUCUUUCUAAAUUUAUAUUUGUGAUAAACUUUGUGAAGUUGUUGGGACCACUUAAACCUAUAUGGCGGCAGUACAAAUCCAUAAACAACAAGUUCAUUUUUAAUUCAAUAGAGAGAGCUAUGUCAUAACCUUACAAAUUAGACCAGAAUCAGUAAAAAUAUCAUUAUGGUAAGAUCUAUGCAAAAUGUGAACCCAAACAAGGAAUGAGUGCAACAAACAUGAGGAACCACGGAGAAAUGCAAUCAAAUACGAACACUAAGCACUUCUAAUAUUUGAUUUCCAUAAUGGCAUCUUUUAAUAUGUGAUUCUCAUAAUGGCUCAUCGUCAGUUAAAAUCAUUUAACCCAUUUCAUGUUUCUCACUACUCGCAACUUCGACCGUGACAUGACGAGCACAAUGCUUAACUUCUCCAUACCACAUCACAGAAUGAUGUCACAAUGGUGAAAGCAGACAACAGAGUAACAAUUGUAAGAAACAUAGUAUUUCCACAAUCAGAAAUUCCAUUUCUAUAAAGGAACACAAUCACACUAUUUUGACUACAAAAGAACAAAAUAUUGAUAAAUCAAAAUAAAAUCAUAAAUUAAGAAAAUGAGUGUUCUAUUCAAAGAAUGAUGAAAUAUCAAACAACAAGGGAAAUUCUUAACUAAACCUAAUUGAUAAUUAGCACGUUAAGAGAAGUGUUGUCAGAAAGUAUUGUCAGAAAAUGAGUAACAUACAGGUGAAUAACAACCGAGUAACAUCACAAGCUCCUCAUCAAUUCUUAGCCUGCCAUAACACAAAAGGAUAAGUCAGAUUAUAUAAAAAAUUAUAUAUUUCUCAACUCUUCACACCUACAAUUUACCUUAAGUUUCAAGUAGCAUCAAUACACCAGCAAUAAGGUUAAUUUUAAAAGUCAAGAAACACGAUAAAUAACCAUGAGAAUUGGAAGGAUAAAGUCACCACUUUAUUGGAUGAUCUGCAUGCUCCAUAGUCGUUAUUAAACUAAUAAAUUAUCUACAGUUAACCAAGCCUAACUAGCAAUUACGAGAUCUUUUGAAUAUUGAUAGUUACUAUUUGUUAACAAUGUAAUCAAACAGUAAAAUGUGAGAGAAGACGAAUUCCAGGAUAAGCUAUAAGUUCAUGAAGUUUCAGAAUACCUAUCUAUAAAAGGGAAGAGUUGAGAUGAAGCGUUGUGAAAACGAUGUAAAAGUAUAACAUGAAAAUGCACCAAGCAAAAAAACAUAAUCCAUCAAGAAAAUUUGAUGGUCAUCAUAGGAAAGAGGCUCAAAGGGUAAAAUCGGAUAUGAAAGACAGCAAAAGCAUAAAGGGCUUUGACAAGCAUGGCAUCAUAUUAAAGGUUAAAGACUGACAUUCAAUACAGACAGAAAAAAGCUUCACAAAAACUUGCUAGAAAAAAAAAGGUCCAAAUGUGGUGUAGAAACAUAAUCGCCAUGCAAAAGGAGCAGUUACUGGUUCAAGUAAGGCAUAUGUUAUUAAGUAAUUUAAAUUUUAACUCAUAAUGCCAAGCCGAAUCACUACAUAAUAGAAGGAACCAGAGACCCACAGUUUAUUAAACCAAGUAACUAUAAAAAAUCAGACACACAAGUAACUUCAGGUUAUCAAAAAGGAAAAUGAGAACCAGAGAGGCACCUUUUCCCCUCAACAUCAACCCCAUGAAUAAAAAAUUUAUCUGAAUAUUUGGCAAGGAACUCCAAGUUUCCUUAUCAAGAAUAACAUCACUGAACUUCUGCCGUCUGUCAGUAACAAUGGCAUACUUCCCAUCCUGUGGGAGAGCAAAGGUCAAGAACAAAAGAGAUGAGAAAUGAAAUAAUUCCUCUUGAAAAUAACCAAUUUAACAAGUUAACAACAAGUCAAAAAUAUAACACCAAAAAUAAUGUCAUAUUAUAUAACACCAAAAAAGAAAAAAAAAAUCAAACUAUUAUAUUAAUGGAGUAACAAUGUAUCUCCACUUAUGUCAAACUAUUAUAUGUUAGUCCUCGCUUUUUUUUCUUAUCAAUGAUCAUAAUAUGUAAUGAUCCUUUUUUUUUUUUUUUUAUGCGAGAGUCAAGAACCAAUAUUACUAGACAUAAGAUAGAGUAGGGCAACUGAUGAGGUGAAGAUACUAAGAAGCAUAUAAGCAUAUAAAAAGUGAUAAUAAGUAGUGGUAAGAUAAUCAUUCUUCAAAAAAUAUUUAUAUAAAAUUUUUAAAACUUAGAGCGUUGUAGGAGACAAACAUGUGUGAUUUUCUAAAAACAGAUAAAAUUAUAUAAAUAUUAUAUAGAUAAUUUUAUCCAUAUUUUUUAUACAAGUAAUUUAUUCCUGUAAUUUUGUAUUUCUUGUGCAUAGCGAAGGUUACACGCUACAUAUACGAAUUAGGGUUUCGCUACGGGUGCUAUCUUUUGUCCCACAAUGGCGGCUGCGACGCUCCGCUCCGUUCUCCGCCGCAAUAGCCUUCUGCCCCUGUUCGAAACCCGCAGCCUUCGAGGUCUCUUCUUCUUCUCCUCCUCUAUCGACCCUGCCGCCGCUGUAGGCGUCACCAUAUCUCCAGAUCCGAACUUCAUGGUGGAAUACCUCGUGAACUCCUGUGGGUUCUCCCCCUCCGAGGCAGCCAAGUUCUCUAAACCCCUUGCGCACCUCCGAUCCACCGAGAAACCAGACGCCGUCAUUAACUUCAUGAGAUCUCAGGGCUUCGACGGGGCCGGUAUCAGGAAGGUGAUAUCUGGGGAUCCCAGAUACUUAUGCUGCAACGUGGAGAAGAACCUCACCCCGAAGUUUCAGUUCUUACGCGAUUUGGGCCUAUCGGAGUCGGAUAUCGCCGAUGCCAUCCUGAAGAACGAUGUCAUCCUGCGCCUCGACGUUCACCGUUCCUUGGUCCCCAAAUUGGAGAUGUGGGAAAGUAUCUUGGGAUCGAGAGAGCUCGUUCUCAAGCAUCUCAAGAAGACAAGAUGGUUUUUCUUCUCCAGCGUCGAGAAGACAUUGCAUCCUAACUUAAAGUUCUUGAGGGAUGAGUGCGGCAUUCCUGAAGAAAGGGUCUCUGUCGUCUUGAGAAGUUACCCACAAUUAAUCUCACAGAAACCAGAGUCUCUCCGAGCUUUGGUGGCGAGAGCCAAUGAGCUGGGAAUGCCACGGCAAUCUCGGAUGUUCGUGCGGACACUUAAUGCUCUCCACAACGUAAGCCA
rnacentral:lncRNA from 1 species